rnacentral:lncRNA from 1 species
GGAAGAUGACCACCGCCGGCAACACGCAGCCGGCGGUGACCGGCAGCAACACGUCCGUCCGACCAGUCUGGGGCCGGGGCGAAGUGCCCGUAGAAAUCAGUCUCUCAGAUGCUGAUACCAUCCUGAAGUUCCCACGCAACGCAAGCUUUAGAAUUUUCUUCUGAUGGUACACGAUAAGAAAUUUUCCCUCCCUUGUAGCUCUCGUAAGUCCCAAGCUGUCAUGUCAUGUACCUAUAGGAGUAGCUCACCACUUUUUCCUUCUCUUUCUUUCCCAGCUUUCUUCAGCUCCUCGUUUAUUUUGUCUUAGCGCUCCAGUAAGAGCUGUGUAUGUACAUAUAUAAAUGGUGGAUUCUCUUGGGUGCAACUUCCCUCCACUCCACUGCGGCUGCGCCUUGUCAAAUUCGCUUUUACCGUUCUUGUUGCUUAGCAGUUGGCUGGCAUUUUGUACAAUGUGCGCGCAUCAGUUGAUCGAAACAUGGUACCAUUGCGGAUGCACGGUAGAAACGAAACCCUACCCUGAGCUAGUAUGAAGUAGUAGUAAAUCUGAGAGGAGGGGUUGGGCAGUGCAGUAGGAGUACUGGAGGGGGGCAGGCAGGAGGACGGAGGGAGGCCAAGGUGAACAGCAAAAGACCAGCCAAUGGGCAGUCAAGAGGCUGACACAGCUCCUGUUUCCAUGUGAGGUAGCGCAUGGCCUGUGUGUGGGUGUGUGGGGCCAGGAGGCACUGUGGCGCGCACACACAUACAAGAAGGCGCACUCACGCAGCACGGCCACCUUUCUUUAAUUUUCCGGGGCUUGCUUUGUCUUCAAAUCAUCAAUCAGUGAGCUUAGCUUAGCCUUUAGUUGGUCAAAGGUUCCCUUAACCAGUUUUUGUCCUCUCUCUGCUUAUCUUAAUCGCAUGGGUAACAUGGCUCCUCGCCUUAUUAUACUGCCCGUCUAUUAUAGAUGCAUGGUGCUGUGUCCAAUGUUUAGGCCUUGCUAAACUAAUCGUCCAUGUCCAGCAAGCAAGUGGCACGCUGAUUCCCCCAGAUCUCAAGAGGCCUGUUCAAACCUGGCUAGGGCUGCAGCUUCAGAUUUGAGUCUGGGGCGUGCUCCUUGUUUUGGUUUGUUUAUUAUUCCUUCACUGUGACUGUGAGAGAAUUGAGGGCACACCGGUUGUCACAUAUGGUAAAAAUUCAUGAAGCUUCACAGGUCAGUAGUAAUAAGCAGUACCAGCACCAUUCACACAGGCUAUAUAGGCAGGGCGGGUCAUUUUCUCUGGGUGAAUUGAAUAGUUUUUACCCUUCGGGAGCCCCAAAAGCUCCAUGUAGAGUCCAUCACUCCUCCAUACAGCAGCACAGCAGCGGCAACAACAACAACAGAACACACAACACAAAGUCUGGAAAAGCUACAAAGGCCAUGGUGACAUUGACAAACUGUGCCUCGGAAUGGAGCCUCUGGCAUCGCCACAAGGGCGUGGGCCCUCUGCCCGCCUGCGCUGUUUUGGAGCCCCGGCUUAAAUCAAGCUCACCCAGCGCUAUCAUCAUCCCCCGCAUUUGGAAUAGUGGUAUCAAUACCACCAUGUGCUUUCCCAGUCUAUCAUGCAUGCGGUGCAGCACCAGCUCUGGCUCUUUGUGCAGAAACAAGCUCAAAUAUGCAUGCUCCGAGUUUGAUCUUACAGUAAAAUUUUGCUGAAAAUUUCGACGUUGAACGUCUCUUAUUAUUAUUGGAGUACAUGAAAGUUCUACCCAUCCUUAUUUUCCACAUGCUAGUCUGCCACGUACAUGCCGGGGUGACAACACACUGCUCUUAUCCCUUUGCAAAAGAGGAGAGAAAAAUGGAAAAAGACAACCAGCUUUUCAUUCUCUUGCUUUGUUUCCGUCAUGCUCACCAUUAAUGGCCAGCAGCCCAAAACGCGGCAUGUUCCUCGGCCAAUCUCACGCACAAAAUCCAGUCCAAAGAGUUCACAUCAUCAUCAGCGUUGGAGCAAUUCGAGCGAGUGUACUCUCUACUAGUAGCAAGUAGCAACGCCGCUGCUGAGGUGCUGGCGAUGGGUGGAUGAAUAGACGCACGUCUGCUUGCUUGUGCAUUUGCUGCUGCUGCUAGUUGAGUUCUUCUCCCUGCUGGGGUUCAAAAGGAGGGCAUCCCCAUCAUGCAUGUGUGAUGGGCCCCAGGAUGGCUGUGCUUGGCCUAAUGCCUCCACCCUCAUCUGCUGGGGGAGGACAUGUAGGGCAUCCAGGGACAGGGUUAUCAUGCCACAGUCACUGCCCGUGUAGUGAAGCCCAACCAGUGACCGGCUCAUUCAGUGACCUGGCAGCGCCUAUCUCUCUCAUGCCCACUCCUUCCCUCCGUCCCUCCCCGUGAAAUGUACCACCGUGAAGCGUUGCUCGCAGCGAGCGCCUCCAACCAAAAGGCGAUACGACUGGGUCAAGCGGCCGGCCGGGUUGGUUGCUCGUGCCGGCUAUGUGGCAUUUACCACCGUGAAUGAAUGCGCACUGUGCCGUGGAUGUGGCGGGGUACUAAAAGUUGCAACCUCCCUUUGCUUCAAUGGGUGGCGCUGCCCAUCGCCUGCAAAAAGGCUCGUGGCAAUGCAUCUGACACCAGAAAAGGUGGACAUGCUCAUAUUUUGUUCUAAUUAGUAUGAUGUGUUCCAGUAUGAUGGAUUACAUAUUGCUGGUGUGGCCAGGUAAACAACAAUUCGGUUGUACUCAAUAUUAAAGAAACUCAGCAAAUUCCUCAUAGCAACCCGAUCUAAAAUAAAACUAUUUUUAUGGUAAUAGAUUGCAAAAUUGCAGUUUAAAAGCGACUCUAGCAGACUGCUCACAUCGGUCAAAUCGGCAUAAUAAUCAUCAUUAUAAUUUGUGGAGCACACUCUCGCAACAAAAAUAUAUUCACACACGAUCAAACCCAAGAACGUUAUGAAGGUACAAGAACAAUCUUCUAGAGGAAGAAAAGUUGGUGAAGGGCAACGACUCACACAACAAGGGCAUACCUCUCUGUGGCGAGAAUUUUUCUCCAGGACGGUCCGCCAACCUAGUGCCGAAAUUACGACACCUCUGAGGUAUUCACGUAUACGGUACUAGGGGUACUGCAGCAUUAUGGACCGGCACAAAGGACAACAGAGAGAACUAGAGGGAGAGAGAGGCGCGCACGGUGACACUCAGAGAGGAGGGAGGGGGAGGGGGCUUGAAGCUUGGUGUGCCUUUGGGGUGCGCCUCCAUCUAUUUCAUAGGUGGAGGGGUGGGCUANNNNNNNNNNNNNNNNNNNNNNNNNNNNNNNNNNNNNNNNNNNNNNNNNNNNNNNNNNNNNNNNNNNNNNNNNNNNNNNNNNNNNNNNNNNNNNNNNNNNNNNNNNNNNNNNNNNNNNNNNNNNNNNNNNNNNNNNNNNNNNNNNNNNNNNNNNNNNNNNNNNNNNNNNNNNNNNNNNNNNNNNNNNNNNNNNNNNNNNNNNNNNNNNNNNNNNNNNNNNNNNNNNNNNNNNNNNNNNNNNNNNNNNNNNNNNNNNNNNNNNNNNNNNNNNNNGACUCUUCUCCGGUUACCUCCCCCCCCCCAAAAAAAAACCCUUUGUGGCUGGCCCAAUUAGACCCAUGUGGGAUAUGCCCCUAGCCCAGUAAGCAGCCGACUAGGACCCUUCUAGAUUGUCCUGAGAAGUUCCAGGAUCUUUCGGUGGCUUCCACGGCCUUUCGGUACAUUACCGACCACUUUCGGUAUAGUCACGACAUCAUCGUAACACUUUUAGGACCUCCCGGAACACUUUUGGACCCAUCCUCUCAUUUUUCCAUUAUCUCCUGCUCUCUUACAUACCACUAGUCGUUAAGUGUGUCACCCAACAGGUUCGAUAAUAUGCGGACAUGCCCGAAACACCUUUUGGUCAAUAAUUAUUAGCAUGAUUUGGACACCUAUGAUAAUUCUGGCAUAUCAACAAAGAUCUUUAUCGAGCGAACCUUUUGUUGUCACAUACAAUUCACUUUGCUUCACGAUACUUUACAAAACCCAAGGCGAGUCUUUACAGUAUCCUCGUAAUCAACACUUUGAUCACAAUACCUAGUUAUCCUCGUUACCAGUUUGUACUCUUUCCUUGUUACCGCAUUGGUGUCCCCAUGACUAAUGGCUUAGCCACUAUGCUUGGCCAAGCAAUGAUGGACAUGGUAAUAUCGAGUGGGCACAGAGUGUACCCUUCCAUCGCCGGAGGAGCAAAUCCCAGUCCUGCCAUAUCGAACACCACAACAAUUUUUUUGGUAUACCCACAGUUGGUAAUGCCAAAGUAUCCAUUCGACAUCCGAGUUUAUGAUAUUCUCAUGGUCUAAGGAUGUAAGUAAACGGUAAAGCUUUAUGCAAAAAUACCAAUAACAUAUUGACGACGUAUCUCGCAAUAUUUCAUAGUUGGGCCUACCCAACACCAUUGUUACUGUUUUGAUUAUUGGCAUUAUCAUUAUUAUGUUAACAAUACUCAUUGUUAGGAAAAUAGACCAUGGACAAUCAAUGAACUAGUCGAGAGGCCUGACUAGGUAUCUUAUUGGUGUUUAUCUUUCCACACAUGCAUCGAGAUUUUCCUUUGAAUCUCAUAUUUAAGAACCAUUGCAAUUAUAGGAUAAAAAUAUAAACUUAAUUAUGAACGUGAAAAUAGGACACUAAAAACUAUACUUCCUGUGCAAAACUAGGGCGUCUUCCGUAUCACAUGCCGAAUCAUCAACGAUGAUGAGGUAAAGAAAGUCAUCCUUUGCCUUGUAUUUGUUUUAUUCGAUUGAAUACGAGAUGACCAUGGAAAAAUGUUGGCACAUGUGCUACUUUCCCGAUUUAGUGAUGAUUUUAGGGGGGGGGAGGGGAUUGACCCUAAAAAAUGAAACAUUUCUCAAUAGUAUGAUUGGUAAUUCCGAUACAAACAUUGUCGAUGUCGUGGUCGCAUUGUUGUCACUUUUUGAUCAUGAGUCCGUCCAAGAUAUGAAAUUUGACAAAUUCAAGGACUCAGGCUCGUAAAAGAAGAAAGCAAUUUGGGGAUGCAACUUUAAGCCUGCAGAGGAUAUUACGCUUGUCAAGGCAUGAUAAGAUAUUCCUCUUGAUGCAGUCGCUAGUAAAGAUUAGUUGACCAUGAAGUAUUGGAAGUGCAUUGAGGAGCGUUUCAAACAUCUUCUUGGUCAGAGUAGAAAUCGUGGCCUCAAAUAUCUUACAAAGCGAUGGGGUAUGGUUUAAUAGGUGUGCAAUGUUGGGAGGGUUGUUUGAAUCAAGCUAAGAAUGCUCCCACUACAAAAAAAGGACACUUCUAUGACAUUAUGGCCCGAACAAAAAAAAUCUAUCCUGAAUGUGACACUUUCAUGACAAUAAUGGUGACAAAAACACGUAUCAUCAUAGAUUGUGAUGGGCUCCUAUUUCUACGAAAAAAUAGGGAUAAUUGUUUCUGUGCCCUAAGUUGGGUCACCCUCGACUGAUUUGCCCCUAAUUUUGGAAAACACGCGGUCUUGCCCAGCUUUGACCGCUCCCCUUGCGUUUUUGCCCUUCCGGCACGUCUCCGUCCAGUCAGCGCCGUUUGACCGCAAAUGAUGCGUUACUUUGGACACGCUUGCCCCCGUGCUCACUCGCACUCUCUCAUUCCCCACUCUUGCUCUCUCUUUUCCCCUCUGACGAACCCUAAAUUGCGGCGCCGAGCGGCGGGCGGCCAGAUCCAUUGCGCGGGCGGCCAGAUCCAUUGCAAGGUCAUGGGGGAGAGUGGAGAAAGCGCUGGCGGUGGCCGCUACAGUGGUAGGAACAACACACCUCCACUGCAGCGCGGAGAAGGCGGCUGUGGCGGCACCAACAGCGACAAGGGAAGCUCCUGUGGCGGAUCUGCACCAACGCCGAGAAGCGGUGGCGGAUCUGCACCAUCAGCGACAAGCGGGGGCAGAUCUGCACGACAAAUCCCCCCAGGGUUAGUAGCAAACCUGAUUUUCUCAGUUUUUUCAGAUGAGAUUUGCUUGUAUUUAGGGUUUAGUCUAAAGUUUGUGCGUUUUGUCACUGGAUAUUGUUCCCCCAUAGGAUGGAUCCAGCUACAAUGUUCUUUCUUUCAGUUCGAAUGGAGACCACUGUUCUAGUUUCUGCUGGUACAAAAGGAAAAGAUUGUGGAUUCACAUUUCCUUUAGUUGUGGAAAACACUAGUUCAUAUACUAAUUUUAGGGCUGCCAUUUGUGCCAAGUAUCCAUGGGGAUUGUUUGAUGUUGUGUAGAUCAAAUAUUGGGAUAGUUCCAAACUUUGUUGGGUCCCUGUGCAGUGUGAUGCAGAGUUAGGUCUAAUGUUUGCAAGUAAUGCAACAACUAUGUCAUGCAAUUUGGAAAUCACAGUUAUACAAAGAACUAGAGGUCAGAGAUGUGUGAACACAUCUAGUUCCAGGCCAUCUGCAUCCAAAACUAGGGCUAGCAGUAGAACACCAAGUGGUCCUUUAACACCAAGUGCUUAUGCAACUGCAAGUGUCAAUGAAAGCAAAGAAAACCAAAAGAAUCCACUUGAUCCUGUUGUGGAGGAGGCAUUGCCUGAUGCACCCGGUGUGGAGGAUGAGGUUCUAUAUCCUGGAUAUGUCCAGCACAGUAAUGAUGAAGGAGAUGCAGUAGAUAAAGAGUACAUUCCUACAGAAUUUUUAGAUGCAGAUGAGGAUGAGAAGCAAGAGGAUGUUGAGAUGGGAGUUUUUGGAGAUGCAGAAGAGGAAAGACCUGUAAAGAUGUAUGACAGGGAAAAUCCAUGUAGUGAUGAAGGUGUGGUUUUCCCUAGUGUAGUUGACUGCAGAAAUGCAGUUUCAAGCUUCUCAAUCAAGUCUAAAAUCGAGUUCCUUACUCUGAAAAGUGGUCCAACAAGGUUUACUGUCAAAUGUGCUUAUGAGAGAUGCAAGUCGAGACCGCAUGCCUCUUUAAUGAGGGAGAGCACACUGUUUCAGGUAUUGCAUUGUCAGGUAUUGCAUUUUAGUUUAUUAUCAGGUAUUGCAUUUUCUGUACUAAUCUCAUUGUUUUUUUGGUUUGUUUCAGAUUAAAGUCAACCCAUAUCAGCAUACAUGUCCUAGUGUGAAUAGAUCUCAGAUAUUGAGAGCUGCAAAAAGAAGAUGGAUAACAGAUGCUUCUAUGGCUUGGAUCAGAGCAAAUCCAGGAAUUAGUACAAAGGAAAUUCAGAGCAAGUUGUUAGAGAAAUAUGGUGUGGAGGUGCCAUAUGACAGAUGCUACCAUGGCAUGGAGAUUGCACUUGACAAACUGUAUGGAAAGUAUAGUGAUAGCUUUCAGCUGUUAUAUACUUUCAAAGCUGAAGUAGAGAGGGCAUCACCAGGCAGUAUUGUGGAGAUUGAGAGGCACACAGUUGAGUACAAGAUGAAUAACAAGAAGUUCUACAAGGAGUGCUUUAGAAGGGUGUUUGUGUGCUUCAAAGCAUGUCAAAAAGGUUUUCUGGAGGGGUGUAGGCCAUACCUAGCUGUAGAUGCUACUGCACUGACUGGUAGGUUCGGAGGGCAACUUGUGGCAGCAUGUGCAUUAGAUGUACACAACUGGUGGUUUCCUGUUGCAUAUGGUGUUUUGGAAGGGGAGUCAAUUGAGAGUUGGACUUGGUUUUUUAGCAACCUAAAGAAAGUAAUAGGUCAUCCAGAAGGUAUAGUGAUACAUACUGAUGCUUGCAAGGGAUUGGAAACUGCUGUUGAGGAUGUUUACCCUGGAGUGGAGCACAGAGAGUGCAUGAGGCACUUGGCCCAAAAUUUCAGCAAGAAAUUCAAGGGGAAGUUUUAUGAUGAUAAUUUGUGGCCAUGCUCACUAACUUGUAGCAUCAAGAAACACAACUAUCACUUGAACCAAUUGAAAAGCAAGCCCAAAGUAAAGGAAUAUCUAGAGGAACACCACACAAAAACAUGGGCAAGAGCUGAUUUCAAUGAGAUUAGCAAAGUUGACUAUGUUAAUAACAACCUAGCUGAGUCAUUCAACUCCAGAAUCAAAAAAUACAAGAGCCUGCACAUAGUUGAUCUGCUAGACAAGAUUAGGCAGUAUAUCAUAGAGAAAUUUGACUUAAGAAACAUAAUUGCCUCUGACCAUUUCAUUGGGCACUACAUCAUACCAGCAGUUAUGAAGGUGUUAAUGGAGAAAACCAAAGGUUUACAAAUGAGUAUAGUGAGGAGAAGCCCAUAGAGGCAGAGGUGACUGCUACUGAUAGUGAGAAGAGAGAAUGGAGGUACCCUGUUGACUUAGAGCACUGGUCUUGCAGUUGCAGACAGUGGCAGAUCACAGGUAAACCAUGCAUCCAUGCACUUUUCUUUAUCACUGCUCUAAGAGGUGAAGCAAAUGGGAUAGAUCAGUAUGUGCACAAAUAUUAUUCAGUUGACAUGUUCAGAGCUACUUAUGCUGAGAACCUCCCAGCUCUAGAAGGCAAGCAACAGUGGGACAUUAUAGAUCCUGGAUUCAAAUUGUGUGCUCCUAUUCAACACAGAGCUCCAGGCAGACCAAGAAAGCAAAGGAUUAGAAGUAGCACUGAAGGAAAAGGCCUUGGUCCUAGGAAGCACAAGUGCAAAAGGUGUGGGAGAUGUGGACACAAAGCCAAGGGCUGCAAACAAUCUGUUGAUCCAGCCUUUGGAAAAGAUGAACAUUGGGGAGCAGACAAUGCAAAUGAUCAUCCUACAGCCAAUGAACCAGCAGAAGCAGAAAUACAAGAGGAGGGGGAGGAGGAUGAGACAACACCUGAUGUUCUUUAGCAGCAGAUGCCACCACCAAAGGAGCCCUCACAUGAUGCAUCUAUAGGAGCUAGUUGUGCAGUCAGGUAUAAGAUCUUGACUUACAAAUUCUUACAUGUUUUGAUCUUACUGCUUUAUAAAAUCUUUCAAAUUAUGAUGUGCUUCCACUUGUUUUAGCCCUAGGAAAAAUUAUAAAAGGGCAGCAGCAAGAGGAGCUUCUCCCAGGUGUGUCAAGCAGAAAACAAUUGUGGAACAGGAGCAAGAAAGCAGUGUUCAAAGCAAAGGUUUCUCUCCAAAAAGAGCAGUAGCAGCAGUUGAACCUCCAAAACCAUGAAAGAACACUAGAAUCAAGGCAAUGCUAGCUCCAAACCCAGCCAAGAACACCAGGAGCAAGAACUUAAGUUCUAGUGCUAUGUUAUAUUUGCCAAUGAUGUUAUCUUGUUGUUAUGCACUUAAGUUCUAGUCAGUUUGUUCAACAACUGCUAUUUGGUACAAUUUCAGUUUGUUCUAUUUGGUACAAUGUCAGUUUGUUCUAUUUGGUACAAUGUCAGUAUCUUGAAUUUGGUACAAUACCAGUUUGUUGAAUUUGGUACAAUGUCAGUUUGGUAAAAUAUGUGCUCUAUUUGGUACGAUUGGUUCCUCUAUUUGCUAGUGUGUGUUGCUCUAUUUGCUGAAUUUGGCACUAUAUAUGGAAUAAAUAUGUAUUUGGUACAAUGUCACAAGCAUUAGCAGUGAAUCAUGAUCUUCAAAUUUAGCAUACAAUAGUGCAUCAUAAACAACAUUCACCACAUCUCUCUCACACACACUUUCUUCAACAACUUCUAGAAACUAGAACACAAAAAACACAGCAACACACAUUCCUACAAACAACAAUGCCAGAACUAGCAGCAUCUCAUCUCUCUCUCUCACUGUCUUCUUCAAAGCAAGAUUUUUCUUUGACAGCUCCAUGUUUUGCUUCUGCAUUUUGUGGCUUAUGAUCCAGCUUUGUUCUAGCUCUGCGUGCAAGUCUUCAAAAGCAAGGGUAGCAUGCAAUGGAGGAGGAGGAUCAACCCAAACGACCCAGUGACACUCAUGUGGUAACUGCUUGAACAUCAAAUUAACAAAACAUUAGAGAUUGCAUAAACAACAUCUUUAACAUGGUAUAAUUCACAAGAUCUUACAUCUAGAGGACACCCUAAAAAACGGCAGCCAGUGUUAGCUCCUUCCCACGCAACACGCCGGGCAGGAACAAGGCCAUGACCAGGGCAAUGAUGCUUUGAUAGAAGCUUCAAUCCACAGUAACUUUCAUCUAGAAGAUAGAACUCGGAGACAUGCUCCACAAUCCCGACCCCAUCAACCUAAAUCAAAAAUUUCCCCAAUUAUCACAAACCCUAGAAUGCAUUGGGGGGGGGGAGGAAGAAGCUUUGCCGGAGUUUUACUUACCUCUCCGACCACCGGCGAGAAGAUGGAAGAGCUCGAGCUCGCCAUGCGUCACCGCUCCUUGCUCUACCGGGCCACGCCUUGCCUCCCACUCCUUUUUCCUCGCCAGCGUUCUCGCUAUCCUCUGUUUGCUUGUGCUAGCACAUUGAGGACGAAGGGGUAUCAGGUAUAGCACCGACAGGGGCAAAAAUGUCCAAAGUAACACGUCGUUUGCGGUCAAACGGCGCUGACUGGACGGAGACGUGCCGGAAGGGCAAAAACGCAAGGGGAGCGGUCAAAGCUGGGCAAGACCGCGUGUUUUCCAAAAUUAGGGGCAAAUCAGUUGAGGGUGACCCAACUAAGGGUAUAAAUUCAAUUUGCCCAAAAAAUAUGACAGAAAAUGGGCUUUUCAUAUUGGGCGGGCGCGAGGCGGACCUGCAUGACAUUCUUUGGGCCGUCCAUGACGUAAAAAAUCGUGGUAGAAGUGAGGGGCGAGGAAAUUUUCAGGAAUUUCCCGGUUACUGUGGGCAAUCAAUGGGUGGUCGGGGCUGAGCGAUGCAGUGUGGUUUGUGCAUUUCUCUCAUAUACGCGUGGUCGUGCAAGGCGUUCACUAACUGAACCCAAGCGAGGCAUUUGCUUACUGAACCCGAGACAUCGAUCGAUCCCUCACACUAGAUACUGAACACAAGCGGUCAAUCCCUCGCACCAUGUACUGAACCUAAUCGAUCCCUUCGCUGACAACUGAACCAGAGAAAUUUCUUUGCUGCUAACUGAACCCGAUCGAUCGACCGAUGUGUUGCAUCCAACCCCCCGUGCGAGAUGUGAGUUGAGCUAGCCGGUUGGUUGCCUCUCAAUGAAUAGUGCCCGUUCUAUUGGAAAUAUGCCCUAGAGGCAAUAAUAUUGUAUUAUUAUAUUUCCAUUUUCAUAAUUAAGAGUUUAUAUUUUUCAUGUUAUAACUGCUGUGAUAGUGGAAUAUGCGAUUCAGCGAAAAACUCACAUGCACAUGUGAAAUGAUAAACAAUAACAUUAAAGGUUCCCGGUCAUUCCUCUGAGACUAGCUCAAGUGUUGUUGGUGCUCAUAUUUUCUGAAUCUCAGGAUAUCGUUAAGUUUAACGAUAGUCCUGAAACAACAUUGAGAGUAUGGCGUUAGAAGAACAAUCAUAUUGAAUCGACCUGAAUCUUGUUUGUUAUACUUUGAGAUAAUAUCAUCUGUAAUCAAUUGUUAUAAAAUGGAGUGUUAGAAUGUGUUUUAGUUCCUCAGACCAUGAGAGUAUCAUAGUCACUUCCUACUGUAUGAUGGGAUUUGGGGUUGCUCAAAUGUCAUGUGUAACAAGGCGAUCAUAAUGACAACUUACGGGUUCGUCGGAAGUUUGACAAGGGACUGGAUAGCUCGAGAUGGAAUUUGCUCCUCCAACGAUGAAGAGAUAUUCUUAGGGCCCUCUCGGCGUGACAGGUUCCAUCAUCGUCUAGCCAGACAUAGGUGACUACGUCACAGGGAUGCUGGAAUAUUUCAACGAGAAAGAAGAACAAAACUGGCAACGGGAUCAACGGUAUAGUGAGCAUGGUGAUGACUAAGGAGGAUACCAAUGCACCCCGGGUUUUGUAAAGUACCGCGAAGGAAAGGGAAGAUCACAUGAUAAGGUUCACUUGAAUGUCAUUCGUGUAAUCACAGGGAUCGAUAUGGACGUCCACGUUUCCGCUAUUGAUCAUUGGACGAAGGGGUUUCGUUCAUCUCUAUGAUUUACUGAACCUACGGGUGAGGAUACGUCUCCAAUGUAUCUAUAAUUUAUGAAGUAUUCAUGCCAUGUUUACAAUAAUUUUGUAUGGUUUGGUGCACUUUUAUAUUAUUUUUAUGGACUAACUUAUUAAUAUAGUGCCCAAUGUUAGUUCCUGUUUCUUGCAUGUUUUUUGUUUCACAGCAAUACCAUACCAAACGAAGUCCAAACACGAUAAAAAUUUACGAAGAUUUUUAUGGAAUAUAUGUGAUUUUUGGGAGGAAGAAUCAACACAAGAUGGUGCUCGAGGGCCCCACAAGGCAACAUGGCUUGGUCUACCCCCUGAUCGCCCCAGGAUGCCUUGUGGGCACCUCGUAAGUCGGUUGGAACCCUCAAGAAAGAUAAUUUCCGGAUAAAAUUCCCCUAAAAAAAUUUAGACUAACCGGAAAUACGGAUCCCCGGGAAUAUAAGGAAUGGUUUUUGCCAGGAAAAGCAGCAAAAACCAGAAGACAAUAGAGAGAUCCAAUCUAGGGGAUUGCUCCCUCUCCCCCCGGAGGGCUAAGGAAGAAGGGGGAGGGCCCUCCUUCCCCUCUCCCCCGAUGGCGCCAGAACACCGCCGGGGACAUCUACUUCAUCACCAUCACCACCAACUUCUCCUCCUUUCUCAUGGUGAUGUGUGAGUAGUUCACCCACGAGACCGAGGGUAUGUACUAGUAGCUAUGUGUUUGAUCUCUCUCUCUCUCUCUCUUGUGUUCUUGAUCCGGCACGAUCUUGAUGUAAGCAUAGGCUUUGUUGACAUAGUCAGAUCAUAUGGUGUUUCUCCCCCUCUCCAUCUUGUUGUGAUGAAUUAGGUCUUUCCCUUUGAGGUUUCACUAUUACCGGAUUGAAUAUUUUGUAUUUGAGAACACUUGAUGUAUGUCUUGCAUGUGGAUACCCGUGGUGACAAUGAGGUGUUCUAUUGAUUCAGUUAAUAUAUCUUUUGGAAAUCAACUUGCGGAUUCCCACGAUGACAUAGGGGUAAUCUAGGCAUAGAGGUUGACGCAUGUUUUCGUCCUACUUUCUCCGAUAGAAACUUUGGGGUGAAGUUCUUUGUGUUGGAUUGAAUAUUAUGAAUCUGAAGUUGUUUGAUGCAUAUCAUAUAAUUGGCUAACGGAUACUUGUGGUGAAAUUGUACAAUCUAGGUGACAUUAGAGUUGAUUGAUGCAUACCAUAUGGUGUUAUUUUAGUAUCAACUCUAGGAUUGUUUGUGACACUUAUAGGAAUAGCUCAAUAGAUAGAUCAAAAAGGAUAACUUUGAGGUGGUUUACUACGUACAACAAUUUCUUCUUAUGUUCUCCGCUAUUGAUAAGAACUUUGGAGUGAUUCUUUCUCGCACGUUGAGGGAUGGUUAUAUGAUUCCAUUAUGUUAACAUUGUUGAGAGAUUGCACUAGUGAAAAGUAUGAACCCUAUGCCUUGUUUUCAAGCAUCACAAUACCAUUUGUGCUUCUUUUUAUCACUUACUACCUUGCUAUUUUUAUACUUUCAUAUUACAAAAACCUAUAUCUACUAUCCAUACUACACUUGUAUCACCAUCUCUUCGCCGAACUAGUGCACCUAUAUAAUUUACCAUUAUAUUUGGUGGGUUGGAGACACAAGAGAUUUCUUGUAUUUGAUUGUAGGAUUGUUUGAGAGAUAUCGUCUACAUCAUGCGCCUCCCAUGGAUUGAUAAACCUUACGUCAUCCACUUCAGGGAAAUUUUCUGUUGUCCUACUAAACUCUGUGCUUGGAGGCCCAACACGAUUCAACAAGAAUAAGUUGUGUAGCGGACAUCAAGCUCAUUUCUGGCGCCGUUGCCGAGGAGGUGAGUGCUUGAAGGUAUAUAUUUAGAUAUUGCAAUUGAAUCUUCUAGUUUCUUGUUUUUCACUAGUUUGGUUUUAUAAAACAAAACUACAUAAAAAUGUAAUUGAGGUUGCCUCAAAUGCUUCAUCUUUAUAAUGCAUUUUUUGAAAAUGAUGGAUCGAAAAAUUGUGCCAAAGUGUUAGAAGAAGAAGCCAAUAAAAUGUUUGGCAAAAUCAUUGAAGCAUGAUUGCAAGGUUGUUAGUAUGAAUUCUUUGAAUAUCCAUGAUGCUUAUGAUAUGCAAAGCCAUAAGCUUGGGGAUGCUAUGUUUGAUGAAGAUGAUAUUUUUAGUCCCCCAAGUUUUUAGGAGCAAAUUUAUUAUGAUGAUAGCAUGCCUUCUAUUUAUGAUGAUUACAACGAUGAAAGUGGAUUUGGAAGAAUGUCAACUUUAGGUAAUAACUAUCCCACUAUUUUGGAGGGUGUUGAGUCUUAUUGUAAUAAUUAUGAAAUUGGAUUUGGAGAAGUCAUGACUUUAUUUAGUGAUGAAUCCACAAUUUUGGAAGAGGUUUCUAUUGAUUAUGACAACAAAGUUGAUAUCUAUGAUGAUUAUAGUGAUGAUACUUAUGACAUAAAGAAUAAUGAUAACCAUGAAAAUUGUCAUCAUUAUUUUAAUGCUCAAAUUGAUUAUGUCAAUCAAGUAUCAUAUGAUAGUUAUUUCAUUGCAUUUGCUCCCACUGUAAUUGAUGAGAAGAAAUUUGCUUAUGUGGAGAGUAACGAAAAUUUUAUGCAUGCGAAUCAUGAAAAGAAUGCUUUAUGUGAUAGCUAUAUUAUAGAAUUCAUUCAUGAUGCUACUGAAAAUUAUUAUGAGAUAGGAAUAUAUGCUUGUAGGUAUUGAAAUAAUAUCAAGUUUCCUCUCUAUGUUUUGAAAAUCUUGAAGUUUUGCUUGUUUUGACUUCCUAUGCUAGUUGAUUCUUGUUCCCAUGAAUUGUUUGCUCACAAAAUCCCUAUGCAUAGGAAGUGUGUCAGGCUUAAAUGUCCUUGACAUGUGAUUCAUGAUGCUCUCUUUUUGUUUCAAUUUUGUACUUCCAUGUGAGCAUCAUUGAAAUCAUCAUGCCUAGCUAAAAGGCAUUAAAGAAAAGUGCUUGUUGGGAGACAACCCAAUAUCUCUACCUACUAUUUUUGUGUGUUCACAUGAUUAAUCUACUAUAUUAAUCAUGUUUUAUAGCUUUUGUUUUUGAAUAAAGUGCCAAGUAACGCCUUUGGGAUGAUUUGGAUGAUAGUUGAAUUGAUUCUGUGCAAAAAUAGAAACUUUUGUGCCCAAUUCUAGAAUUACAAUAAUUCACUGGGGUACGAUAAAAUUCUGAAAUACGAUAAAAUUCUGAAAUUUUUACACAUGAUUGAUAUACACAUUUCCUAUGCUUUCCUAAUUUUUCAGAUUUUUUGGAGUUAUAGAAUUAUGUUGUUUGUUUAGAUCAUUACAGACUAUUCUAUUUUUGACAGAUUAUGUUUUCAAUACAUAGUUAGCUUGUUUUAUAGUUUCUAUGGCUUAUAUUGGUCAAUAUGAAUUGUGGAAAUGAUGGAGUACAGUAGGAAUUAUGUGGAAAUAAUUAUUAAUCUUCUCUUUAUAGUACCUAAGUUAAUGAUUUGUUUUACUAUACUAACACAUCUCACGAAGUUCCGUUAACUUUUGUGUCAUUGAAGUUUUCGAGUUUUAGGUGAGAUAUCGAUAUGACGAGAAUAAGGAGUGGAAAGACAAGACGCUUGGGGAUGCCCAAGGCAUCCCAAGUUAAUAUUCAAGGAAGACUCAAGCUUCUAAGCUUGGGGAUGCCCCGGAAGGCAUCCCCUCUUUCGUCUUCAACAUUAUUGGUAACCUCAAUUGGAGCUAUAUUUUUAUUCAUCACAUGAUAUGCGUUUUGCUUGGAGCGUCAUUUUAUAUCAUUAGGAUUUGCUUGAUUUUAUUUAAAAUAAUGUUUUGUAUCUUUUAUUUCAAUAUAAGUGGCAAGUAUAGUCUUUACCAUGCUCAAUUUGCAAGUCUAUAUGUUGCUAUUUGAAAACAAAAACUUUUCUGUUAUGUCUUGAAUAUUCUUGAAUAGUCGGAACAUGAUAAAAUCUUAUUUUUUUAGAAAAUAAGCUAUGAUAAAUUUUCUAUAGUGUGGUAAUUUUUCAGAGUUUUUGGAGUUAAAUAAUUGUGAAUCUUCUUUCAUCUUUUACAGACUAUUCUGUUUAGACAGAUUGCUGUUAUGUUUCAAUAUGUUUGCUAGGUUAGUGAUUCUAUUUAAGGAUAGGAGUAUUAAAUAUGCAGAGGCAUUUAGUAAGAAACAUAAAACAAUAGUUUUAAUUAUUUUCUACAGUAGAGAAUGAUAAGGUUUUGCAUUGAUUUAUACUAACUUCUCUCACGAGUUCUUGUUGAGUUUUGUGUGGAUGAAGUUUUUUAAUAUUUAGGGAAAUCGCAAUAUUAGAGGAAUUGAGGAGAUAUAAGAGCUCAAGCUUGGGUAUGCCCAAGGCAUCCUAAGUUGAUAUUCCAAGAAGUCUCAAGCAUCUAAGCUUGGGGAUGCCCCGAUAGGCAUCCCGCCUUCAUCAACAACUAUUGUUUAGUUUUGGUUGAGCCUAAGUUUUAACUUGUUCACAUGAUAUGUGCUAUUCUUGGAAUGUAUUUUUAUAUAUGUUUGAUGUUUGAAUAAAAUACUUAUAUUUGACAUUUUUUUGAGAGAGAGUCCUCACAUAGCUACUUAAUUAUUUAACUACUCAUUUGAUCUCCACUUAUAUCUUUUUGGAGUAGUUUGUUAUUUACUCUUGAGCUUCACUUAUAUCCUAAGAGUAAAUUGUUGAAUGAAUUGAAUAUCAUAAAGUGGAAAUUAUAUGUGCUUCAUGUGCUUUUGCCAUGCUUAUUAGUAGUUUCACAUUGGGUUUAGAAAGUAAAAUCUGUUGAAGUUUGACAAUCAGAAUAUUAUUGAUACAAGCAAUUUAUGAAAGAUAGUAUAUGGAAGAGAAAUUCUACAUACAACUAUAUUAUCUUGGACAUCUUUUAUGAUUGUGAAUACCCAUUAAUUAUUUUCAAACUUGAGCAAACUAGUUGAAGUUGUACAAGAAAGACAACAUAAUGAGUUAUGGUUGGGUAUACUUGCGUAGAAGUUAUAUUGUUAUGGAUCCUCCGACAUGUGGUGCCUGUUUAGAAUCUUUUGCUAGCCAAAAUUUUUUGUACUAAGUGGGAAUACUACUUGUGCACCCAGAAUCCUUGAGCCAAGUUUCUUUCAUGAAUGUCCACCAAACCUACCUAUAUAUGGUAUUAACUUGCCGUUCUAAGUAAAUUUGCAUGUGCCAUCUCUAAAACCUUCAAAUAAUCAUCUGUUUUGUGUGCCCGUACUGCUCAUGAAGCGACGGGGCGGUCAGUAUCUGCUACGUCUUGAGCUUGCGUUGGUUUUCCUCGAAGAGGAGAGGGUGAUGCAGCAAUAGUAGCGUAAGUAUUUCCCUCAGUUUUUGAGAACCAAUGUAUCAAUCCAGUAGGAGGCUCCUCAAAAGUCGCACGCACCUACACAAACAAACUAAGAACUCGCAACCAACACAAUAAAGGGGUUGUCAAUCCCUUCACGGCCACUUGCGAAAGUGAGAUCUAAUAAAGAUAGUAUGAUAAGAUAAAUAUAUUUUUGGUAUUUUAUAAUAUAGAUGCAAAAAGUAAAGAUGCAAAUAAAAGUAGAUUGAAAGCAAAUAUGAUAAGAGAUAGACCCAGGGGCCAUAGGUUUCACUAGUGGCUUCUCUCAAGAUAGCAUAAGUAUUACGGUGGGUGAACAAAUUACUAUCGAGCAAUUGAUAGAAAAGCGCAUAGUUAUGAGAUUAUCUAGGCAUGAUCAUGUAUAUAGGCAUCACGUCCAUAACAAGUAGACCGACUCUUGCCUGCAUCUACUACUAUUACUCCACACAUUGACCGACUCCUGCCUGCAUCUAGAGUAUUAAGUUCAUAAGAACAGAGUAACGCAUUAAGCAAGAUGACAUGAUGUAGAGGGAUAAACUCAAACAAUAUGAUAUAAACCCCAUCUUGUUAUCCUCGAUGGCAACAGUACAAUACGUGCCUUGCAACCCUUUCUGUCACUGGGUAAGGACAACGCAAGAUUGAACCCAAAGCUAAGCACUUCUCCCAUGGCAAGAAAGAUCAAUCUAGUAGGCCAAACCAAACUGAUAAUUCGAAGAGACUUGCAAAGAUAACUCAAUCAUACAUAAUAGAAUUCAGAGAAGAUUCAAAUAUUAUUCAUAGAUAAACUUGAUCAUAAACCCACAAUUCAUCGGAUCUCGACAAACACACCGCAAAAAGAGUUUACAUCGAAUAGAUCUCCACAAGAGAGGGGGAGAACAUUGUAUUGAGAUCCAAAAAGAGAGAAGAAGCCAUCUAGCUAAUAACUAUGGACCCGUAGGUCUGUGGUAAACUACUCACAACUCAUUGGAGGGGCAAGGAUGUUGAUGUAGAAGCCCUCCAUGUUCGAUUCCCCCUCCGGCAUAGCACCGGGGAAGGCUCCAAGAUGGGAUCUCGCGGAUACAGAAGGUUACGAUGGUGGAAAUUGUGUUCCAUCCUGCUCCUGGAUGUUUUCGGGGUACGUAGGUAUAUAAAGGAGGAAGAAGUACAUCGGUGGCUGCCCGAGGGGCCCACAAGACAAGGGAGCACGCCCUAUAGGGGGGGUGCCCUCCUAUCUCGUGGGAGCCUUAGCUGCUUCUUGGCGUGCACUCCAACUCCUCUGGAUCACGUUCGUUCCAAAAAUCACGCUCCCGAAGGUUUCAUUCCAUUUGGACUCCGUUUGAUAUUCCUUUUCUUCGAAAUACUGAAUUAGUUAAAAAAAAUAGCAAUACGGGCUUGGCCUCCGGUUAGUAGGUUAGUCCCAAAAAUGAUAUAAAUGUGUAAAAUAAAGGCCAUAAACAUCCAAAAGGGGUAAUAUAAUAGCAUGGAACAAUCAAAAAUUAUAGAUACGUUGGAGACGUAUCAAGCAUCCCCAAGGUUAAUUCCUGCUCGUCCUCGAGUAGGUAAAUGAUAAUUUUUUUGAUGUGGAAUGCUACCUAGCAUAAUUCUCAAUGUAAUUUUCUUUAUUGUGUCAUGAAUGUUCAGAUCCAAAUGAUACAAAAUAAAAGCUUAUAAAACAUAAAAAAAAUAAUGCUUCAAAGCAUACUAACAAAUAAUCAUGUCCUAUCAAAAUAGCAUAGCCAAAGAAAGCUUAUCCCUACAAAAUCAUAUAGUUAGGCCAUGCUUCAUUUUCAUUACACAAAGUACUCCCAUCAUGCACAACCCCGAUGACGAGCCGAGCAAUUGUUUCAUACUUUUUAACGCGCUUCAGCUUUUUCAACUCUCACGCAAUACAUGAGCGCAAGCCAUGGACAUAACACUAUGGUGGUAUAUGGUGGUGGUUGUGAGGACAAAAAGGGAGAAGAUAGUCUCACAUCAACUAGGCGUAUUAAUGGGCUAUAUGGAGAUGCCCAUUAAUAGAUAUCAAUGUGAGUGAGUAGGGAUUGCCAUGCAACGGAUGCACUAGAGCUAUAAAUAUAUGAAAGCUCAACAAAAGAAACUAAGUGGGUGUGCAUCCAACUUGCUUGCUCACGAAGACCUAGGGCAUUUUGAGGAAGCCCAUCAUUGGAAUAUACAAGCCAAGUUCUAUAAUGAAAAAUUCCCACUUAGUAAAUGAAAGUGACAACAUAGGAGACUCUCUAUUAUGAAGAUCAUGGUGCUAUUUUGAAGCACAAGUGCGGAAAAAGAGAUAGUAGCAUUGUCCCUUCUCUCUUUUUCUCUCAUUUUAUUUUAUUUUUUUCUUUUUUUUUCUUUUCCUUUUUUUUCUUCUUUUUUUUUCUUUGGCCUUUCUUUUUCUUUUUCUUUUUGGCCUUUCUCUUUUUUUCCUCCUUUUUUUUCUUUUUGUAAAGUCCGAAGUCUCAUCCCGACUUGUGGGGGAAUCGUAGCCUUCAUCAUCCUUUCCUCACUAGGACAAUGCUCUAAUAAUGAAGAUCAUCACACUUUUAUGGAUUUACAACUCAAGAAUUACAACUCAAAGCUAGAACAAGAUAUGACUCUAUAUGAAUGCCUCCGGCGGUGUACCAGGAUAUGCAAUGAACCAAGAGCGACAUGUAUGAAAAUUAUGAAAGUGGCCUUGCCACAAAUACGAUGUCAACUACAUGAUCAUGCAAAGAGCAAUAUGACAAUGAUGAAACGUGUCAUAAUAAAUGGAACGGUGGAAAGUUGCAUGGCAAUAUAUCUCGGAAUGGCUAUGGAAAUGCCAUAAUAGGUAGGUAUGGUGGCUGUUUUGAGGAAGGUAAAUAAAGGGUUCAUGAUACCGGCGAGAGUUGCGCGGUAAUAAUAAAGGCUAGCAAAGUGAAAGGAUGAGUGUGCAUAUAUCCAUGGACUCACAUUAGUCAAAAAAAACUCAUAUACUUAUUGCAAAAGCCUACUUAGCCCUCAAAGCGAAGUACUACUACGCAUGCCCCAAGAGGGAUAGAUUGGUAGGAAAAGACCAUCGCUCGUCCCCGACUGCCACUCAUAAGGAAGACAAUCAAAAGAGCACCUCAUGCAAUAAAUUUAUCACACAACUUUUACCAUACGUGCAUGCUACGAGACUUGCCAACUUCAACAAAAGUAUUUCUGAAUUUCAUAAUUACCCACUAGCAUGACCCUAACAUUACUACCUUAUCUCAAAACAAUUAUCAAGCAUCAAAUUGAUCAUAGCAUCCAAUUCUUUUUCUAUGAUAGUUUUUAUUAUACCCAACUUGGAUGCUCAUCAUUCUAAGACCAACUUUGUAACCAUAGCAAAUACCAUGCUAUUCUAAAAUACUCUCAAAAAUAUAUAAGUGAGGCAUGAGAGACUAGAAAUUUCUUCAAAAUUAAGACACCACCGUGCUCUAAAAAAUAUAAGUGAAGCACUAGAGCAAAAACUAUCAAGCUCAAAAGAUAUAAGUGAAGCACAUAGAGUAUUCUAGCAAAUUCUAAUCAAAUAGGCUUCUCCCAAAAGGUGUGUACAUCAAGGAUUAUUGUGGUAAACUAAAAAGCAAAGACUAAUAUAAUACACGACGCUCCAAGCAAAACACAUAUCAUGUGGCGAACAAAAAUAUAGCUCCAAGUAAAGUUACCAAUGAACAAAGACGAAAGAGGGGAUGGCUUCCCGGGGCAUCCCCAAGCUUAGGCUUUUGUCUAUCCUUGAAUAUCUUGGGGUGCAAUGGGCAUCCCCAAGCUUAGGAUCUUGCCACUCCUUAUUCCAUAGUCAAUAUAAAAGCUUUACCCAAAACUUGAAAACUUCACAACACAAAACUCAACAGGAAAUCUUAUAAGCUCCGUUAGUGAAACAAAACAAAACCUUCACAUAAGGUACUGUAAUGAACUCAUUCUUUAUUUAUUUUGGUGUUAAACCUACUGUAGUCCAACUUCUCUAUGGUCCAUAAACUAUUUUACUAGCCAUAGAUGCAUCAAAAUAAGCAAACAACACACGAAAAACAGAAUCUGUCAAAAAACAGAACAGUCUGUAGCAAUCUGUAACUAACACAAACUUCUGGAACUCCAAAAAUCCUACCAAAAUAGGAAGUCCUGGAAAAUUUGUUUAUCGAACAUAAGCAAAAAGACUCAACACAAAAGCACGUUCCUGUGAUUUAACAAAAUUAUAUUCGUGCGUGCAAAAUUUCUGUUUUUCAGCAGAAUCAAAUCAACUAUCAUCGUAGGUUAUCCUAUAGGUUCUACUUGGCACAAACACUAAUUAACUGAUAAAAACACAUCUAAACAGAAGGUAGAUGCAAGAUUUAUUAAUAAACAGGAGCAAAAACAAAUAACAUAAAGAAAAAUUGGGUUGCCUCCCAACUAGCGCUAUCGUUUAACGCCCCUAGCUAGGCAUAAAAGCAAAGAUAGAUCUAAGUAGUGCCAUCUUUUGCACUCAACUUUUUAGUGGAGUUGGGCUCAGGUCCGGGAGGCUCUUUGUGUUUCCCUUCAUGCUCUGAGAUCCUUUUAUCUAAGGCAUCCAACCAUUUAUUACAAAGUACAAUCAAGUUAUUCAUGCGGUUGAUACUCCCACCAAUAUUCUUAAGUGGUUCAACAAUUUUCUGCAACUCACAAAGUUUCUCUAAAAUUUGAGUUCCUUCAAGAGAGAAAGAUGACCCCCUUUUUUAAGGGAAGUACUCCUACUAUCCCUUCUAUAAUUUCAUACGCGAAACUAGGAUCAAUUUCAAUAAAACAUCCUUUUGCGGCAAAAUAAAGAAGUUGUCUAUGGGAUGGGGUUAACCAUACAUAAAAAUUGUGCAUUAAAAUCUUGAAAUCUCCUUACACGGCACAACUACGAUAAGAUUCUAACAUCCUAAACCAAGCAUCUUUUAAGUUUUCUCCUUGUCCUUGCUUGAAGUGAAGAACUUCAAAGUCGGGAGACGAAGGGAUAAAGACCGAGCUAGCCAUGACGACAAGGUAAACGUGCUAACACACGACAAACGGGAAAAGGCAAGCGAAAAAGAGAGGAGGAGAUUGGGAAAGAGAGGGCGAAUAAAACGGCAAGGGUGAAGUGGGGGAGAGGAAAACGAGAGGCAAAUGGCAAAUAAUGUAAAUGCGAGGGAGAUGGGUUUGUGAUGGGUACUUAGUAUGUCUUGACUUGAGCGAAGACCUCCCCGACAACGGCGCUAGAAAUCCUUCUUGCUACGUCUUGAGCUUGCGUUGGUUUUCCUCGAAGAGGAGAGGGUGAUUCAGCAAUACUAGCGUAAGUAUUUCCCUCAGUUUUUGAGAACCAAGGUAUCAAUCCAGUAGGAGGCUCCUCAAAAGUCCCACGCACCUACACAAACAAACUGAGAACUCGCAACCAACACAAUAAAGGGGUUGUCAAUCCCUUCACGGCCACUUGCGAAAGUGAGAUCUAAUAAAGAUAGUAUGAUAAGAUAAAUAUAUUUUUGGUAUUUUAUAAUAUAGAUGCAAAAAGUAAAGAUGCAAAUAAAAGUAGAUUGAAAGCAAAUAUGAUAAGAGAUAGACCCGGCGGCCAUAGGUUUCACUAGUGGCUUCGCUCAAGAUAGCAUAAGUAUUACGGUGGGUGAACAAAUUAUUGUCGAGCAAUUGAUAGAAAAGCACAUAGUUAUGAGAUUAUCUAGGCAUGAUCAUGUAUAUAGGAAUCACGUCCAUAACAAGUAGACCGACUCCUGCUUGCAUCUACUAUUAUUACUCCACACAUCGACCGACUCCUGCCUGCAUCUAGAGUAUUAAGUUCAUAAGAACAGAGUAACGCAUUAAGCAAGAUGACAUGAUGUAGAGGGAUAAACUCAAACAAUAUGAUAUAAACCCCAUCUUAUUAUCCUCGAUGGCAACAAUACAAUACGUGCCUGGCAACCCUUUCUGUCACUGGGUAAGGACACCGCAAGAUUGAACCCAAAGCUAAGCACUUCUCCCAUGGCAAGAAAGAUCAAUCUAGUAGGCCAAACCAAAAUGAUAAUUCGAAGAGACUUGCCAAGAUAACUCAAUCAUACAUAAAAGAAUUCAGAGAUGAUUCAAAUAUUAUUAAUAGAUAAACUUGAUCAUAAACCCACAAUUCAUCGGAUCUCGACAAACACACCGCAAAAAGAGUUUACAUCGAAUAGAUCUACACAAGAGAGGGGGAGAACAUUAUAUUGAGAUCCAAAAAGAGAGAAGAAGCCAUCUAGCUAAUAACUAUGGACCCGUAGGUCUGUGGUAAACUACUCACAACUCAUCGGAGGGGCAAGGAUGUUGAUGUAGAAGCCUUCCAUGGUCGAUUCCCCCUUCGGCAUAGCGCCGACGAAGGCUCCAAGAUGGGAUGUCGCGGAUACAGAAGGUUACGGUGGUGGAAAUUGUGUUUCGUCUUGCUCCUGGAUGUUUUUGGGGUACGUAGGUAUAUAUAGGAGGAAGAAGUACGUUGGUGGAUGCCCGAGGGGCCCACGAGACAGGGGGCGCGCCCUAUAGGGGGGGGCGCCCUCCUAUCUCGUGGGAGCCUCGAUUGCUUCUUGGCUUGCACUCCAAGUCCUCUGGAUCACGUUCGUUCCAAAAAUCACGCUCCCGAAGGUUUCAUUUUGUUUGGACUCCGUUUGAUAUUCCUUUUCGUCGAAAUACUGAAAUAGGCAAAAAAACAGCAAUACGUGCUGGGCCUCCGGUUAGUAGGUUAGUCCCAAAAAUGAUAUAAAUGUGUAAAAUAAAGCCCAUAAACAUCCAAAAGGGGUAAUAUAAUAGCAUGGAACAAUAAAAAAUUAUAGAUACGUUGGAGACGUAUCAGUAUCUUCCAAGCUAAGCGGGUUAUUCUCAUGAUGGGUGUUUAUUCACUUGUCCUUGCACGAGAGAUGCUGGUAUAAGGGAUGACCAAUCCCGUCAAUCAAAAUAUUAAUAAUAAUAAUAAAAUAAACUCCCCCCUCGACAGUUGAAAGUUUGGAGGGCACGCAUGAAUUCGGCUGGCCAUGGCUUGUGAUUUUAUGGUUGAGGGGGAAUACAUUUUUCAUUUCCGCAUGGGAAGUGCCAAUAAUGUGUUAAACAUGGAAGAUAUUGAAUACCUUAGUCAUCACAUUGACAGGAAAGGCACACCACUUAAAAUGUAUUCAUCUCUAUUUUAAGCAAUGAGCUCUACCACCUCUACAAAUCCAUGCUUCCCUCUGCGAAGAGCUCAUCUUUUACUUUUUCUGUUAAUUUUAUUUUCUUGAGUCAAUUUCUUAUUCCAACAUAUUCUCUAAUUGGAAAGCAUCAUGAGGUGGAGAAAGAUCUAGGCACAUAUAGCCAUUCAAAUAUAUUUGAUAAUUAAUUAUUAUUGUUGACAAUUAUCUCUAUGAUAAGUAAGUUGGGAGUCGAAACAUCAAGCCCCUGUCUUUCUCUGUGUUUGAUGGAUGCUAUUUGUUCUAAAAAUAUGCUUUGAAUAUUAGCAAUCAUAGAAGACUAUAUGAUAAUUGAGUAUGUGGAGCUCUUACUAGACUUUGUUGAAAAUAAGAUGCAUUGAAACUGUUUGGUGACUAAGUUUAUAGGUUGUUAAGUUUCAAGAGAAUGCAUCGCUUGAACCAUAACAUGUGAAUUGAUUGCUACUUUAUCAUGAUGAGUUUAUAAGAAAGAGUUACUGUCAUGAUGGUAGGGAAAGUGAUUCAAAUUAUGAUUGAUCAAACUUAUGCACUAUGCUAGCAUUCACACAUCAUAAAUUAUUUCUUUUAUCAUUUCCUACUCAAGGAUGAGUAAGAAUUAAGCUUGGGGAUGCUCAUACGUCUACAACAUAUCUAUAAUUUAUGAAAUAUUCAUGCCAUGUUUACAAUAAUUUUGUAUGGUUUUGGUGCACCUUUAUAUUACUUUUAUGGACUAACUUAUUAAUCUAGUGCCCACUGCCAGUUCCUUUUUUUGCAUGUUUUUUGUUUCGCAGAAAUACCAUAUCAAACAAAGUCCAAAUGGGAUAAAAUUUAUGGAGAUUUUUUAUAGAAUAUAUAUUAUUUUUGGUAAGAAGAAUCAAUGCAAGAUGGUGUUCGUGGGCCCCACAAGGCAACACGGCACGACCUACCCCCUGCACUUGACAAACUGUAUGGAAAGUAUAGUGAUAGCUUUCAACUGUUAUAUACUUUCAAAGCUGAAGUAGAGAGGGCAUCACCAGGCAGUAUUGUGGAGAUUGAGAGGCACACAGUUGAGUACAAGAUGAAUAACAAGAAGUUCUACAAGGAGGGCUUUAGAAGGGUGUUUGUGUGCUUCAAAGCAUGUCAAAAAGGUUUUCUGGAGGGGUGUAGGCCAUACCUAGCUGUAGAUGCUACUGCGUUGACUGGUAGGUUCGAAGGGCAACUUGUGGCAGCAUGUGCAUUAGAUGUACACAACUGGUUGUUUCCUGUUGCAUAUGGUGUUUUGGAAGGGGAGUCAAUUGAGAGUUGGACUUGGUUUUUUAGCAACCUAAAGAAAGUAAUAGGUCAUCCAGAAGGUAUAGUGAUACAUACUGAUGCUUGCAAGGGAUUGGAAACUGCUGUUGAGGAUGUUUACCCUGGAGUGGAGCACAGAGAGUGCAUGAGGCACUUGGCCCAAAAUUUCAGCAAGAAAUUCAAGGGGAAGUUUUAUGAUGAUAAUUUGUGGCCAUGCUCACUAACUUGUAGCAUCAAGAAACACAACUAUCACUUGAACCAAUUGAAAAGCAAGCCCAAAGUAAAGGAAUAUCUAGAGGAACACCACACAAAAACAUGGGCAAGAGCUGAUUUCAAUGAGAUUAGCAAAGUUGACUAUGUUAAUAACAACCUAGCUGAGUCAUUCAACUCCAGAAUCAAAAAAUACAAGAGCCUGCACAUAGUUGAUCUGCUAGACAAGAUUAGGCAGUAUAUCAUGGAGAAAUUUGACUUAAGAAACAGAAUUGCCUCUGACCAUUUCAUUGGGCACUACAUCAUACCAGCAGUUAUGAAGGUGUUAAUGGAGCAAACCAAAGGUUUACAAAUGAGUAUAGUGAGGAGAAGCCCACAGAGGCAGAGGUGACUACUACUGAUAGUGAGAAGAGAGAAUGGAGGUACCCUGUUGACUUAGAGCACUGGUCUUGCAGUUGCAGACAGUGGCAGAUCACAGGUAAACCAUGCAUCCAUGCACUUUUCUUUAUCACUGCUCUAAGAGGUGAAGCAAAUGGGAUAGAUCAGUAUGUGCACAAAUAUUAUUCAGUUGACAUGUUCAGAGCUACUUAUGCUGAGAACCUCCCAGCUCUAGAAGGCAAGCAACAGUGGGACAUUAUAGAUCCUGGAUUCAAAUUGUGUGCUCCUAUUCAACACAGAGCUCCAGCAGACCAAGAAAGCAAAGGAUUAGAAGUAGCACUGAAGGAAAAGGCCUUGGUCCUAGGAAGCACAAGUGCAAAAGGUGUGGGAGAUGUGGACACAAAGCCAAGGGCUGCAAACAAUCUGUUGAUCCAGCCUUUGGAAAAGAUGAACAUUGGGGAGCAGACAAUGCAAAUGAUCAUCCUACAGCCAAUGAACCAGCAGAAGCAGAAAUACAAGAGGAGGGGGAGGAGGAUGAGACAACACCUGAUGUUCUUCAGUAGCAGAUGCCACCACCAAAGGAGCCCUCACAUGAUGCAUCUACAGGAGCUAGUUGUGCAGUCAGGUAUAAGAUCUUGGCUUACAAAUUCUUACAUGUUUUGAUCUUACUGCUUUAUAAAAUCUUUCAAAUUAUGAUGUGCUUCCACUUGUUUUAGCCCUAGGAAAAAUUUUAAAAGGGCAGCAGCAAGAGGAGCUUCUCCCAGGUGUGUCAAGCAGAAAACAAUUGUGGAACAGGAGCAAGAAAGCAGUGUUCAAAGCAAAGGUUUCUCUCCAAAAAGAGCAGUAGCAGCAGUUGAACCUCCAAACCCAUGAAAGAACACUAGAAUCAAGGCAAUGCUAGCUCCAAACCCAGCCAAGAACACCAGGAGCAAGAACUUAAGUUCUAGUGCUAUGUUAUAUUUGCCAAUGAUGUUAUCUUGUUGCACUCAACUUUUUAGUGGAGUUGGGCUCAGGUCCGGGAGGCUCUUUGUGUUUCCCUUCAUGCUCUGAGAUCCUUUUACCUAAGGCAUCCAACCAUUUAUUACAAAGUACAAUCAAGUUAUUCAUGCGGUUGAUACUCCCACCAAUAUUCUUAAGUGGUUCAACAAUUUUCUGCAACUCACAAAGUUUCUCUAAAAUUUGAGUUCCUUCAAGAGAGAAAGAUGACCCCCUUUUUUAAGGGAAGUACUCCUACUAUCCCUUCUAUAAUUUCAUAAGCGAAACUAGGAUCAAUUUCAAUAAAACAUCCUUUUGCGGCAAAAUAAAGAAGUUGUCUAUGGGAUGGGGUUAACCAUACAUAAAAAUUGUGCAUUAAAAUCUUGAAAUCUCCUUACACGGCACAACUACGAUAAGAUUCUAACAUCCUAAACCAAGCAUCUUUUAAGUUUUCUCCUUGUCCUUGCUUGAAGUGAAGAACUUCAAAGUCGGGAGACGAAGGGAUAAAGACCGAGCUAGCCAUGACGACAAGGUAAACGUGCUAACACACGACAAACGGGAAAAGGCAAGCGAAAAAGAGAGGAGGAGAUUGGGAAAGAGAGGGCGAAUAAAACGGCAAGGGUGAAGCGGGGGAGAGGAAAACGAGAGGCAAAUGGCAAAUAAUGUAAAUGCGAGGGAGAUGGGUUUGUGAUGGGUACUUAGUAUGUCUUGACUUGAGCGAAGACCACCCCGACAACGGCGCUAGAAAUCCUUCUUGCUACGUCUUGAGCUUGCGUUGGUUUUCCUCGAAGAGGAGAGGGUGAUUCAGCAAUAGUAGCGUAAGUAUUUCCCUCAGUUUUUGAGAACCAAGGUAUCAAUCCAGUAGGAGGCUCCUCAAAAGUCCCACGUACCUACACAAACAAACUGAGAACUCGCAACCAACACAAUAAAGGGGUUGUCAAUCCCUUCACGGCCACUUGCGAAAGUGAGAUCUAAUAAAGAUAGUAUGAUAAGAUAAAUAUAUUUUUGGUAUUUUAUAAUAUAGAUGCAAAAAGUAAAGAUGCAAAUAAAAGUAGAUUGAAAGCAAAUAUGAUAAGAGAUAGACCCGGGGGCCAUAGGUUUCACUAGUGGCUUCUCUCAAGAUAGCAUAAGUAUUACGGUGGGUGAACAAAUUAUUGUCGAGCAAUUGAUAGAAAAGCACAUAGUUAUGAGAUUAUCUAGGCAUGAUCAUGUAUAUAGGCAUCACGUCCAUAACAAGUAGACUGACUCCUGCCUGCAUCUACUAUUAUUACUCCACACAUCGACCGACUCCUGCCUGCAUCUAGAGUAUUAAGUUCAUAAGAACAGAGUAACGCAUUAAGCAAGAUGACAUGAUGUAGAGGGAUAAACUCAAACAAUAUGAUAUAAACCCCAUCUUAUUAUCCUCGAUGGCAACAAUACAAUACGUGCCUGGCAACCCUUUCUGUCACUGGGUAAGGACACCGCAAGAUUGAACCCAAAGCUAAGCACUUCUCCCAUGGCAAGAAAGAUCAAUCUAGUAGGCCAAACCAAAAUGAUAAUUCGAAGAGACUUGCAAAGAUAACUCAAUCAUACAUAAAAGAAUUCAGAGAAGAUUCAAAUAUUAUUCAUAGAUAAACUUGAUCAUAAACCCACAAUUCAUCGGAUCUCGACAAACACACUGCAAAAAGAGUUUACAUCGAAUAGAUCUCCACAAGAGAGGGGGAGAACAUUAUAUUGAGAUCCAAAAAGAGAGAAGAAGCCAUCUAGCUAAUAACUAUGGACCCGUAGGUCUGUGGUAAACUACUCACAACUCAUCGGAGGGGCAAGGAUGUUGAUGUAGAAGCCUUCCAUGGUCGAUUCCCCCUCCGGCAUAGCGCCGACGAAGGCUCCAAGAUGGGAUGUCGCGGAUACAGAAGGUUACGAUGGUGGAAAUUGUGUUUCUUCUUGCUCCUGGAUGUUUUUGGGGUACGUAGGUAUAUAUAGGAGGAAGAAGUACGUUGGUGGAUGCCCGAGGGGCCCAUGAGACAGGGGGCACGCCCUAUAGGGGGGGGCCUUCCUAUCUCGUGGGAGCCUCGAUUGCUUCUUGGCUUGCACUCCAAGUCCUCUGGAUCACGUUCGUUCCAAAAAUCACGCUCCCGAAGGUUUCAUUUCGUUUGGACUCCGUUUGAUAUUCCUUUUCGUCGAAAUACUGAAAUAGGCAAAAAAACAGCAAUACGUGCUGGGCCUCCGGUUAGUAGGUUAGUCCCAAAAAUGAUAUAAAUGUGUAAAAUAAAGCCCAUAAACAUCCAAAAGGGGUAAUAUAAUAGCAUGGAACAAUAAAAAAUUAUAGAUACGUUGGAUACGUAUCAGUAUCUUCCAAGCUAAGCGGGUUAUUCUCAUGAUGGGUGUUUAUUCACUUGUCCUUGCACGAGAGAUGCUGGUAUAAGGGAUGACCAAUCCCGUCAAUCAAAAUAAUAAUAAUAAUAAUAAAAUAAACUCCCCCCUCGACAGUUGAAAGUUUGGAGGGCACGCGUGAAUUCGGCUGGCCAUGGCUUGUGAUUUUAUGGUUGAGGGGGAAUACAUUUUUCAUUUCCGCAUGGGAAGUGCCAAUAAUGUGUUAAACAUGGAAGAUAUUGAAUACCUUAGUCGUCACAUUGACAGGAAAGGCACACCACUUAAAAUGUAUUCAUCUCUAUUUUAAGCAAUGAGCUCUACCACCUCUACAAAUCCAUGCUUCCCUCUGCGAAGAGCUCAUCUUUUACUUUUUCUGUUAAUUUUAUUUUCUUGAGUCAAUUUCUUAUUCCAACAUAUUCUCUAAUUGGAAAGCAUCAUGAGGUGGAGAAAGAUCUAGGCACAUAUAGCCAUUCAAAUAUAUUUGAUAAUUAAUUAUUAUUGUUGACAAUUAUCUCUAUGAUAAGUAAGUUGGGAGUCGAAACAUCAAGCCCCUAUCUUUCUCUGUGUUUGAUGGAUGCUAUUUGUUCUAAAAAUAUGCUUUGAAUAUUAGCAAUCAUAGAAGACUAUAUGAUAAUUGAGUAUGUGGAGCUCUUACUAGACUUUGUUGAAAAUAAGAUGCAUUGAAACUGUUUGGUGACUAAGUUUAUAGGUUGUUAAGUUUCAAGAGAAUGCAUCGCUUGAACCAUAACAUGUGAAUUGAUUGCUACUUUAUCAUGAUGAGUUUAUAAGAAAGAGUUACUGUCAUGAUGGUAGGGAAAGUGAUUCAAAUUAUGAUUGAUCAAACUUAUGCACUAUGCUAGCAUUCACACAUCAUAAAUUAUUUCUUUUAUCAUUUCCUACUCAAGGAUGAGUAAGAAUUAAGCUUGGGGAUGCUCAUACGUCUCCAACAUAUCUAUAAUUUAUGAAAUAUUCAUGCCAUGUUUACAAUAAUUUUGUAUGGUUUUGGUGCACCUUUAUAUUACUUUUAUGGACUAACUUAUUAAUCUAGUGCCCACUGCCAGUUCCUUUUUUUUGCAUGUUUUUUGUUUCGUAGAAAUACCAUAUCAAACAAAGUCCAAAUGGGAUAAAAUUUACGGAGAUUUUUUAUAGAAUAUAUAUUAUUUUUGGUAAGAAGAAUCAACGCAAGAUGGUGUUCGUGGGCCCCACAAGGCAACACGGCACGACCUACCCCCUGGCCGCGCCAUGAUGUCUUGUGGGCACCUCGUAAGUCAGUUGGAGCCCUUAUUUCACCACAAGAAAUAUAAUUUCCGGAUAAAAAUCCCCUCGCAAUUUCAGCCCAAUCGAACUUACAGAUCUCUGGGAAUAUAAGAAACAGUUUUCAGCCAGGAAACAACAGCGAAAAAUAGAAGACAACAGAGAGAUCCAUUCUAGGGGAGAGCUCCUCUCCCCCUCAGAGGGCCAAGGAAGAAGAAGGAGGCCCCCCUUCUCCUCUCCUCCGGUGGCACCGGAACACCGCCGGGGACAUCUCCUCAAUCACCAUCACCACCAACUUUUCCUCCGUUCUCAUGGUUAUGUGUGAGUAGUUCACCCCCGAGAUUGAGGGUAUGUACUAGUAGCUAUGUGUAUGAUCUCUCUAUCUCUCAUGUUCUUGAUCCGACAUGAUCUUGAUGUAACCAUGGGCUUUGUUAAUAUAGUCAGAUCAUAUGGUGUUUCCCCCUCUCUAUCUUGUUGUGAUGACUCGAGUCUUUCCCUUUGAGGUUUUACUAUUAUCGGAUUGAAUAUUUUGGAUCUGAGAACACUUGAUGUAUGUCUUGCAUGUGGAUACCCGUGGUGACAAUGGGGUGUUCUAUUGAUUCACUUGAUAUAUAUGUUUUUGCAAUCAACUUGCGUAUUCUCUGGUAGAUGCACGUUUUCAUCCUACUUUCUCCGAUAGAAACUUUGGGGGUACUCUUUGAAGUUCUUUAUGUUGGAUUGAAUAUUAUGAAUCAGAAGUUGUUUGAUGCAUAUCGUAUAAUUGACUCACGGAUACUUGUGGUGACAUUGUACUAUCUAGGUGACAUUAGAGUUGAUUGAUGCGUAUCAUAUGGUGUUAUUUUAGUAUCAACUCUAGGGUUGUUUGUGACACUUAUAGGAAUAGCUCAAUAGAUAGAUCAAAAAGGAUAACUUUGAGGUGGUUUACUACGUACAACAAUUUCUUCUUAUGUUCUCCGCUAUUGAUAAGAACUUUGGAGUGAUUCUUUGUCGUAUGUUGAGGGAUGGUUAUAUGAUUCCAUUAUGUUAACAUUGUUGAGAGAUUGCACUAGUGAAUGUAUGAACCCUAGGCCUUCUUUCCAAGCAUUGAAAUUUCAUUUGUACUCCGUUUUAUCACUUGCUACGUUGCUAUUUGUAUAUUUCCAGAUUACAAAAACCUAUAUCUACUAUCCAUACUAUACUUGUAUCACCAUCUCUUCGCCGAACUAGUGCAUCUAUACAGUUUACCAUUGUAUUUGGUGUGUUAGGGACACUUGUGAUUUCUUCUAUUUGAUUGCAGGGUUGUUUGAGAGAGACCAUCUUCAUCCUACGCCUCCCAUAGAUUGAUAAACCUUAGGUCAUCCACUUUAGGGAAAUUUGCUGCUGUCCUAAAAAACUUCGCGCUUGGAGGCCCAACACGAGUGUACAAGAAUAAGUUGUGUAGUAGACAUCAGGCGACAAGCUUAAGGUAAUCACGAUCUACUGAGUGUUAGUAGGACGAGAGGAUCAAGGAUUUAUUGGUGGAAUUGUUCCAUCAAUAUUUAGAAUAGUUCUGAGAGGAGCCAGAAGCGUUUAGGGGUCAUUGGAAGGGUUCCGUGUUUAUGAGGCAAUACCUGGUAUUCCCGAUAAUUAAUAUAUAGAUGGAAAAUGUUUUCGGUGACGUCAAAUUAUAUAAAAAAGGUCUAGUCAUUAUUAGAAGGAUUUAUAUUAAUUUAAAUAUCAAAUGGGCCUAAUAAGGCCAAGUGGUGGAGUGAGAAUUGGGCUACCAUGGCCCAAGAAGGGAGGCGCCCCCUUUCCUAUAGGGGAGACGAAUUGCGGUUGGGGGAGGACUCGUCCUUCCCUCUAGGAUGACGCAAGGGGGAGCCCUUUCCCCCCUUGUGUGGCGCCCCUCCUCUCCCCUCCAACCUAUAUAUACUUGAGGUAUUAAGCCCUUUUCUACACACAAGUUUUGCAGCCUCCUCUAGUUCAUCUAAUCCUCAUAAUUAGAAGCCCAAUGUGGUUCUAAUCUCCCCCUCUAAUUCUCCUGCGAUGAUUAGCUCUGGACGGCAAAGCAUCGCCGGAUCUGAAGACCAUAUGCUUGCAACCAAGUAGAGAGGCCAUGCUUUUGGUCUUCCAUUAGAGGGAACGUUCGAGGGCGGUUUGCGGGAUCACCAUCAACAGUUUGAGGGACUCCAAGUAUGAUCUACAUCGACUCGUCUACUUUUGCUGCAACUCCGGAGUCGGUAACGAUCAUUGAUCCAAGCCCUAUAUAUAUAUGGAUCUUCAUACUGUUCCUGGGUGAUCGUAGGGCAAUUUUUUUGUUUUCUACUACCUUUCGCAACAAUGGCUUCAUGAGCGGUUCUAUGAGUAGAUAUAGGUUUAAAUCUAGAUCACAUGUGGAUGUUAGGGUUUGAUGUUCUUGCUACGCUUCCCUCGAGUGUUGCUUUAGUUCAGUUCGUUGAUGGCACAAUGUAGCUUUCUACAAUGUUCUGACAGUCGAUCGGCUCUGGCUGUAGAUGAUCUGCUAACAGUUCCUUACGCUUUAGCAUAGUCAAGAAUAGUGAACCGUCACGUACGCAAGAGGGCGAUGAAAAUAAAUGGUCUUCUAGGGGUUCACGUGUGUUUCAUGAAGUUUAGUGUAGGGGAUGAGAUUUUUCAUUAAGUCUCUUGUUUCACACACCCCAAAAGUUAAUCAAGCAACAAGAAUCAUCGCCUUGAUUAUGCACAUUGGUAGUUAGUGUUAUCCGAAAACCCUAGCAGACACGUAAUUAAAAAUUUCCAAAUCGAUUAGAGGUCGUUUAACUUGGUUUUGCAGGUUUGCAUAUGAUGUGGUAUAGCCUUAGUCAUGAUAAUCAUUUUAUGUAUGAGAUGGUUAUAUGUUGUAAUGUUAAGGGGCCUGCGCGUCACGGCGUGAUGGUUGGAGCCACGGGAUGCCCACCUUCACUACAAAAAAAAGACACAUCCAUGACAUUUUGGGCCAAGUGAAUUUUUUUUUCUGUCAUACAUAUGACACUUCUAUGACGAUAAUUGUGACAAAACCCGGUAUCAUCAUAGAUGUGGUGGGCUCCUACUUCUAUGACAAAAAAUCAUGACAGAAAAUGGGCUUUUCGUCCUGGGCGGGCCGGAGACGCAGCUGCAUGACAUUCUUUGGGCCGUCCAUGACGGAAAAAACUGUGGUAGAAGCGAGGGGGAGGAAAAUUUCGGGGAGUUGCCGGUUACGGUGGGAGGUCGGGGGCGGAGCGAUGCGCGUUUCUCUCUCGUACGUACACGCGUGUGUGCGAGGCGUUGGGCUCUAACUGAACCCGAGCGAUUGCACUGCAGGCUAUGCGUUACUGAACCCGAGCGAUCGAUCGAUGGCUGUUAACUGAACCCGAUGGAGCGAUUCCUUCNNNNNNNNNNNNNNNNNNNNNNNNNNNNNNNNNNNNNNNNNNNNNNNNNNNNNNNNNNNNNNNNNNNNNNNNNNNNNNNNNNNNNNNNNNNNNNNNNNNNNNNNNNNNNNNNNNNNNNNNNNNNNNNNNNNNNNNNNNNNNNNNNNNNNNNNNNNNNNNNNNNNNNNNNNNNNNNNNNNNNNNNNNNNNNNNNNNNNNNNNNNNNNNNNNNNNNCGGUGGAGUAGCGCGCGGUGGAGGCUGGAGGAGGUCGAUGGUAGCCCGUGGAGGCUGGAGGAGGUCGACGGUGGAGAUGAACAGUAUCCCGUGGAGUCCCGUUUUGCGGUACGCCACACCCUCCCCCCCGUUUCAACUGUAGCGCUCCAACACAAGUCCGUUUCAUCCGUUUUGCGGUACGCCACACCCCUCCCGAUCAACAGGACCCCCGUUUCGACCGUAGGAGGUCCGUUUCGUCCGUUUUGCGGUACGCCACACCCCUCCCGAUCAACAGGACCCCCGUUUCGACCAUAGGAGGUCCGUUUCCUCCAUUCUGCGGUACGCCAGGCCUCGUUUCCAAUGCCUGUUCCGUCCAAGCCGGUUGGCUCCCACGCGUUCCGUUGCCUCCCGAUGAACACGACGCAUUCCGUUGCCUCCCGAUGAACACGACGCAUUCCGUUGCCUCCCCAUGAACACGACGCAUUCCGUUGCCUCCCCAUGAACACGGCGCAUUCCAUUGCCUCCCCAUGAACAUGACCCCUCGCCGUACGUAUGCGCGACUAGGCGUUCAUGACCCCGUCCGUAUGUACACAUACGUGGCCGUAUUUUCUUUCUUGCACCCUGGCCGCUGUACGUACGUGUACAUGCUACGUGCGUGCCUCUACUAUGACACGUGCGCGCCUCUACAACGACCAGUAUGUAUGUACAUGUUAGCGACCAGAAUGACAACGCUACAUACGCUUCGACCAGGUGGGUCCCGACUGUCAGGCAGUUCCUUGCGUGCAAACAUGUAGCUGGUGGGUCCCAACAGUUAGAGGGGCGAAUUGUUUUUUUGCCCAGACGCACUUCCUUUGCGUGUGAAGAUGUAGCUGGUGGGUCCCAGCAGUCAGGGGGCAAAUCGUUUUUUUUGCCCGGACGCACUUCCUUGCGUGCGAAGAUGUAGCUGGUGGGUCCCAGCAGUCAGGGGGCGAAUCAUCUUUUUUUGCCCGGACGCACUUCCUUGCGUGCGAAGGUGUAGCUGGUGGGUCCCAGCAGUCAGGGGGGAAACGUUUUUUCGCUAAAUAUGGUGGCCUGUCCGGUGGGUCCUCGCUGUCAGGUGGAGGAAUAAUUAUUUUGCGCGUAAUAAGGAGGCACUUCCUUGCUGCGGCCGUGGACCUAGCUAUCAGCCUGUCCACGUACAGUCCACGUCCGAUGGAAGCCGUUCCUUGACCAUGUUGACCACGCCGCGCGAGAGCACCAGGGUGGUGGACGAUGGCGAGGCCUAGGAAGGGGACAACGCGGAGCCGGGGAAGACGUGGCAGUGGAUGCCCACGCGUAGAAGAGUACGAGGGUUCACUGGUUCGCUGUGGUGUGAGGCUGCCGUCGCUGCAGAAUAACAGGGGGUCUGGGUGAGUAGAGGGAUGGCCUGGCCAACGAUGUUAGUAGUAUGGGGUGGUGAGGCCUCCGCCGCAUCGCAGCCGGCCACGGGAGGCUGGAGCAUGAGGCACGACCGGCGCUGGUUUGGGCGGCUGGAGCAAGAAGACCAGAGGUUGAAGAAGCACUACGGCCAUUGGAUGGACAUCGUACGGUCACUGGAGCUAGAAUCAUGCAUAUUGACUAAGUUGACAAAGCCCUCCGUCCCCUUCAACUUAGUAGGCCCACAAGUCAGCCUCCCACCAAGGUGGGUCCCAGCUAGCUAGGUGGGUAUUCAUUUUUUUGUGCAUAAUAAGGAGGCACUUCCGGUGGGUCCGAGCUGACAGCAAGGGGAACGUUUUUUCGCGAAAUAUGGUGGCCCAUCGGGUGGGUCCCAGCAGUCAGGGGCAAACAUUUUUUUCGCGAAAUACUGGUGGUCCGUCCGGUGGGUCCCUGCUGUCAGGUGCAGGAAUAAUUAUUUUUCGCGUAAUAAGGAGGCACUUCCUUGCGGCUGCCGUGGACCCAGCUGUCAGCCUCUCCAUGUACAGUAUUCUUCCGAUGGAAUUCGGUCGUUGACCACAUUGACCACGCCGCGCCGAGAGCACCACGGCGGUGGACGACGGCGAGGCCUAGGAAGGGGACGACGCCGAGCUGGGGAAGACGCGGCAGUGGAUGCCCACGCGGAGAGGAGUAUGAGGGUUCAUUGGUUCGGCUACACUGCUGUCGCCGCAGAAUAACAGGGGGUGUGGGUGAGUGGAGUGUAGGGAUGACCUGGCUAGCGGUGGGAGUAGUAUGGGGGCGGUGAGGCCUCCGCGGCAGCACAGCCGGCCACGAGAGGUAGGAGCAGGCGGCACGACCGGCGCUGCUUUGGGCGGCUGGAGCAGGAAGAUCAGAGAUUGAAGAAGCACGACGGCCGUUGGAUGGACAUCCAACAGUCACUGCUAUGUGUUGACUAAGUUGACAAAGCAUUGCGUACGCGUCAAAAAAAAAAUUAGGACAACAUCAUCGUCAACCUAGUAGGCCCAGAAGUCAGCCUCCAAAUCUGUGGAAAACAGCAUACAGACCAUUAGCCAUUAUUUUCAAUAAUUUACAGCCCAUUUGCUAAUUCUUAAGGAUAUUUGAAGCUCAUAUUCUUUUUAUUAGCAUUACAGACCAUAUAUUCUGGGCACUGCUAAAAAAUUCAACAAAAUUUUGCAUAUUUCGGUGGGGUCCGAACUCCUUUAAUCACAAAAUUUCGAGUCACGUUAGAAACAGUUUUCAAAAAAUUAUAUCAAAAUAAAAUUCAAAAAACAAUUCUCCGCAAAAAAAGAAUGAAAUUUAGAAUCUUAACUAGCAAGAUGCCCAUUUGUUGCACGGAACAUGAAGAUGCAUUUGUAUGAGUAGUUUAUCUUGUGGGUGAAAAGAUGAUAUUUUAGUGUAAUUGCCAGUUGGCUUUGGUUUUUAUAAGAGUAGAGAGUAGAGAAAUCCUGAAAAAAAAUGAUAUUUUAAUUCAAUUGCCGGUUGGCUUUGGUUUAAAAAUUUACAGCCCAUUUCUUACAACUUAUAGCCCAUUUUAUGGGGAAGCCCAUUUCUUAUCCCUCCUCGUCUUGAAAGAUUUGCAGCCCAGCAGGGCUGAGAAAAGCAAGUAGGCCUCGGUUUUGGUAUUCUCCAAAAAAAAGAACUGGGCUAGCCAAUUUUAGAAAGAAAAAAAUAUCAACUGGGCUCGUCAUGUGCUUAAUAAAAGCGUAAGCGUGGGCUAGACGGGCCACAGCCCCCGCACAGGGCGCAGUUGAUCUCCGUCUCUGAAACUGAAAAACAACUGGGCGAGCUGCUGGGUCCCUGGUGUUAUCCGCUCGUUAUGUAAUUUUCUCGUUUAUUGAUUACAUUGACAAUGGCAUGGAACCUAGUUGUCAAACAAUUAGGAGGAAGUAUUGUUUUGGCUUGUAAUAACGAGGCACCUGCUUGCGAAAUGCAAUGACCCUGGUGGGUCCCUACUAUCAGCCUCUCCACGUAUAGUCAUCUCCUGAUUCCUCUUGGUUGUUGACCAUGUUGACAACACCAGAUGGCGGCGAGCACAGCGAGCUAACCAAGGCGGAGAACGACGACAAGGCCUCGGACGGGAAUGAACAGCAGCCAUGAAAGAUGCGACAGUGUAGUGGCAGGUCGAGGGGAGUACGAGGGCAACAACAUGCAAGUCAAGCAUACAAAUGGUACAAAAAGCCCAAGGAUUAAUUGUUUAUCAAAUUUUUAGACAAAACCCAGAUUGAACAUGACAGCAACAUCUAACCCAACCACUCUUUUUUGCAGUCACAAACAAAUGGAUCGGCCUGAUCCAUAAAAUCAACAUCCUAUGUAAAAAAAAUUAUUUCAGGAUGUCUACAACUUAUUGUAAAUAUAAGCCGAGCAUGUUUAGAAGCCCAUUUGUCCACCUGAAACUUCUUAUUUUGCUGUUCAACAUGUUCGUCCGUGAGAAAUCUCUUGCUGUAAAAAUUAAGCCUCAUGGACAAUAGUAACCUCGCGUUCAACAGGAAGAAUGUGACAAAGCUUCUGUUUGCUUGGUUGGAUGCAUAUCGUCCCAUCGUUAUUAUCCUCAAACGAAUGUCAUGAGAAUUGAGAAAAUCCUUGUGCUUAUUACGCCAACGAUUGGUUAUAUGUUUUUCUCCAUGUGGUUCUCCCUAAGUAGACAUGAAGAUUGAAAACAGUUAAGGUCUGAAAAAAGAGUAUGUCGAAAGAACGACAGCUGAACAGUUAAUUCUAGUACAAUAUAUACGGGCUUUCAAUGUGCAUGAAAUCAUCACCUCUAUGUAUAAAUUCUCCAGAGAUCGAAAGCAUCGCAGCAAGCCAAUAAUUAUGUCCAGAUCAAAACUAUACAUUCUGAUAUAUAUGAUCUUGACAGAAUCCAGCAGCAUUGAUAGGCUAUCAAUGGACGAACUCUUCAUUGAGCAUAUAACAUAAUAUUAGUACCCAAAGUGUACUCCAAGAUGAUAUAAAACUUAUGCGCACAAAUGAAAAAUGCAGCAUAUGAUGACAAAUGUGUAGAUGAAAAUAUACGGUACCUAAAAAAGUGAGGAGCCAAACACCAACUCCUUGUGAUUAUUAAACGGGUCACGAAUUACACCCAAGGUCUCCAGUUUGGGCGCAGAGACGAUAGUUAUUUCUGAAGGUGUAUAACAACUAUGAAGGAGCAACCUUUCAAGUAAAGGGGCAUCUUCGAUGAUGAGCUGCUGUCCUUUAAAACAAAUUCCAAUGCUUUUAAGGUGAGGCGACUUUAUUUGGAGACAACUGAUAUCGAUUUCUAUUCCCAAAACAAUCAGCAAGUGCUCCAGGGUAGGGCAACUGGAGUGGAUGAUGUUGUGCAAUGAGGCCUCCGACAGAUAAACCACCACAAGCGAAAGUUUUUUUAGCAGUGGGAGUCGAAGCAUUUGUACCAGAUCGUCUGGUAGAUGGCACCGGGUGAAGGUGGCGGUGUGGAGAGAGGAGGAAAACCGCAAGAUGGACAACGGUGGUGUGGGCACGAAUUCUUGGUAUGUUCGUGGUAUGAAACUUUCGUGGUAAUGGUAGAACUCAAACUGCUGGAGUUUUUCGAAUUCAGGGGAUGUCAGCCAAGCGUCCACCUUGUCGGGUAUGGACAGCAGGUAGCUUGUCGGGAUGUAGAGGCAUUGAACGGGGCCCUGCUGGUGAGAAGAGACGAUGGCUCUGAUGAGAUCAAAUUCAGGAAGGACAGAUAUCUGACGACAUUCGAGAUUGAGGGGCGCGGUGCGCCAUAGAGGGCGCCACCGAGUUGAGAGGACUUGUGUGCGGCAGCAAUCCUUGGUGGGGAGAAGCGAGAUGAUCUCCUCAAGGAUGACAUCUGGGAGAUCGUUGAUGCGGUCCACCGGAGAUUCUACCGGUUCCUCAGAUCCAGGUGGGGGGGGGGGGCUCGCCACUUCUCCCCGCGCUACCGGGUGCGGGAUCUACAACCGGCAUCGCCGCUGGCGGGAGCCUCAUCUUCUUGGCGCUGGGGCCAGCCGACUCCAUUUUCCUUGUGGGCGUCGCGCCGAGCUCACGGGUUUGAGCAGAGUAGCCAGAGACGAGCCUAGUAGCAGUGCGAGUGGGGAAGAAGGAGGGCUGGGGAUUUCUGUAGGAGUGGAAGAAGAGGAGUAGGCGUUUUCUAUACGAGUAAGGAAGAAGGUGAGCGGGGUUUUCUGGACGAGUGAGGAAGAUUGGGGAGCGGGGGGAAUUGGGUGGGGAGACGGAAGAGGGAGAGCGAGCUUUUCGUGUUUAUAAGGCACACUGCACUAACUACUCGCUUUUUCCCAAGAACCGCUCUCUUCCUUUGCGUUGCUGCAUGACUGGCCAUGCAUGCAGGAUGCAUGUGCCCGCCGGCCACUGCAUGCGCCUGGUUUGUUACUAGGCCUAUUUAAUAGGAUGGUUAUGGAGUAAAUUAAGGAGAUUUAUUUUCUUUGUGUGCAUCCACCAAAUUAGAGGAUGCGGUACUGGAUGCAGACACUCACAUUAAACUAACAUUCAGAAGAACAAAAGUUCAGCAUGUCUAUGCAUCUCAAUGAUUCACCAUACUAUAACCAAUAUACAAAAUUGUGAGAAGGUGUGGAAAUAAAGAAAAUUGGUCGAUGCUUCUUUGAGCAAAGGGCCUCCCUGCGCACGCAUUAAUUUCCUGGGCAUGCUUGUUUCUUCUCAAUGUUGCGAGCACUUUGAGCAUGUUGGCAACUCCACAACUAUCUAGCUGCCUCAUCUUGCAAUUGAUGCUGACACAUUUGCAGCAAACACAUGAGGCAAUAGAGAUGACUCAACAUGGGUCCAUAUUGUGCAGUUCCCCUGAUAUCCUAUUCAUUGUCCUAAAUCUGAAAAGGUAGGAAAACAGUAGCUAUACUUAAACGGUGUUGCAAAAUAGUAGCACAUAUCAAUAGCUCGGCAUGACAAAACACGAUCAUUUGAACGAAGGGGAUACUGACCUGCCUGAGGAAGAUUACAUAUAAUUUCAUAAGUCCUUGGUUGAUUUCCACCUCCGGCUGCAUUGCUUGUUUGCUCCUCCAGACAUGACAGGAUUGUUCCGCACUACAUUCAGCAAGUCAACGUACGAAUAAGCUAAUUUCAUCUUGCGGUGGUCAUUGUACCAAGUUACGAAUAUAGGAAUACCUGGAGCACCAUGAGGUUAGCUGACAAUAGGUAGAUGCAGCCAUAUAAAUUUUGUGCGGUGCAACCAAAAUUGAGGUUUGUAUCCCUUCCCGUUAUGAGAAUUCUUCUUGAAGUUGGUAGAAUGUGACGGCUUGUUCUUUGCAUCAAACUUGCCUUUCCCCUGAGAUUUGUUCUUGUUGUUUUGGGGCUGGUUGGGCUGGAAGUUCUUCUCGUGUACCAUGUGGGCACUAGAAGCUCCCUCGGCGACCCGAGCACGUGUGUCUUUUGCUCUCGCCUUCUCCUCAGAAUCAAGAGUGCUAAUGAGAUCCAAAACAGAAAACUCAUGUCUCUUGUUUUUCAGAGAAGUAGCAAAAUCGUUCCAUGAAGGUGGAAGCUUGGCAAUGAUGGUCCCAACAACAAAUUUGUCCGGCAACACACACUUAAAGUACUCAAGUUCCUUAGAGAGUGAUUGUAUCUCAUGAGUCUGCUGAACAACAAAGCGCUCAUCAGUCAUCUUGUAGUCUCAGAAUUGCUCCAUGACAUACAACUCGUUGCCAGCGCCCGAGGGCCCAAAUGUGGCCUCGAGCGCAGCCCACAUGUCUUUGCCGCUGUCAAACAACAUAUACGAAUCCACAAUGGAAUCGUUAAGAACACUCAGCAUGGCGGCUUUGACGAGGGUAUCCAGGUUCUGAUAAGCUUCCUGCUGUGUAGGAUUAAGAUCGCCCUUAAGCUUACCCUUAGUGGCGUCAUAGCAGCACAUGAUCUGAAACCAAUAUACUUCUCUUGUGUGCCACCUUUUAUAUUGCACCCCCUUAAAAGUAGGCGGCUUCAAAAGCGCAGCAAAACAACUCGGAGUAAAUUGCCUGUGAUCAGGUUUUUGGAUUGGAUUGUUGAAUAUAUGAGCAAUUUAGUAUGAGAUUUAAUCCGAAUCAGGAGUAAAUAGAUCAUGACGACAACUGUAAACAUCAAAGUAAUGAUGCAGACUAAACCAGGAGGACAGAAUCACAUACUGUACAACGGGAGCAGAACCGAUGUGGUUGAUGUUGUCACUCAUGUCGUUGAUGAAGAGGUUACCGAGGUCGGGGAAGAAGGCUGUCAUUGAGGAAGUCGUCGCUGGCAGCAGUCACAGGAGUGUGCUCCCCAAAAACCUGAUUGCCCCUCUCCCGUACAGGAUCACGAAAGGCGGGGUUCGGAGGACUGCUGUCCCUUCUUGCGGUGCACGCCGGAAGGAGGGCUGGAGAAGAAUUGCGUGGCGACGCUAAGAUCUGGAACGGUGCGAAACCAUAUGAUACAGCGGCGGCUAGGGUAGAGCAUGUCAGGUCGGAGUAUAAUAGUAGGCCUUUGGCCGCCAAACCCCACGUCCAAGUCAAUAAUAGCUCAAAAAAGUCAAUAAUAGCCCCACCAAGGUUUGUCUAGAAAACCCGGAGUAAUUAAGGCAUCCGUUAGUCCCUUUAGUAUAAAUACAAUAUCAUUAAUAAUGGCCCCACCUUUUGUCUCACAAAGUAGAGUAUGUUGGAGUACAACCGGCUACACGUUUACAAUCCGCUUCUCUUCUCUUUCCUCUUCUCUCUCCUUCAACUAAGCACAAAUACUAUAUUUAAAUCCUUAUAGCCUGCUUAUGUCAUCUAAUUAUAGUAGUACUUGCUCUAAAAGUUACUAUCCACUGUGUAGUCUGAAAUGCCGGGCGUGCAGCGGGCGGUGCCCUCGGUCGGCGCGCCGCUUCAACUGCGGAAGCAGUGAGAGGUCGCGUCGCCCUGACUUGCCAUCAAUGUGGAGCGGCGGGCUCAGCUGGCGCCGGGCAGGAAGCGCGCGCGGGAGGGGGGAGGGUUUUUUGUUGGGCCAAGAAGGUGAGAAGCCAACUUGGGAUCGGUCCGGACGGGGAAAUAUCAUGUGCUCCCAUACUCUGCAUAUGACACUAGUGUAUGUUACUACUCCCACCUUUCUAGUUUAUAGAGAUGUUUAGAGUAACAUAGUAAUGUGUUACAGUACAAGUUACUCCCCACUAUGACCAGCCUUGGCCUCUCCCAGUGCUCCACCAUGUAUAACUGCUAAGCCUGCCACGUAGGCAUAAAAUAUGAUGUGGCACCAAUAAACUAAGCACCUAUGCAUUGAACACUUGAGUUACUAAGCCAUUUAAUGCACUUAGCACCUCAUCUAAAGAGCAUUAAUAGUAUAGCCAGCUGCUGGCUAUAAGCCUACAACCCAUCUUAUAGUCAACAUGUACUACAAAGUGCCUAGGAGCACGUGCUAGAGCUGGCUCUUCACGAAGAGCCCGCUUACCUUGUCUCCCCUCUUCUCUUUCCUCCAACUAAGCAGAAAUAUACUACUGUUUAUUCCUUAUAGCCCGUUGACUCAGCUCUAUUGUACUUGCUCUAAGCACAUCUAAGCACUUGCUAGCACCCCCUUGACCGUGGACCUUGACGGUGUACGUCACCUUGUGUCUCAUAAUUUUCCUCGUCAUCAUCUGAGUCCUAGAAGAUCUCACCCACAUCAUCAUUAGCAUGCAGCCGCCUUGAUAGACAAUGUGCGCAGAAGGAGUAGAGGCGACUGGGGACGCACCACCACCACGUCGUGGGCACUCCGUAUGUGCUCGUGUGCGUGCAGCGUGCGUGUUUUUCCAUCGGUGCUAGCUCUAAGGCCGAGGCUGCGGUCGUCUUCGUCUCUGACUAGUAGUUGAGCAACGACGGCAAAGAGGUGCUGCAAGAGAUGCGUAUGCGCCGUUGCGUGCGAGGUUCGCCGUAGCACGAUGAACCGGACGUCGCCGCGGAUGGCGCACGCCUCCAUGCAGCCGAGUGUGUGCGCAUGCAUGUGUUAUUCACGUGCAUUCUGCGGCCGAGCGUGUGUGCAUGCACGUCUUGUGUACGUGUGUUGUGUGCUCCAUGUUGUGCGCGUAUGUGCAUGAGUUGGAUCGGAUGGAGUAAGUGCGUUCGCUUGUGUACAUAUUUUAGAGUGUAGAUUCACUCAUUUUGUUUCGUAUGUAGUCCCUUAUUGAAAUAUCUAAAAAGACUUAUAUUUGGGAACAGAGGGAGUAUAAAACAUCUUCAACUUAGCAUCCUGAUGUACUGUUUCUAGUGGUUAGCGAAAAGUUCAUGUUCUUUUAGUUGUUUAUAGGUGGGCAGGCGGCAAAAAACAGGGGAAAACCCACAAGGUUCCUUGCAGACGCUCCACCAUGAGGUUCCUUGCUCCUCCUCGGUCGUCGGGAAUCUAUGCUCUUCAAUUCUUUUCUUUUACGUGAGCUUUGUUCAUCCUUUUCCCAACACACGAGACAUCUAGCANNNNNNNNNNNNNNNNNNNNNNNNNNNNNNNNNNNNNNNNNNNNNNNNNNNNNNNNNNNNNNNNNNNNNNNNNNNNNNNNNNNNNNNNNNNNNNNNNNNNNNNNNNNNNNNNNNNNNNNNNNNNNNNNNNNNNNNNNNNNNNNNNNNNNNNNNNNNNNNNNNNNNNNNNNNNNNNNNNNNNNNNNNNNNNNNNNNNNNNNNNNNNNNNNNNNNNNNNNNNNNNNNNNNNNNNNNNNNNNNNNNNNNNNNNNNNNNNNNNNNNNNNNNNNNNNNNNNNNNNNNNNNNNNNNNNNNNNNNNNNNNNNNNNNNNNNAGCGGGGGAAAACCCUUUUCCGUAAGUGAGUCGUGCACUUCGAUGGCACCUACGCAAUAUUUUUUCUCCUCGAUGGCAGGUGAAUAGUGCACGUACUCAACGACGGAGCACGGGAUGGUAGCAAUGACAUGGUUAGCCCUUUUUUGGAGAGAGUACGUACUACUAGUAAAUAACUUUGAUGUGUCCCGUCAACUUGCAGAAUGACGAGAAGCUUGAUUACGCCUUCUCCCUCGCCAACACGUGCGCGGUGGCUCGCAGCACGAGGAGAAACUUUUGCUUACAAGCGGUGGACGUGCAGCAGUUCAUUUGGUGUCAGAUUGCCAGAAGCACUACUGUAGAACCAUCGACUUCCGGAAGAGGCGAAGAGCCAAGCGCAAGGUCACCUACUAACCUUAGGCUAGGCGUAGUGGGAGUAACAUAAGUAGAGGGUACCUCCUUUUUUUUAUUCUAGAAACAACCACACGCGAAUAUCAAGGUGCUGGUUACGUAGAACAAAUUUCCUGCAGUCCGUGCUCAGCACUCCUCUAUCUCUCUUCUCAGCCAGCCAACGGACGCGCGGAGCCCAUCAUCUGUUUGCUCACAUGCGGCCCCACAUGUUAGUGAAAAACGCAAGAGGACCCACUGAACCUGCACAUCUUUCACCUCGACAUGCUAGUGAUGAAAAACAAAUCCAAGAAAGAUCUUCGGUGGCCGCUUUUGGAGUUACUCAAGAGUAGUAAGAUUUUAUUUACAGUUUAACCCAAGAUGCACAUCUCGUGGCUUCAACUUAUCAACUACCACUCUAUUUUCUUUCAUGACACGACCUGGAUGCUGGAUGUCCCACGUGUCCGCAAAAGGAGGAAGAACCCGACCGAAUCUUCGGUUGUGCUCUCGGAUUAGACUAGUUGUGCUAACUUAAAAUUUUUAUUGUGUACUCCCUCCGAUCCAAAAUACUUGACUUCCAUUUGUCCAAAAAUGGAUGUGCCUAUAUACUAAAACAUGUCUAGAUACAUAUAUAUUUUGACAAAUACUACCUCCGUCCGGGUUUAUUGGUCCCCAUUAUAUUUCGUGCCAAAUUUUGACCAUAGAUUAAAGAAACAAAAUGUUUACGCAUGUCACCAAACAUUAUAUUUUUGAAAACUAUGUUCAAAUACGAAUCUAAUGAGAUAAUUUUUCUUGACAUGCUUUAACAUUUUGUUAGUUAAAUCUUUAGUCAAAAUUUGACACAAACUACAAAGGGGACCUAUAAACCAGGACGAAGGUAGUAGAACGGAGGGAGUAGAAUGGAUGUAAGUUUUUGUAUUGGAAGAAGAGUACAUCCAUAUAUUGAUAGAGCGUUGGAGUUGGCCUUACAAGUGGGACCGCAGUUGAGUAAACCGACUAUUGGCAAACCCCCACCUCGCCCGCCGCGCGAUGGCUGAGUUAGAGAAAUGAUGAGGUUGAAGAGAUUGCUCUAGCACGGACUCCAAGAAAUUUGGUGUCAGAUGGAAGUCGUGCUGGUGGCUUGUGCCGUACUCCUGGACGUGAAUGCUUGUUCUGGCCCAUGCCACCCUACUACUCCUACUACUUACUAUAUAGUACUACUAGUAUCGAGGAUUCGAGGUGCUGGUUACGUAGUACAAUAUGGCUACAGUAAAAACACCCGCACGACGGGCGAAGCAUGUGAAGCUAGUACAAAUAGUGUACUACUAUUGUUGAUGAUUGGCCUCAUCCGAUAACCUAUUCAAUGCACGUACAAUUAUGUAUUCGGAAAAUAUUUUUUUGCCUCGUCGCACCACUCACUCACAGAAGCAACUCGAAAGCCAUUCAUAAAUUUAGUAAGUUUAUCACAGGCAUAUCAUUUUAUUACAUACAAUAGGUCAUCAACCCACAUCGACAACAAGGAUACAUUAUAAAUACUAAAGUUUUCACCACACAACAAAUAAAAAAGCAAUGAAAUGAACUUCAACUCAACCAUUCCUCGGCGUUGGAAACGCUUGCUUUGAACCACAAGUGAUUCUUUGGGACGGGGCAUCUAUUGUCGAUCUCGAGACCAACGUAGGACUGAUCAUCCAGGCUGAAGCGACCUACUAUAUCAGUACCAGGGUGGGGAACCACGCUAAUGUCCGAGGUAUAGACACGGUUGCUUCUCAUAAAUGGUGCUAGUAACAUUGUGUCAACAAUAGUUGGAUCGCCUUUCACCAUCAUCGGAUAGUUUUGUCCAAGGAAGAGCGAGUUUUCUCCAAGACUAUCAAUUCUGUACCAGGGAGAAGGUGUUGGCGCUAGCACACUAGUAUCCAUCACGAAUACCAUGCAACGUGUGUUGGAACAGGUCCGGAGAGUGCGACCAUGGGAGACUACACCUGCUUCCUUAGCAGUAACAUCAUCAGUGGGCUGUACACACAUGAGAAGAGGUGAUCCAUCAGAAUUAGUUGCCAGGCGCCAACGAGUAUAUGGGCGCUGCUCGUCCUCAUGCUCGUGAUCAUCACCAUCGUCAUCUCCCCCUUGGUUAUAAAAAAUUUCAAGUAUAGGUGGUGGCAUUUUCACAGGACCUUGGAAACACAAGAAGAAGGUUAAUUAGUAAAGGGAAACUUGCUAACCCGCAUGCAUGUGGAUGAAACAAUUAUAAUUACGGUGGAAGACAAAUGUACUGAAAUCAUAACGAUUCCACGCAAAAACAGUGCCACGAGUGGUGGCAGCAAACACAAGGCCCUCGUAUUCAAUUGCAUCACAAUACUCAUCCGUGUACAGAAACUGAUUUUUGAGCAAUGUCCAUCGAGUCAAUCCAGCAACGACGGCAACAAGCUUGUCAAAGAUAGCAACAACUUCAUAGUUGUUGUAAUUACAAGAGCGGGUGGGGACUCGAGAAAUUGCUAUCUUCCGUAGAAGACAAUCAUCAUGAUUGUAUUUGAACGUGCGUACAAUACCGGUGUGCUCAACCUCUGGGCAGUCUGCUGAGAUUUUUGGAAGUGGAACCCGGUCACGAGUGUACACAUUCACAAGUUCCCACUCGCAGUUGGACCCAAUGUAAACAACUCAAUCUCCAUUUGUGCCUGCCCAGGCCUUGCCCUCAAGCGAUGGCAUCUUAACAUCGUACGUAUCAUUAUCAAGCGGCAUCAACUUGCACAGGGCGAGGCCUCCGUCGUGACGGCGCCGGUCAUCAGGGUCACAGCGAAGAAGAUAGGGGAGAUCAAACUGUUCCUUGACUCUUGGGUUCCUUGUAAUGAUGUUAUUAGUUGAGUCAAGAAUGGGCUUGAACGAACCUGCCAUGCUAGCCGAGGUGGUGACGUCACACCGAUCAAUGAGUUCCUCCACCACGUCAUCUUUCAUAUCAGGGCAAGAAUAACGGGGUCAUUUUCGUCCUGUUCCCUCCAUGGAGAAGACGAUCAAACAAUGGCAGAAGAAAGCGUGAAGGGCUGAAGGAAAAUGGAGGAGGGAGAGGAAGAGCGUGCGGCAACAGUUCCAAAUCGAGAGGGAAAGGCGAAGCGUCGGUGGACGGUUGCCAGUUUGCCACGGUUCACGAAGGGGCGCCCCGGCCUACACGUCGGUUCGGAAAUACUCCUACUACUCGCCGUCGUCUCACUGAUAUGUUGGAACGGGACCACAUGUCAACGAAACAUGGUGUGUAAUUUCUCGUGAAAAAUGCGAUCUGGCCACGUUGGCCCGAAGUGCCGCAUUACUUUUUUUUGAAAGUUUGCUGCAUUAGUUAUCGACCUUUAUUUUUUUUAACAUGCAAUCUGAAUGGAUAGCUCCUGUGGUCAUCACACGUGAGAGGAUAUAGUGAUGGUUGAUUCGCCUGAGCAACUUUACUAUGGGAAUAUGGGAGUACCAGCAGAUUCAAGGAACAGAGAAAUGACGGUUGCUUCAUCCGAGCAACUUACUGUGGCGAAGGUGGGGCUCUGUGAUUUGACUGCUCACUAGUCAUUACUACUGCGGCGCAACGACCGGGGUGAAUCUUUCCCUGAAGUUGUGUUGUGCACUCAAUAUUGCUGCAUGGCAGGUGGAGCCGGAUGAAGGAUGUCCAACAUGUCGGCGAAACGAAGUUGAAUUGUUUCUGGCAUUGCUAUCAAUCCUUCAGGAUUUGUUUAUAUGUACGCAUAAUUUUGAUGAAAUUGUACUGUGAUGCUAUGAAGGUUUCAACUCUGGUUCCCGCAGGAAAAAAAAGGUUUCAACUUAGGAUUCAUGUGUCUUGCCUCGAGAUUAUCUCGUUACAACAUUCCAUCAAAUACAAAUGAAACUACCAUGGCUAAUGCAUCACAAUGGUUCACAGAUCAGCGCCAAUAUUCACAUCACAACUGAAGACAAAGUUGUGAGAAGGUGUACAAAUAAAGGAAAAAAUAUAAUUGAUCGAUCCUGUUUGUAGGCAUGGCUCCAUUUCCUUGGCAUAGUGUUCAUUGCUUGGCAGCUAGUUUCACCAGCUCUGUAGCCAAAAAAGAGGUGUAUGAAGGACACCACAAUCCGAUCAUUUUGUGCAGCUCCACUAAAAUCGGGCAGACCAUCCCUGUUUGCAAAGAUAUCCAGUCAGUGUGAUUACAAUAAUAGUGGAACUAGAUGAUGAAACAUAACACACAUAAAUAGAAGCCGAUCACCUCUACGAUCUCUCUUUAGGACUAACUUCUUGUCGGAGAAGAUUAGGCACGGAGUUGGAUGAGGAGGAUAGCAAAACCAAUCUCCCUUUCCGCAGUCCCACAGAAAUGUAAAAACGUUGCCCGUGUGACAUUUUGGCGGAACUGCAGAAAACAUUCUUCAGAAAAGUGAUUUGUGCAGUUCACCAAAAGGUCGCAAUAGCAACAAGGUGAAAAUGGAUAGCCCUGUUUGCAAAAGGAGGUCAAAACGAAACAAUUACUGCCCAAUAACAUGAGUUGAAGACACAUACGCCGACAAAAAAGAAGCAUGUUCCAUGUAAAAAGGAAAAGAUAGCACAUGGUGUUUUAUCAAAAAUGGUUUGAGGACGAGAUUGCAAGAUGGAAAGUACGCCGGCCGAGAUACAAUUUAAGCAAACAACUAAAGAAGAUCCACAUGCAGCAAUGUGGGAAGAUGGGCAGUGGAGCAAGGCCGGAGGAAGCUGUACCUGAGGGUCGUCGGGAUGUUACUAGGAGGGCGUCGGCGGCCGGGAUCUGCCCAUACUGCGGCAGCGAGCAAGUGGCGAAGGCCCUACCGCGCUGGAGCUUGGUCAGAGAGAACGGCGGGUACCGCAGAUCGGGACGAGCCGCCUCAACGCCGUCGAACGGAGAGACGAUGCACAUCUCCCUUUCCGCCGGCGGACGGGAUGCGGGCGGAUCACUGACCAACGCUGAGAGAGAGAGGCCACGGCGGCGUUGUGUGAGAUUGUGUGACGAGACUCAUGAGACAAACCCAUUUUUCCAUUUUCCCCACGGCAAUCAUUUUAUAUUCUAGGCAUGGUACCCGACCCUCCUUCGAGUAAACAACUGCUACACGCGUCAAAUUAUCAUGUGGGCUGCCUUUUCGUACAGAAAUGAACUCCAUCGUGUACCCGCGCGGGUGUGGCCGGGAACGAGACGUGAGUACGUGCGUCCUACGUGCACUUUUUCUUUAGGUGCAGGUACGUACGUGGGUGGGUGUGAGAGAGAUGGUUUGUGCGCAACAGAGGCAAUGUGUUGAUGAUAUCUCAAUCAGAAAAACGUAACAUAUGCAAUGUGUGUGAAAUGGAGUCAUGGACGUGAGAUAUCGAUAGAAUUGAAAACAGGGAUGAAGUGUGUGGCUGCGCGAUCGAUAAAGAGUGCCGUCGAAUUUGUGUUUGCCCACGUCAAAGAUACAGGGCGGCUGGCCUACUGGAAUUUGAGAGGGCAGAGGUGCAGUUCUUCUCCGUGGCAUGGAUACCUACCUACAACGUUCGACUAUCGGUGUGNNNNNNNNNNNNNNNNNNNNNNNNNNNNNNNNNNNNNNNNNNNNNNNNNNNNNNNNNNNNNNNNNNNNNNNNNNNNNNNNNNNNNNNNNNNNNNNNNNNNNNNNNNNNNNNNNNNNNNNNNNNNNNNNNNNNNNNNNNNNNNNNNNNNNNNNNNNNNNNUAUAUGUCUGGGGAAGGAGAGAGACCUAGCUAUGUAUUGAGGGAGAUCGAUCGACAUCCAUGGAUAUGUGUAGCAGAGGAAUAAGGUUGGGAAAAAGACAAAAGUAGAGCGUCGGAGGGUUGGUGGUGGAGUGCCGUCUCACAAAUGGUGGGAGAGGCUGCUAGACAAACGGAGGGUAUGAGUGCAAUAUCAAUAAGAGAGGGCGGGGGAUGUCUGUCUGUCUAUGCACGUGCGUGUGAGAGACGGGUCGGGAGGUAUUCAAGGAUGAUGAGGGGAGAAGAUAUGGUUGUGGUAAGCAUGCAUAACUACAUAGGAAGAUCAACCGUCGUGUGUCCGAGAAAAGGAGAGACAUAACUAGCGAGGUAAGUGUAUCGGUGCUUGGUGAAAAUGAAUUAUAGUCGACCUGGCUAUAUGUAGGGAGAUCAGUUCAUAUACACGCCUGCAUGUGUUAGAAGAAAAUAAGGCCCGGAGAGGCAGACAAGGGGAGAGAGUGUGGCUAGGAGGUGGUGCGAGAGGCCUACCAUGUCGAGGCGGGAGGAUUGUGCGAGCAUGUGACUAAUGAAAAGAGGGGCGGGAGUGUGCACCUGUGUGGAAUCGUAUUGGACAUAUGGGGGCAUGGACAGUGAGAAGAGAAGAGGGGAAGUAUAUAUGUGUUUGCUAUAGGCACACUUGGCUAGAGAGGUAUAUCGACCGGUGUGUGCCAGAAAGAAGGAGCCGGGGGCCUACACACAUCGCUGGUGGACGACCUAAAGAGAAAUAAUGAACAUGCACGAUGGAGGGGACGCUAAGGGUGUGUGAGGGGGGCAGGCGUGUGCAUGCACGAUAGAAAGUUAGCGCUAGCUAGCUACAAAUAGAAGAGGAUCGUGAAGGUGUAAAAGACGAACAAAGAUCAUAAUUCAUUAUAAAAAGGUGGAUACAGAUACUUGAAGAAGAUAUCAUAAUGUACAACAUUGAUUAUAAUUUGGGCUAAUGUGUGGCUUUUGCAACUCAGGUCUAAAUACUUGUCAUAAUGUAGGGGGCGGGGCACUAUACUUUGUGUGAUAAACACGGUGUACGUAUGGAACAUGGUUUAGAUUAUGAAUAUAUAGUUAGUACAUCAAAUGUACUAUUAUUUGGAAUCAACAUCAAGUGUAUUCAAAAAAUAGAAUUCGAGUUCAUGUAGUACACAUAGUUCAUAUCUAUCUCUAUAGUAAUCAUGUGGUGUGUUAUUAAGGUAAUACACGAAUGAUGGUUGAAGUUGGCAACAAUCAUGAUUGUAGAUUCUUAUUGAAAUAGAGAAACAAAUUCAAAUUUAGUUCGAAUUGCAGCGGUAGUAUAGACAUUUGGAAUGCACUAAAAUGUUGGCAUGAGUAGGUUACAUGCAUUAUACAGCAAAGCGAAGAAAUUAAUUGGACAUAACAUGGAUUCAUACUCCCUCCUUCCAUCUAUAUAGGGCGAAUGAGAUUUUUAAGACCGCCUUUGACUAUUGACAAGAUUAAUAGUACAUGACAUGCACAAUGUGAAAAUUAUAUCAUUGAAAGAACCUUUCACAGACGAAGUUAACGGUGUGCUUUGUGUAAGUUGCAUGUCAUAUAUCAUUGCUCUAAUAUUUGGUCAAAGUUAGCAUCGAAAAACGCAUUAGGCCCUAUAUACAUGGAAGGAGGGAGUAGCUUUGAAUAGCAUUUGUAUAGUAAAACGGGGCAAGACUCUCUCUUUGUGUGGUGUGAAUAGUUUUAUUUUUUUCAUUUUAUUUUUGGUUGAGGGAAGUGCGAAUUGACUUGGUACAUACAAGUACAAUAUUACUACACGUUAGGCUUUUCCUAAAAUUCAACCCGCGUCUGGUUAUAUGCCGAAAAUUCAGAUAUCGUUCUCCCAAAACUGGCGCCUUCACAACCCGCGCAUUGAUAUCCCGAAAUUACAACGCGCGCGAAAACUCCCUACAGCUGCCAAAUCCCGACACGUGAAAUCCCCCUUCUAACCCUGAGCCGAAAGGGCUGCUAGUUCAAAUCGGUGGGGGGGUACUUUUGUAACACACCCUACAUUUUGGACAAGCGUGUCCCUAAGUCAUGCUUCACCGCCUCCCAUCGCCCCCUUUUCGCCAUUCGAAAUCCCAGGCCGCCAUAACCUCUCCGCUCCAGCCGCGAAGCCACACCCCUCCGUCCGCCACAUCACCGCUGCCCAGUCGGAGCCUCUUUCCCGACGAUCAUCCACUACAACAGCUCGACGUCCCUCGUCCACCUCCCCAGAUGAGGAUCCGUCGUCCAUCUCGCCAUCCCGCCGGUUCAGCCGCCCCGUCCUCCACCUCCAAGGAUCUGCUCCGACGAUCGCCUCGUCUAUUGUGGCUGCUCCAUCCGCACAGCGCUGCCUUAACCUGCUCCACCGGAACCGCAACAUCCUCACUGACUCCUCAGACGAAGCCGAGGCCUACUCGGCGCCACCAAAGAGGUUGUAUACUCAUCGCAUCGCACCUUCUCCUUAACUUGACCUCCCGGCGCCGACGGUGCUCCAUCCCGCACCCCCAUGGAGCGGCUACCUUGAAGCCGGCGCCGCGGGCGACAUCUCCACGGCGGCUCUCCCCCAGUGCGAGGCCCCUUAGGCGGCGGCGUCCAUAACAUCCUAAUCUGCUGCUGCUGCUCCGGCUCUCGCUCGCUCACUCGCGCUGCUGCUGCUGCUCCGGCUCUCGCUCGAUCGCUCGCUCGCCCAGCUGCUGCUGCUGCUCUCUCCCUCGCUCGUGCUGCUGCUCUGCUCCGAUUAAGCCACUCUUCAGUCGACUGAAUAGACUUUUGGAUCAGUCGAUUUUCAGGGGUUGGGGUGGGGGGCUCGCCGGAGUUAAGGAAGAACCACCCGCAGCGGGGCGGGGGCUCGCUGGAGAGGUACCCCACUAUCUAUCUUAGGGUUCAGGGUGGGGGGGGGGGCCUAGAGGGCUGGCCGGGGCGGCCGUGGCGAGUUGUUUCGGGGCGGCGAGGCGGCGCUGGGGCCGGCGGUUCGGCCGCUGGUGGCAGGCGGCUCAGGGGUGUGCAGGUUGAAGAUGAACUGCAGGCCCUCCCUAAACUACAUGCUACCAUUGUGUUCAGUUUCGACAGUAGCAUUCAGAUUCCAUAGUUAAUUUCAGUUUUGACAGUUAACUUCAGAGUCAAUAGUUUAUACCUCAUCUGUUGUAGUCAGGUGGUUUUUGGUGAUGUUAAUUUUACAUCCAUUUUUCAUCAUCUAUUGGAGAUGCUAUUAGAAUCCCACUUGAGAUUGACGAUGUAUGUCUUGUGCUGCUUCAACCUUGACGUCUUACGGCUCACCGGAGCUGCUCCAACGACAGAAUGAUCCAUCACAACAGAGCAGUGCCCUGGACGCCGUCUACAGAUUCCUCAGAUCUUCCUCCACACCUCCGACAUCCACCUCUGCCUCAACUGUUUCAGCGACCAACCCAAUGAUGCUGAGGUCGACAUGGCUACGGCAAAGAGGUUGUACACUUGUUGCGUCACUUAUUACUAUACAUUCAUGUCGAUCCAUUAGGGCUAUUUUGGUUCAACGGAAAAACAUAGCAAUAGGGAAUUUUCCAAUGGCACUCUACUAUUCAAUUAUUCAUGCAUUUUGUUGAAAGGAAUGAAGCAAAACAUACACCUGGACCUACUUUUCAAAAUCCUAUGCAUGAAAACAAGACCAAGUGCAUUAAUGCCGGAAUAACAUUCUAACUGUACACGCUUUCAUAUAGUUUCUCUUGUUUUUGGCAAUGUUUCUUUGCAUUCCUCUGCUCUUCGAAUUCCUGUAAACCAAACACCCAAGUUGAUAGAAAUCCUGUGUUUACAAAUGCUCUGUUUACCAUGUGCAUUUUCCUAUCCUAUUCUGGUGUUUUUCCUAUCCCUGCGUUUUAAGAAUCAUGCAAGCCAAAUGAGCCCUUACAGAAUUACUUCAGUUAUAGGUACGUGUCGAAGGGAACUUUGUGUGGUUUGUCCUGCUCCUGCCGUGACGUCGUCCACCUCACCUGAGCUGCUCCAUCGACAGAAGCAUCCACCAAACCAGACAUCACGACUCCUGACCGUCUUUCGCCACCUCAGAUCUCCUUCCCUGCCGCCGGCACACACCCCAACGGCAUAACCAUCAUCGACUCAGCAGAUGAACCUGAGGAGUACACGGGUCCACAAGAGAGGUCGCACUCUUUUGUUUCUUCUUAUGUUAUGCAUUGCUUAAACUUACAUGCUACUUUAUCGUGGUGUUCAGCUCUUGGACUCCCAACUCAGGUCCAAAUUCAUGUUCAAACUUGAGUUCUAAAUUAGUUGUGGGGCACAUAUCGAGGCAGCAAUGAAUAGUAUGUCUGUCUAAUAUCUGGUUCACCUAGGGUAUGCCUAUGUUGUUCAUCUUGGGUGGGAAACAAAUAGUAAAGCAAUCAUCAUCUGUCUUUUUAUUAAUUUAAAGCAAUCAUCAGCCUGCUAUCUUUAUUUUUGGAUCCAUCCACUGGUUGUUACCAUCACUCUAAAUUUCUGCAUGCUCUCCUUACAUAAUCUCACCAUAUUUUUUCGUAUGCAUGUCAGAUAUUGUACACAGUCAUGCUGAACAUGUAGAGAAAAAGAGAAGAGUUUUGUGCGGCAAUACAAUGUCAUGCAGACAUCACUCCAUGCUGGGUUCAAUGGCAAACCCUCCCCACCCCUCUCCAGAUUGUAAUCCAGAGGAAGAUAUCUGUUCUGAGGCGGAUUCAGACGCCACUGACGACUCCUAUUUACUCCCCAAGGUGUUUGCUCUACCUUGGCAUGAUGAUGUUAGUCAUAUCAUGCAUAUGUUGCCUUGCAGUGCCUACUUUUGACAUCAUAUAUGUCAUCUGCUUAGUUUAGACAUGUUCUGUAAUGCCACCUGUUUAGUUUCUAUAUCAUAUAUGGGAAUUAUGCAGUCUCAUGUCUUUUAGCCAUCGAUAAUAUAUGUGAAAUGUGCAAUGCCAUCCUGUUUAACCAGGCAUCAUAUAUUUGAAUGAUAUCUUGCCCAUCCUUUUCUUCAUUACAUUUCCAUUUGUCGACAAUGUUUGUACAUUAAACUACUCUUCCUGUGAAUCAGCCAUUUGGCUGAGAGAUGGAAAAAUCUGGAGUGAAAACAAGGCCUUCAGAGCAGACAGUGCUACCUGUCGAAGCAGAUCUCUUGUUGGGUCCCGAUAGCUCCUCAGAGAUGGAUUCAGAGACAGAUGACCAGUCUUAUUCCCCUACUGAGGUGUAUGCUCUAACUUGGGACGGUUAUACUGCUCAUAUCAUGCAUAUGGUGUCUUGCAUAGCAUAGUUUAGACAUCAUAUACACAAUAUUCAACACCAUGUUCUUAGUUCAGACAUCAUAUCGGAUGCCCUCUGUUUAGCAUAUAAAUCACAUAUGUGAAUUAAUUGAUGCGAUCCUGAUUACUUAGAUAACAUGUAGGUGAAUUAUGUCAUGCGAUCCGGUUUUGUUAUUCAUCAUAUCUUUGAAUUGUGUUAUGCUAUGCUAUCCAGUUUAGAUAGACAUCAUAUAUGUGAAAUUAUGUCAUGCUAUCCGUUUUAGUUAAACAAUAUACAUGUCAACUAUUUCAUGCCCUCUUUUUUCCACACUAUCUAUUGCAUCUAUCCCUCAUACAAUGUCUGUACAUUCAACUAUGUUUCCUGUUAAUCAGCCAUUUGAAUUGGAGCGGGUGAUGCCAGUAUCUAGCGGAAUAAAAACACGGUCUUCAAAUAAAACAGUGCUACCUAUUGGUGGAGAUAGCACCCCAGUUGUACAUGCACAAGAACCAGCCCUACCACACAUAACCCAAACUGUCGCAGAUUGUACCCCUACUGCGAUGGACAGAGAACCAGCUUCACCCAAUCUAACCCCAACCCCAGCUGAUAGUAACCCAGUUCCUGUUGACACAUCACCAUAUCCACCACAGAGCUCCCAAACAAGAGCAGUUAGUAAGGCAGCUCCAGUUCCCAAAGGGCCAGUACUAUCACGGUGAACCCCAGCUCCACCAGGUAGUACGCCUAUUCCCUUGGAGGAAGCACAACCAGCCAGUCAUAGUUUAGCAUCUAUCGCAUUUGAUGUUGUUAAAUCGUAUGUGCGUAUCUUCCCAUCUUGGAAAUAUUAUACUGAAGAUGAAGGAAAAUGCCAGUUGCAGGUGUUUGUCCAGGAGUUAUGUGUAAGUAAUGUUAUUCAUGGCAAUUACUUUGCUUCAUCCCAUACAUCCUACCUCCAUGAUGGUUAUUAUACAACAAAUUUUCCCAUUUUUCUCUAUAGAGAAGGACCGAUUUGGAAACACAGGAUGAGGUAACUAUUGGAUUUAGUGUUCCGGCAGACGCUUGUGGUUCGAACACUGGGGUGCGCACGGAGAUUUCGCCCUCUACCUACCUGCUCCUCGCCGCCUCGCUAAGAUCUAAACUACAAAAGGGACAACACAAGAGACAUAGGGUUUAUACUGGUUCAGGCCACCAUUCUGGUGUAAUACCCUACUCCAGUGUGUGAUGUGGUGGAUUGCCUCUUGGGCUGAUGAUGAACAAUACAAGGAAGAACAACCUCGCGAGGGUCUGUUCUUGGUUGGGACGAUGAACUGCCAGGAAGAGUUCAGUCGCUCUCUCUACUGGUUUCUUGGCUAGGAUCAGAUUCUAGAUCAGGUCUAGAUGCCUCUACCCCGGGGGUGGCUAAUCCUAUUUAUAGGCAAAGGCCCUGGGCCUCUUCCCAAAUAUUGAGCGGGAAGGGCGCCAACAAUUGGCCAUUUUGAAGGGGAACAUCGGGUACACUUAUCCUGACUAAAGUUGGUCCUCGCCUGUCAAAGGCUCUGGUGGUGACGCCUGCUUGGGCUCCACAAAGACUUCCUUCCUGCUAUUGGGCUGGUCUUAGUCUCGCUGCACCGAAAUGGACGCCUUUGCUUGAUGCUCUCUCCUGUGCUUGCUCCCUUUGCACCAAAGAGGAAAGGAGGACACUGCGCGGGCUGGCGCCCGACUGGCACCCUUGGUCGUCAUGGCUUGCGUCAUGGACACCUCGUGAGGUACCCCGCCUUGAACUCUCCGCCUCCUCGUGAGCCAGCCUGAUGAGGUCGCGCCUGAGGAAGCUCCUUGUCGUCCGCCCCGCGAGGCUUGGCCCCUCGUGAGGGUCUUGAGCUUGUGUUGAUGAAGAUGGGCCGUGCUAGGGCCCCUCUUUGAGCCACGCCGCAGGCUGCAGGCAGGCAAGUCUAGGGACCCCCGUUCCCAGAACACCGACAGUAGCCCCCUGGUCCAAGGCGCGCCCGGACUUGGCCGAGCAAAGGGGCGAAAGGGCAAGUGCGAAGCACCGCGGGCCCUAACAGCCUGCAGCCCUGGGCGCCGCGUGGCGGUUGAUUGGACGUGGGCGUUUCCACUUUUCCACGACGCCUCGGCAACCGCACGAAUUGACAAGUCCCUGCAUGCAAAGCGGGUCAUGAUUACCUGCGGUUGUGGAGGUCUGCGGUUGGCCUCCUCUGGCUUUAAGUACGGCACGGCACGUGCCCUUCCAGUCUAUCUCUUCUUGCUUCUCCUUUUUCCCGGUCCUUGCUCCGUCUUGCUGCAAUGGCUCCGAUCCGUCGGUUCUCUGCGGCAGAGAAGGGAAAGGCUCCCCGAGAGGAUCCUGACCCACUCCCGCCAAAGAAACGGCUAGCCCUCCGCCAUCGGGGUGAGGGCGCCCGCCAGGAAGUGUUGGGGCCCUGGUGUGAGCGGCCACCACCAGGGUUCUCGCUUCCCUUGUACGCCCACAUUGAGGGCUCUGAAGGAGCCGAUGCCGAACGCCAUGGGCGGCGCCGGCGCCGGCGCCGGCGGGUCAUGAAGGUGUGCGUCUUUCCCCCUGGAGUCCAUGCUGAGGGCUCCUCCCGAGAGUUCAUGCUCCACGCCGCCAUGCCUCCUCAGUCUUGGAUUCGCCUUCCUCCUUUCUUCGCCUCCGUCAUCCCGCAGGGGGAACUCCUAGGGCUUUGGCUGCAGCACGCCGGCUGCAGCACCCUCACGAUCGGGGCAGAGGUCGCGGUCGUUGCCCCAGGCGAGGUCUUCAUGACUCGAGGCUGGGGCGAGAUCGCCCGAGUCUGCAGGACAAGGGGCGCCCUCGCGAUCCACCUGGAGUACGAUGGUGCUUCGGUGAUGUUCUUCAAGGUCUUUGAUGCGGAGGGUCGCCGGUUGGAGUGUUGCCCUGGGAGAGGUGGUCGGGGCCCCGCUACGGUGAGGCCGAGGCCAGCUAACCGCUCCCCUGGCAGCUCCUCAGGCGAUGGAGGCGCCGGAGGAUCCAGCGACUCCGCCGAGCUCUUCGCGACUCCGGAGACGAGCGACAACAGCUAUGAGCCCCCGAGCAUGUGCCGCCCCCAGAGCAGGGCGGGCUCGUCAGGCCGUCGCCACCUUUGAUCUGGAUGGGGUUGGCGCUGGUGCCUGGCGGCCCACUGUUGAUGAUGGCGUCUGCCAUGAUGGUUCCUGUAGUUAGGACUCCUUAGGAUACACGUCUUUUGUUCCUGCGAGGAGCCAAGAAUAUACCCCGUGGGGGCUUGUAAGGCGUCUGUAGCUCCGUUUGUCAAUAUGAUCCUUAUCGUGAAGCAGUGCGAGAUGCUUAUUCCGUCUUAGCUUAGUUUCUUCCUUUCGAACCUCGCGAGGGCUUGAUGCUCUGCGCCGACAGGUCCCAGUCCCAAGGUGGCUUCAGCCGUCGCUGGUAUGCCAGGUCGCGAUGCCGUGGUCAAGGCCAGGAGGUGAGCGGCCCGGGGUCCAGUAAGAGCCCCUGAGUCGCGAUGCUCAGGAGGUCCCCUUUAGCGCUCAAGUAGCCAUUGUUCGGUGAGAAAGGAAUGUGACGUUGCUAACACGGGAUUGCAUUGGAUGCGGUGACGGUGGUGCGAUAGCUAGUGUUUCCGGAGAGUGACUUAUCUUGGGGGUCAGGAAACGCUUCCUGGUGCGGCGCUAGGUACGUGCCUUGGCCGGUGAGGGGUUGCUUGGCGAGGUCCUCGCAUGCCUCUCCCCUCUCUCCUUCGCUCCCCUUUCUGCUCUACGUCCUCAGGUCCCGGCCCUCGAGCGAGUCUUAGCCAUCGCUGGUAUGCCAGGUCGCGAUGCCGUGGUCAAGGCCAGAGGGUGAGGGCUGGAGGGCCAGUAGGAGCCCUGAGUUGCAAUGCUCAGGUACCCCCCCUUUAACGUGCAAGCGAUUUGCGCGGACGAGAGUGAAGAAGACACCUUGAGGGCCUCGCCUGGCGCUUCUCCUUGGGGGAUCCUGCAGACCCACCACAAAAAGAGCAAAGUCCGCUAUGAUAAGCGGGGGUCAGCCGUUAGUUGCUUUGGAGAGGCGACGAGGCACGAAAGGCCUGGCGAGGUGCAUUGGGGCACCCGUGAGCCAGCGCGGGACUCACGGGGUCCUACCCCAAGGCGGGUUGCGCCUGGCACUGGGCCUUAUCUUGGGGUGUGUUCCUGCAAAUUUGGUUAGAUGCCGAAGCUCUACGUCCUAGGAUCCCGGCCCUCGAGCUGGUCUCAGCCGUCGCUGGUAUGCCAGGUCGCGAUGCUGUGGACAAGGCCAGAGGGUGAGGGCUGGAGAGCCGGUAGGAGCCCUGAGUCGUGAUGCUCAGGUACCCCCCCUUUAACGCGCAAGCCGCCGACAUCAAGGAAGAAAAGGUGCCACGGACAGGCACCAAAUAAUAAGCAUGAUGGGUCGAAUGCAUGGUCCGAAGAUAAAUGCAAAAGGGGUACGCGCCGCUAGGUCUGACCCGAGCGACUUGGGGAUGAUGCAGCCCGAGGGGCACCCCCAACAAAGUAAGCUAAAAAAUACGAGCAAAAGGAUACACACCGCAGGGACGGACCCACGCGGCCUGGGAAUAAUGCAGCCCUGAGGGCGCUCCCAGCUGGAAACGAAACUUGAAAGAUGUCACCUGAUAGUGUUGACGACGAAGGGGUGUUGGUGUAGCAGACUCGGCGGGCUGCGGGAGCCGAUCCUCACGAGCCCCCAGGCCCUGGGGCCUCGGGAGGCUUCGGAGGCGCUGGUGGCUCCUCGCGGGCCAUCUCCAUCUCCGCCAGGGCUGCGGAACGCCUGACCUCUUGAGCCUCCAGGAUGCCCCUCAUGAGGCGCUGGUACGUGGCAGCCGCGUUCGGCAAGCCAUAAGGCAUGCGAACGUAGCUGUGGGGUGGACCUUCGCAGCGCCCCACUUGCGAGGGCCAGAGGCGCUCCUAAGAGGCGGCUUGGUCGAACCGUGGUAUGUCGAUGCAGACGCGCAGCCCACCAUCCUUGCCUGGAUGGGGGGCCAUAGCGGGUAAGCGGCGGCUGCCUCUCAUGACUCUUGACUCCUGUAGCUCCUGAAUGGCCUUGCUGACGAACUCCUAAGGGGUUGGCCCUCCUUGCCUUGCUGCUUCUUGAGGGAAACGUGCUUCGAAACACGCCUCCAAUUGGUGCCCAAGAGCCUCCCUCGUGACCUUGGCGAGGUCGGCGGCCCUCCAUGGGAGAGUCCCCGAGCCCUGCCUGAGGAGGGCGCCGGGCGCGCUUUCCUAUGCGAUGGAAGGAGGUUCCCCCUGGGCAGGCGCGGGCCCUGAGGGGCCUGCCUCCUGAGGGGCCGGCCCGGACGACGUCUUCUUCUUCUUGGGGCGGUCUCGGGAAGCCUCCUGCUUCCGCGAUCCGGGUCUUCCAGUGAUGCGGCCUGAAAGGCUCGUUCCAGGGAGCACACCGCGUCUUUCUCUUCGCAGGGCACCGUGAUGACUCCGCCACUCCCUGGCAUCUUGAGGACGUUGUAGCCGUGGUGGGUUACGGCCAUGAACUUGGCCAGCACUGGGUACCCGAGGAUGGCGUUGUAUGGCAGGCGGAUGUGGGUGACGUCGAAGUCGAUGAGCUCGGUGCGUUAGUUGUCGCGUGCCCCAAAGGUGACAGGGAGGCAGACCUGCCCAAUCGGGACCGUGGAGCCGUCGGUGACUCCGGAGAAAGGCUUGGUUGGCUGAAGCUGAUUGUAGGGCACCUGGAGAUUGUUGAAUGUUUCCACGGACAGGACGUUGAGCCCUGCCCCGCCAUCGAUGAGGGUCCUGGUGACUAGCACGUUGCUGAUGAUUGGGGAACAAAGCAUUGGGAGGACUCCGGCUGUGGCCGCGCACUUGAGCUGAUCCACUGAGCUGAACGUGAUGGUGCACGCCGACCACCUGAGAGGGCACGUGGCCUCGAGCUUGGGGAGGACUGCAUUUACUUCAUGGGCGAACGGCUUGAAGAUGCGUUGAGAGGCUGGGGCUUGAGCUCCGCCCAAGAUGCAGGCAAUCGCACGUGGCUCCUGGAAGGCCCCAGCCCCCUCGUCCUAAUGACGGUCCUCAUUUCUCCUUGGCUGCGGCGGCAGUGGAGGGAGGCCUGCGUUGCCUUGCGGGCGAUCCUCGCGAGGCUGAUCCCUCCAGGCUCCCUCGCGAGGCGGGUCCUGCCAGUGAUCCUUGCGAGGUUGGUCGCGCCACCCUUUGCGAGGGCCGCGGUCUUCCCAGCGUCAUGCAUUCCUUCCUCCUCCUCGGUCGUAGCCCCGGUCGCUGCGGUUGGGACGCCGGCCGGUCCUUCCUUCUCGCACGGCUCGGAGCUCUUGGAAUUCGUUGGUGUUGUGGGUGUGGAGGUCGUGGUACACGCAGUAUCGACUGCCCUUGGAAGAUUCGGGCUGGUCUGUGCCCCGCUUGGUGUCUGGUUCUGCCGCGAGCACGGCAGCCCCCUUGCGCUUCACAUCCUUGGCCUUGGGUUUCUUCUCUUCUGGGUUUGCGGCAGGCAGCUCAAGGAGGGAGAGACGCCCUUCCUCAGCCCUGGUGCACUUGGUCGCCAAGUUGAACAUCUCCAAAUAAGUGCAGAUGUCUUCAUGCAUCGCCAGCUCCUCCUUCAUCUUGACGUCGCACACGCCAUCGGAGAAGGCUGAGAUGAUGGCCUCCUCGGUCACCUUGGGAAUCUUGAGGCGCGCGUUGUUCAAGCGCUGGAUGUACUUCUGCAGGGUUUCCCCUGGUUGCUGCUUGAUACGGCGCAUGUCGCUCACCGCGGGUGGCCGGUCGCGAGUACCCUGGAAGUUGGCAAUGAAGCGGGUGCGCAUCUCGUCCCAGGAGGAGAUCAUGCCUGGAGCCAGGUUCAGGAGCCAGGUGCGGGCCCCGUCCUUGAGCGCCAUGGGAAACCAGUUCGCCAUGACCUUCUCGUCUCCCUUGGCAGCCUUGAUGCCCAGCUCGUAGAGCUGGAGGAACUCUGCGGGGUCAGUUGUACCAUCGUAGCGAGGAGGCAGGUCUGGCUUGAACUUGCCGGGCCAUGCGACGCUGCGCAGCUCGGUGGUGAAGGCGCGGCAGCCCGCCGUGGCCACGGGAGGCCUUGGGUGACGAAGAGCUUGGUCCUGCGGGUCCCCAUGCGCUGCAGCUGGGAGCAGCGCGGGGUCUUGACAUGUUGGGCAGGAGCGUGGUCGCGACGAGCCGGAGCAGGGAGCGCUCGGGCAGCUUCUCGCGGGCGAGGGACUUCUUGGCAGCUCUGCUCUUGCCGCGCUGACGCUUGACGGAACGGGUUCCGCCCAGGGGCCAUGCGCCUUGGGGCCAGGGUGCCUUCUUGAGGGGGAGGCGGCUGAGGCGCCCCCGAAGCUUCGUUGCCCGCGCAGGGCGGGGUGCGGUGCAGCGGGACGGACGACGCGGGAGAGCCCCCUGCGGCAUGGACGAGCUCGGCGACGCGGUCGAGCCAUUCUUCGUAGACGUCAUCGACGGGACGGUAGCGCAGGAGCUCGUUUGCCGCGAUGAGCGCAGCCCGAGCCUCCAUGGGCGCGCGAAACGCGCGAGACAAAGAACCAGCUGGGGUGAGUGAGGGUGUAGCAGUACGGCCGUCUUGCCUCACGGAGGGAUGCUGGGACGAUGCUUGUUGCUCGUUCCCCACCGGGCCGGUGGCGGCGUUGACGGCAGGAGACGGGGAACGACGAGGGCGCCUGCCGACGGGAGCCGUCUGGGCGACGCGGGAAGCGAGGGCGGCUCGGCGCUCGGCGCGGGCCCGACGAGCGUUAGACAUGGAUGCGAUGGUCGGAGAAGAACAGGGCGACGGAAUACGAAUUCCGGUGCACCCCUACCUGGCGCGCCAAAUGUCAGAUUUAGGGUUCCGACAGACCCUUGUGGUUCGAACACUGGGGUGCGCGCGGAGAUUUCGCCCUCUACCUACCUGCUCCUCGCCGCCUCGCUAAGAUCUAAACUACAAAAGGGACAACACAAGAGACACAGGGUUUAUACUGGUUCAGGCCACCAUUGUGGUGUAAUACCCUACUCCAGUGUGUGGUGUGGUGGAUUGCCUCUUGGGCUGAUGAUGAACAAUACAAGGAAGAACAGCCUCGCGAGGGUCUGUUCUUGGUUGGUACGAUGAACUGCCAGGAAGAGUUCAGUCGCUCUCUCUACUGGUUUCUUGGCUAGGAUUCAGAUUCUAGAUCAGGUCUAGAUGCCUCUACCCUGGGGGUGGCUAGUCCUAUUUAUAGGCAAAGGCCCUGGGCCUCUUCCCAAAUAUUAAGCGGGAAGGGCGCCAACAAUUGGUCAUUUUGAAGGGGAACAUCGGGUACACUUAUCCUGACUAAAGUUGGUCCUCGCCCGUCAAAGGCUCUGGUGGUGGUGCCUGCUUGGGCUCCACAAUGACUUCCUUCCUGCCGUUGGGCUGGUCUUGGUCUCGUUGCACCGAAAUGGACGCCUUUGCUUGAUGCUCUCGCCUGCGCUUGCUCCCUUUGCACCAAAGAGGAAAGGAGGACACUGCGCGGGCUGGCGCCCGACUAGCGCCCUUGGUCAUCAUGGCUUGUGUCAUGGACACCUCGCGAGGUACCCCGCCUUGAACUCUCCGCCUCCUCGUGAGCCAGCCUGAUGAGGCCACGCCUGAGGAAGCUCCUUGUCGUCCGCCCCGCGAGGCUUGGCCCCUCGCGAGGGUCUUGAGCUUGUAUUAAUGAAGAUGGGCCGUGCUGGGGCCCCCCUUUGAGCCACGCCACAGGCCGCAGGCAGGCAAGUCUGGGGACCCCCGUUCCCAGAACACCGACAGUAACCUAUGCUAAUACCUAUGCUAUCUUCAAGAAUGCUUGGUGGCAGUAUCAGAAUUACCUGAAGAAAACGUACUUCACCGGCAAAGAAACUCAUCAAAUUCCCUUACGUUCUCCUGAGACACAUUUACUGGACGAUGACUGGGAACGCCUUGUUCUGUACUGGUCCUGAACCAAGAAUGUGGUAAGGUCUAUGAGCUCAUUUUCUAUUUUUAAGUAUUAUAUUCUUGCGUCUUACUGUACUCUGUUCAUGUAGAACAAGUGCCUAAACCUGAAGAACAACUGUUUUAAUUUAAGAUUCCAUUGCUAUCAUAGUUCGAAAAAGCGCUAGGCGUUAAUUGUGCGUUUUGCCACCGCCUUGCACUUUACUGACCAAAGUGCAUGCUUAUGUACAGUUAUGCACAGAUUAAGCGUAGUUAUGCGCAAUGCGUUUUGCCAACGCCUAGAGCCUAGGCGCGCUUAAGCGCUCGCUUAGGCGCGCCUUUUUUUAACUAUGAUUGCUUUGCUCUUGUAUCAUUGUAUUUACUCAUACAAACUUAUUUUUAAAUUGAAGGAUCCAAUCGAAACUCCAAUGGCACGGCAGGUAUGUUCACACAUGUUUCUUUAAUAGGUUUGCUCUUAUCAAUAGCUCUUCUGAUUUCAAUUUCAAUUGUGUAUAUAGUUGACUUUCAUAUCAUGCACAUUACUAGCAUCAGAACAGAGCCAAUAGUGUUGUUGUACAUGUAGACCCGUGGUACCCAUCUAAAAUCUUGUUGUGCCAUGUAGUUUCCCACGCUUUGUAUUCUUUCACUGCUGCUUUGUCUUGAACUGAUAUGAUUUUAACCGUGUCUCUAUUUUGAUUUGGCAAGACAAUGCAGUGACCAUAGGACAUAGAUAUAUGUUUGUUUGAUGCUUUUAUUAUGUACUAGUACUUGGCAAUAGAAGACUUGGUAGUUUAAUCCUGUCCACCUUACUAAUGAACUGGUUCACCGAAAUGAGUUUCAUAUACUAGUACAUGCUAAAGUUGUUAUGUGUCUGCUUGUUUCUUCUUUUAGAAUGCUGGCAGAAUAUUGGGGAAGAGUGCCUUAUUAAGCAAUGGUAAAGGAAGUAAUGCAGAUAAGGUUCAGAAUAGUGACACAUCCUUGUUGGUCUCCAACAAAGCUGAUAAAACAGCUAAGGAAGACUAUCUUGAAGACGGCGAGACAACCCCAAAGUCCUGUCUUGGUUUAGUGUUCGAGUUACUGGCCACUACCGCUUGCACAAGCAAUUCAAACUCACUGUCUGAAUCAGUUCGGUUUCUUGAGUCUCAACUACAAGCUGAAAGACAUCGAUCAGCUGUGCUGCGACAAGAAGCGGAAGGUCUGCGGAAGUCCCUGGAGCAUUCAGAUGCAUACUUUUUGGUGCAACAGCAAGCGUUGGAGGAUUUUAGCGCCAAACAGAACAAAGCUAAUCUGCUCGCUAAGCUUAUUGCCAACAUGGUGCAAACCCAGGAUAACGUUUCUUGAGCUCUUCUGAAGUUGUUUCAGUUAUGCUCUUGUUUUGCUGCCGCGUUUAUUUGCACUGGUGGCCAAUUUUGACGGCCAAGUGUAUGUAAUAUGCUGCUUUGUUCCCUAUAUUUGCACUGGUGGUGAACUUUGAUGCCUAGUGGAUGUAAUAUGUGUAAUAGUGGUAAUAGGCUAGCCUUAAUUGCUUGCUUAUUUAUUUCCUUAUUGUCCUGUUUAGUUUUUUGCUUGUAGUCACUGCAGUUCUUUUUCUGUGUUUUUCUAGUGGCCACAAUAGCCUAUUUUUGGUAACUAGGCCCAAAUAAUCAUGGCAACACAUGGACUGUUGUAACCAUGGGCCUCCUGCAGGCCGUAUGAUCCAUGGGCCUUUGUUCGGCCGUAGGAGCAUUGGCCUUCUAUACGGGCCGUAGGAUCCAUCGGCCUUCUAUACGGGCCUUAGGGAUCAAUGGGCCUUCUAUGGGCCGUAGGGUCCAUGGGCCUUCUACGGGCUGUACUAUCCAUGGGCCUCAUACGGGCCGUAGGAUCCAUGGGCCUUCUACGAGGCGUAUCAUCAUUUCACCAAUCAUGGGCCGUACUAUUCGUGGACCAUAACGGGCCGUUAAUAGGCCGUAUUUGAUAACUCUAUGAAAACAGCCCAACAGGUUUUUUGACAUGAAAACGGCCCAACUUAUUAACGGUCCGCAAACGGGCCGACUAUAACGAUGGGCUGAAUUUGGCCCACAAGCAGAAAAUGACAGUAACGGGCCGUAUGUAACCGAAUGCUGCAAAUGAGCCCAAGAAUCAAUGGGCCCUGAGAAGGCCGAAAGAUAACUUGGGCUGGAAACGGCCCAAUGGAAUAACGGGCCGUUAAUGGUAUAAAGUGAUACACUGUUCAUUACGGGCCAGUUUCACCAUGGGCCGUUAAUGGGCCAAGAGUUACAAAAGGUCCUCAUAUGGGCCGAAAGAAGUCAUGGGCCACACACGGGCCUGAAGUUAAAACGGGCUGAAUCAUAUUGGACGGCCCAGAUGAGGCUACUGGGCCUAAUUCGGAUAGGGCGUAACGGGCCCUGGGUUAGCGGGCUGUAAAUGGGCUAUAUGCGAACAGACCGUUAACAGGCUUUCCAUGGGCCGGCCCGCCACCUUUUGAGAAAGUCAAACGGGCUGGCCUUUUUACAGGAAUGGGCCUUUGUUGGGCCGUGCCACGUGUCGCCGUAUCAUAGGCACCUUCGGUCCAAUGAGCGGAUGACAUCUGUCCCAACGGUGAGCCGACACAUGUUUCCUCCAGCCAAUGACGAUUUUACACGUGGAAAAUCCCCAUUGGUCGGGGCUGUUAACGGGUUAUCGGAUCCAAAACCCGACCCGAUAGCUUAACGACGUUCCAUUACGGUGGAUGCCACGUGUCGGUCACCCUUGACAAAAGCAGUUCUGUGACGCGCGAUUUAUUGUCAUGGAAGUGGACACUUCCGUGAUGAUAAUUUUGGUAAUGUCAUGGAACACUUCUACGACAGCACAGGUAUGACUAUCUUGAUUCUGUCAUAAAUUUGUCAUGGAUGUACAUGCAUGACAAAAAACGCGACCUACUGUGACAAACACGUAUCAUCACGGAAGUGUAUUUUUUUGUAGUGCUUAAUGUAGUGGACCUAGAAGAUAGCCUACAGGUUACAUGGAGGACCCGGAGCUUCACCAAGCGCAUGAGAACAAAAUCGGUACCACAACAACAGUUUUCAAAUCUCCGGCAUGACAACUUUUUCGAAGAAAACUUCAUGCAUACCUUUAAGGACCAUGGAGACGUUCCCAACGCCGAGGGCUAUACCAUAUCAUGCUUCUAUGAAUUUCAUGAGAUGCUUAUCCCUUUGUUGCUUGCACCCUUUUAUUGCAUAGUAGUCAAUUAUUAGGGUGAUCUCUCACUGCUAAAAUCAAGAUUCGAAGAUGAUCUUCCUAGCGUUGCAACCGUCUACAACACAUAGCGUUUCAGAGUACGUAUGUCCACAUGAGUACAAACUAGAUGUGAAGUGUAAGAUGGAUAUGGUUAGACCAUGUGUGCAGAUAAUACUUGGUUAUGUCGAAGUUCUGGCAGAAUCAUUUUAGCUUGGAGUACAAAGCAUCAAAAUAUGAACAAGCACUGGUACGCGUUGGUGCUAUACAAACGGUUUUAACCCCUUUCCGUGACGGCAUUUGGAACCGUCGCCAAGUGAGUGUCUGCAAUAGGGGGGGGGGGUCCUUCCCACAAGACCCAGAAACCGUCGGCGAUAGGGAGCCAAGAUGCACGUGCAAUACUCCAUUCGUUUGUGCUCGCAUUACCAUCGCAGUCGGUAUUCUGUGGUGCUAUGUUUACGAUGCGCGACCCAUCACAAACGGUUCACUAUUAUAGAACGUGUAUGAUAAGCAUACAAUCACACACAUUUGCUUUUCACAAACCGUAUGGGAUAACUAAUUAAGAAGAUUAGCUAAUCGUCAGACGGGUGUUGGAUAGGAUUACGAAACGUCAGACCGUUGUAACAUCGUUGUACACGACAACUAUCACACACUAUUCUAUGGUGCGACGUUUACGAUGCAUACUUCAUCAGAAAUAGUUCAUGGUUGCGAAUCGUGUAUGAUAAGGCAACUAUUGCACAUGCUAUUCUAUGGUGCAAUGUUUACGAUGCAUACUUCAUCAGAAACAGUUCAUUGUUGCGAAUCGUGUAUGACAAGGCAACUAUCACAAAUGGUUAGUUUGCCAGCACCGUUUGUGAUAUUGUCUGACACCGCACACGCUUUGCAAACGGUAACUGUGUGCAUGCUUGCACAUGUUUCAUCUCUGUGAACCGUCUCGGAUUAUGGUGUAUAUCGCAAACGUUUGUGUUUUUACCAACCGUGUGCGCCGUAAAAACCUGGAGAGCGUAAUUUCACUGUAAUUUAAUUGCCGCUAUAUCAAAUUGAAAUUGAAAUUGAAUUUGAAUGUAUGCUAUAGCUUUAUUCAUAUCCAUCAGGUUUAGACAACCAAUGCAUUAUUCGAUUCAUAGGUACACAUCAAGAAUUACAUAAAAACCAAAUAAGAAUGAUGAACCACAGUUGCAUACUAGUACUAUUAAAGACGGUAAAGAAAGAGGCGAAAUACAUUCUGGUUGCUGAACAAGGUGAAGCGGAAUGCCCAUAUUGUGCCCUCCUCCAUGCAGAAGGCACACACGACUCUAGUCCAACCCCUUAUGAUGGCCGACCGCCCAUCCUUCACGGUCUUCAUGAAAACAUCUAGAUAAUCAUCAUGUUCUGGUAGAAAUACUUUAACCUUUGCAUGCCCACCAAUCAUGUAGUUUGAGAGGUAAUCUUUAGUAAACUGCUUUGGGAACCAUUGCAACGGAAAAAAAGAUCCAGACAUUGUCAUCUAACACAACUCAUUAUGGGCAGUAAAAAGAAGGCUGUAGAGUUCUUACUUACCAUCCUGCAGUUUUCUGUUGUAUUGGAUAAAGUGCAAACAAAUAGUUUAAUUGCCAUCUUUUGACCCAUUUUACUAACAAUCUUUAUCAGCUUCCUCACUUGAUGCUGGUUCAUUGCUAUCUCAUUUCCCCAUACGCAGAAAGGGUUGAAGCGCGGAUCUUUACCAAUGACAUAUGUACCUAAAAGCACCAAAUUAAUAUUAGAAGCUAAACACCAAUUGCACAAUGGUAUAGUACAACACUCUUUUAUAAUAUCUUAUAACAUCCAAUAUACUCACAUAUUAGAUGAAUUAAUAUCUUAUACUAUGGGCCAGAAGGAGUUUAUUGCAUUCUUACAAAUUAUUGAUUGAUUAACUGCUGCUGUAUCCAUGGGCUAGAGUUAGUUUGAGCUAGUUCGGGCUGAAAUAGCCCUAAAGUAUAUCUAAACAUGAGGGCUAGUUUGAGCUAGUUGCAUCUAUAACCCACCCAAAAAACCUAUCCAUCCCAAGAGGUGCUAAUUGGAGCUAGUUCUCCUAGUGCAUUUCUUGUCAAUCUAAGUAUCUAACCCUGUCAUCCAAACACCUCUCUGGAUGGAGUUAGUUCAGGGUUAGUCAUGAGCUAGAAACUAACUCUAACCUCUAAGCUAAGUCGAGUAUCCAAACAGGGUUGUGUUGUUGUUGUUGUUGUUGUUGUUGUUGUUGUUGUUGUUGUUGUUGUUGUUGUUGUUGUUGUUGUUGUUGUUGUUGUUGUUGUUGUUGUUGUUGUUGUUGUUGUUGUGUUGUUGUUGUUGUUGUUGCUGCUGCUCUUCUACGUGUAUCUAGACAUCAUCAGAACAUUAAGGUAACACUCUUCGUUGUUGCUAUGUAGCCUAGGAUUGCAUAUGUAGACAUUAAGUAUAGUGCAUGUUGCUAUGUAGCCUCAGAUAUAUUACAUAUGGGAAGUUAACCUAACGAUAAAUGGGUUGCAUGUAUAUUCAGCUAAAAGUCCGAUUCACCGAUUAGUCCCUUAUCAGCCCCCGGCCUAUAUGGUACCAGCUACCGAUAUCAUGAACAGUGAGCAUAUAUAAGCCAUGGGAUGAAACUAACCUCGAUGGAGAACAAUAGUCAUUCCCAAAAAUUGUCCUGUGUAGGUACAUCGAGAAGCAUGUUAAGCACAACGGGCUAAACAUCAACCAAAAUUAUCCAUGGCAGACAAAAUAAUCUCCAAAAGAUAGCUUCAGUGUGGAGGUUUAAGCACGCUAGUAAAGGAAAACAAGUGAAAAGGUGUGUUAACUGCAACAGGCCUAACAUUUAACAACAAGCAAACAUAGUCAUUCAAACUGGUAUUGUGUCGGUCUAAGUACACUGGUUAUUGUUAAAUAAAAAUGGAAAGGCGUAUUUAACUACAAGAUGCAGCAACCAAAUGUAGUCAUUUAUGCCCUAUUUGUUUCAGCUUCGCUUGGAUUUUAAUCACCCAUGCAUUCGCUUCAGUGGCUAAGCUGUUUCUGCGAAUCAGCUUCACCAGCGAAGUACACUUUGAGGUGCUUCAGGAAAUUGCACUAAAAAUGACCCAAAUCCAUAUUCAGCUUCACUGGCAAAGCUGAUUCCAAAUAACUGUUUGUUUCGGAUUCCAGACUCGGCUUCACUAGCAAAGCUGAAUCUGGUCCCAGAAUCCGAAACAAACAGGGCCAUAGUGGUAUUGUUGAAACUGGUACUGAUGAAAUUGAACUACACAGUUCAUACUUGCACAUAUAGAACAUCACGUUGAGAAUACCUAGAAUAAACAAGGCAUACUACGAACAACCAAAGAUAGCAUUUGAAACUGGACAUAUGCUAACUACAAACAACAGAACAAUCAAAAAACUUUAAAAGAGGCAUAUGCUAUCUAUAACAGGCUUAACAACAAGCAAAUAUAUGCAUUCCUAUAGGUAUGUUUAAAACUAGAUUGAUGAAAUGUACUGCACAGUAAAUAAUUGCACAUACAGAGCAUCGCAUUGUGAACAACUGUAAUAAACAAGGCAUACUGCAAACAACCAGAUAUAGCAAUUAAAACUGGACAUAUUCUCACUACACUACAAAAGGGACUCGACAAAAAAAAUAAUGGGUUUCCCCCUGUGAAGAGGCACGACAAAACAAAUCAUGGAUUUCCUCACUUGUCAUAGAUGGGCUAAGUUCCCGUGGGAAGAGCAUGGACCCUGGAUGCGCUCCAUGUUGUCGUAGAUGGGCUCCUUCCCCUUGGAAGAGCAUGGUUGUAGGGUGCCCUCCUUGAUGUCGCAGACGGACUCUUUCCCAUUGGAAGAGAAGAUGGGCUCUUUCCCCUUGGAAGAGCCGGAGAGGGUGCACUCCUCGUGGUCUCCGUCGAUGAGGUCUGACUUAGAAGCUGUGGAUCCCAAGCUAGCGUCGCAGAAUGUGUCCUUCAGAAAUGACAAAAGGGGUUCGAUGUCGAUUUAGGAUGGCAAGCGAGCCAGAGGAGAUCAGCGACGCGACCAUGGAUGCGAUCGACCGCGGUUGAACCCAAGGGGUUGGGGGUGGGCCACUUAACCUGUGACAUAGCCCGCCUUAGGCCAUCACUGUCGAUGACCUCGAUGUCGUAGCCCGCGGCCGAGACAUGCCCGCAUACUCUAGCCCGCUGCUUGAGUGCCUGCCGCCAGUAAUGGUCGUCAGCUUCCUCGGCGACGUCGGGCGAAGAGACCGCGAUACACCUCUUUUGGGCCAGUCGCUCCUCAAGCUCCACGGGAAGCGUAGCCGGGCUUAGGCUGCAACGCUUUGUAGUGGGGGAUGGGGAUCUGCGGGGAAAGGGGCGUUUGGCAGGCGUUAUCUAAGAAACUCAGGGCGGCCUUGGUAUGGAGAUCGGUGGGUAAGCUGCACGGGUAAACCAGCAAAUGUUGACAAUGGAGGUCUCGCGGCGGUGGCGGGGACCUUGCUAGGGUUUCGAGUGAGGGAGGGUGUGUGUGUGUGCGCGCGCCCGAGGAGGUUUUGGGGUGUGUGUGUGUGUGUGGAGGGUGUGUGUGUUUGAGGAAACGACGCAGGUACUGAAACUUUUACUAUGCGGGAGUCAAACGCGGGAGUGAACUGUCAGGGCUAUUAAAAUUUUUGAUGAUGGUGCAUGGCACACGGUCUAGAGAUAACAACCGUAUGAGGACGCCGCCGAAGCGCCCCAUCGGAGGGAGUGGCGACGCCGGGGCUGCUAAAGCACCGGAGCACGGCGUGGAGAUGGAGACAGAGGUUGCCGUCACCGCCGGCAAGUUUUAGCUGCAACUUGACAUCGUCGACGGCGUUGAGCUUCCACAGCCGGAGGCGGAGUUCCACAACGACUCUAGUGACGACUCGGGCGACGACCACUCCGGCGAUGACUCCGACGACGACGGACAACUGGUUAGUCAUCUAUACCCAUUUAUGUGUCAAAUAGAUCCCAGGGUUUCUCUAGUUACUCCUGCCUCCCCCUUUUUGGAAUAGAAAUCCUAUGCUUAUGUUCUCCCAAUCCAUGAAAUCUAAGUAAGUUUCAUUAGAUAUGUGUAGUAUAUUGAUUUUUUGAAUGGUACAAGUGAUAAGUGAUUAGUUGUUUCAUGUGUGAAAAUGAUUUCUGCCAGUAACCCGACUAGGGUUAGUGUUCGUGCUAAUAAUUCCUAGCCAGGACUUGACAAUUGAUUUUAAAUGACCUACAUAUGUUUGUACCAUUAUUUUCUUCAAGAUUGGUUUGUACAUAGACAAAUGUGCAUAAAAAUCGAACCAUAAUCUCUGGAUAUGUAUAAAUAGAUAGCCAUAAAUUCCUAAUCCUAGUUCACGGCAUGUAAUCGUUGUUUUGACGCCAAUUUUUGGCAACUGCCAAAUGUUCGCUAGGGAUUAGUUUGUAACCAUUAAUUUGACGCCACCCUUUUUUUUACUAUUUGUAUAGGUGUUGUCUAACAAUGUGGACAGCAAGGAUGAAGAUGUCCAGAGGAGGUACAAGAGGCAAAUCCUCAGGGAGCUUUAUGCGCAAAUGCAUAACAUGCGGACUAGGACCGGGGAAAGCGGCUAUCGAUGCCCAUUUUGCAACCACAAGCUUCAUCACGCGUAUCAAAGUGUUCUGGAGCAUGCAAGAGGACGGGCCAUUGGCUCCUUCAAAUAGAAGUAUGCUCGCAGGGUGGAGCACGGCGCGUACGCCGAGUACCUGGAGAAGCUUCAAGAUCGUGCCGACUUGUGAGAUGAGAUAUGGGAUCGAACUAUUUACGCUUGAGCAUGCUCAAUGACGGCUGAACUAUGCUUGUGUACGUGUACGCUUAUUAUCUAUGGCUGAGUAUGUUUAAUCUAUGUUCACUUAUGUCUAACUGUGGGAUAUGGAUGCAAUCAGUUCAGUUGAUGGAAUUUACCACCGUCCUCGUUUAUUGGUCCCCUUUUAAUUUGUGUUAAAUGUUGACCAAAUAUUUAACUGGCAAAAUGUUAGUGCAGGUCAGCAAAAAUUAUAUCAUUGGAUGCGUAUUUGAACAUAGUGUUCAAUGAUAUAAUUUUUGGUGACAUGCAUAAACAUUUCUUAGUCAAAUAUUUGGUCAAAAUUUGGUACAAAUUACAGAGGGGACCAAUAAACCAGGACGGAGGUAGUACAUCAAUCACACACGGUUCCCAAAAUUGGAACCAUGUGCAAUGACUUUCAUUUUGCCUGUUGCUUCAGUCACAGAUGGUUCCCAAAAUUGGAACUGUGUGCAAUGCCUUUCGUUUUGCUUGUUGCGUCAAUAACACACGGUUGGCUCUAGGAAAUCGUUGCCUCCAAAAUUCUUUGUGGGACAGAAAACCCUCACCACCCAAUUCAAAAAAGAAAAAAGAAAACCCUCGCCAUCCCCACGUGACAAAAACAGUCACCCCGCUCGCCACCCCAUGCCUCCGAUCCCCAUUCACACUUGCACAAGCUCCUCCGCGUCUAUGCAUGGCACCACCUAUCGCGGCGGUAACCAUUUAGCCCGACGCCUACCGCCGCCAGGCUGUCGGCAAACCCCACCGCAUUUUGCCACUUCCGCUUGCCGCCGCCUGUUGCCAUGACUUUCCCGACGCUGCUUGCGGUUGACCUAGCUCCGCUCGGUUGGGGAAUCUGCCAUACUGAGAGUUUUUUCUCAUGGACGACAAGGUAACUAAUUUAAUUAGAUAUUAUCUCAUCUCUCAUCCCAUUUCUUCUGCCUCCUUUAAUCACCCGGCGGAAAUUGCCUUGAAUUCAUUUUUAUUCGAGCUGAUUUGAGGGUUUUCUUUCAUUCAUAGAGUGUACAGUGAAAUGACACAUCAGGACCUUGCGACCUCCCCAGAGAUUCCAUCUCACCAUACUAGAUGACUUGAGCAUGUGUGCCGUAUGUUCAAUCUCACCCUAAAUCGGUUGACAUGGCCUACUUUCCUGAAGAUAUUCUAAAUAGUGCUACAUUUGGAUAAAAGGUGCCACAUGCACCAUAUACGUCAAAGGGGAUCUUUUUCCCUCUUCUUUCUAUAUUAGGCAAAUUAAUGAUGUAGUGUUCUUUCGAUUACUCUCAUAUUUCCAUGACAUCAUGUUUACCCUAUCUGUUUAAUUAUAGAUUUUUGUCCUUAGAUUUCAAUUGCUGUAUAGUUCUUUCAAUUUGGGCCCAUAUUUGCAUGCUACCAUAUUUUCCUUAACAAUCCUACAAUUUUCUGCAGCGCAUCCCUUGCUAUGCAACAGAUUAUGUAGUGCACAAUUUUCCCUUUACAUAGAUCAAGGCUGCACGGAUGUCAUACUGCACACAAACCAUGGAUUUACAAUCAUUGCUAACGUAGGACUUGAUGAACAUGGUGACUCCUAUUUUGGCGCUGGCUUUUGGAAGGAAAUUUCUAAGUUUUAUGUACUGAAAGCUGGCGCUAAAAUUGGACUGCACAUAAAAGGGCCUGGUCAUGAGAUAUAUGCUAACUUCCCCGACAAAAUCAUCCUUCCUGACUUUGUUCGAAGUAAGUUUUCUUUUCAACUAUCUGGAUGUUGACUUACCCAGCAAUGUUAAAUGAAUUGUGUAGUCUUUAAGCAACCAAUUGUUAUUCUCUUUUUUUAGUAUAUUCCUACCUAAUAACUUCUAGUUACAAAUACACUUUUCUAUUGCCCCGUUUUAACUAAAUAUUCCUUGUACUCUCAUUUCUAUCAGAAAGCGCCGCUGACAAGGAGACUCCAGAGGUGGAGAACAGGGCUGCCAACAAGCGGAGGCGGGGCAAGAUAGAACCGCAAGCGACUCCAUCAGUCAUAGACUUCAUCAACAGCCUCCCUGAUGAUAUGUUGACUGUCAUCAUCUCCCUCCUCCCAAUCAAAUGAGGGGCGCGGACAACCGUCCUUUCCCGGUGGUGGCGCCCCCUAUGGAACUUCACCCAUCUCAACCUCAUCGACACCCAUGAGCUCUGCCAUGGCUAUUGCAAAAGCUUGGAUGCGUUCUCCAAUAUCCUCCGUAGUCACCCUGGCCCAACUAGAGGCCUUAGAAUGGGCAAGUUCCGUUCCAACGGCAGGGACCGAGCCAAGCUUGAUGACUGGUUUGGAUCCCCCGCCCUAGAUCAGCUUGAGGAGCUCACUUUUGAUGAUGGGCUUAUGCGCUCGCUGCCAACGGCCGCGCUCCGCCUCGCGCCCAUGCUGCGCGUCGCCAAGUUCAGGAAUUGCCAUCCCCCGCCCUUAAUGACGCGCCCACUCUUAUUCUACCACAACUGAAGCACCUCGAACUCGUCGCCGUCUGCCUCUCAAAUGGUGACAUGGAGCGCCUGCUCCGUGGCUGUACUGCACUCGAGUACCUUCGUCUUCAGGCGAUCAAUGGGUUGAGUACAUUCCACAUCACCUCCAUGACUCUCCAGACUAUUUAUGUGUGUUGUUGGUUCGGUAGGAAGACAUCACAAGAUGUGUACCACGGUAUAGUCAUUGAGGACACACUUGCACUUGAGAGAUUACUUGUACUUGAUUAAGUAGGUCCAACAAGAAUCAAUGUCAAUUCUGCGCCGAAAUUGACAGUGAUGUGCUGCUUGUCUUACAAAGACUCCGAACUUGUUAUUGGAUCCACAUCCGUUCAGGUACAAUAGUCGCCUUCUACCUCUCCUUCUACAAAUUAACAUUAUUUCUAAUUUUGAAGAUGUUUGAUCGUCUGUCAUCCAAAAAAUUAUUCUGACAUGCCUGACCGUGAAACUGCACACAGUGAAGGUCUUGGCACUAGAAUCUAUCGGCCCCAACCUAGAGCAAGUUGUCACUUUCCUGAGAUGCUUUCCGUGCCUUGAGAAGCUAUAUAUCGAGGCGAUGUUCCUUUCCUGUUAAAUGUUAACCAUAAGGAAGUUCAAUUUGUGACACCUUUUUCCAAGUUUACAGUGACAAUAUACUAUAAUUUCUGAAGGAUUCUUUUGGAGGAUUUCAGUACAUACAUGUCUCCUUUUCCAAGUUUACAAUGACAAUGCUUGAUCCAUAUGCUUACAAUCCAUACACAUUUCUCCUUUGGAUUCAUCUGUACUAGUUUUCUUAGGGAACAUUUCAUCCACUCCAACUUCUUGUGAAGAUCGAAGAUGGUAUGUUAAUGCCCAUGUUAAUCAUGUCAGAUCGAAGAUGCAUGUUAGUGCAUUUUACAAAUCCUGCAAACCAAAUAGGCCUGUAGUAGUGUUCAAAACUGCAUCUAGGCACUAAAACAUUUUCUUCUUUUGUAGAUAAGAUUAGGCCCAGUGGUGGAUAAUGUGAUACAGUAUAACAAUCAUGUCGAAUGCCUAGAUCUACAUCUCUCAGAAAUUACUUUGAACUCCUACCAAGGGACCGUACCAGAGAGUAUAUUCGCCAGGUUCUUUGUUGUCAGAGCAAGGGUGCUGAAGGUAAUGUGGUUUUCCCUACAUUUAUUUUGGAAAAAUGAAUGGUUUGUUGACCAGCGCCGGCACCUGCGGCAGAAUGGAAUAGGCUCCAAAAAUACUGAAUUUCAUUUUGGAAGUUUAGAUGACAGAGUAUUCGGAACUCAUCGUGUCAAUCCCAUACAUGACUUCUCAGUGGCUGACCCCUUUGCAAAAGUUGUGAGGUUUCGAAACCAGACUUAGAAGAGGUAAUAUUAGUUUGAACCUCUCUGAUAUCCAUGUUCAGCGGAUCAGCGCGAGCGUUGCAGCUGAUGAGCUGAAUUUCAUUUCUAAUAUCAAUUUGAACCUUGUAAUCUUUGAAUUUGAGCCAUAUAACUCUGGAAUUUGAACCUUGUAAUAUUUCAAGCCUUUGUGGUACAAUCAUUGAAAUGGCAUCGUAUGAGACUCGUUUAUUGGUAGGACUAUUUUAACCUUAAUAUGCAAUGGUCUUCGAUUUGAUUUUAUUAAUCAUUCUCGAAUCUGUUUACCUUGUCGAUCUCACAGCACACGACCUGUAUUGCUAACUUAACUGCGAUCUUGGACAUUAUUGCACACAAUUGGUUUCUUCCACCAUGUGCCAUGUAGAGCGCAGAAUCAAUUAUCGCUCUUGAGUGUCUAGCAUCACCCUUCUAUGUAACUUUAACCUCAUCACCCAUGGGUAAACUUACGACCGAAGUCAUUCCACACACUUCAUUUUGACAAAGCUUUUUGCCAAUAAAUGCCCAUGAUUUGUCCUUGUUCUAGCCGACGCGUGCCAAAACGAGCCGGGCGGGAAGCUUGCGCUGUAGCACGGGAAUAGGCUCACCGACGAUACAUUUGGCGCCUCUUCGAGCCCACGUGUGGUCAAACUGUGGUGCGGUGUUGUCAAGCAUGCACUGGAAUCCUCACUGCAGUGUGGUGUUGUCAAGCAUGCACUGGAAUCCUCCGCUAUGAACGCCGUGACAAGACGUGACGAUUACAGGUCGUCUGGCUCCCAUUUGUUACAGCGGCUAUUUAACCCUUGUGUCUCUUCAACCUUUCAAUCGCGCCCCACCAUUGCAAGAAGCACACCCACCACGACAAAUUCUUAGAGAGUAUCCUGCGCGACUCCAAUGGCGCUCCGAGCGGCUGCCGACGACGAGCAGCAGUUCACCAAGCAUGCCAUGGUGGACACCCACCGAAGGUUCGAGGAGCUCUCGGUGGUGUACACCGACAACCCGGUCUGGGUGGAGCACUCUAUCUGCAUCAUGGAGCUAUUGCUUGCCGAUGGGAAGUACAAGGUGGUUGGGUUCGACCUCGAGCACACCCGUGCUCGUGCCGGGUCUUGUCCCAAGGUCGUCGUUUCCCAGAUGUGCGUGGGCCACCACGUCCUCGUCUACCACUCCUGCCUGGCCACAAGGUCUUGCGAGCAUUUCGCCAGGUUUGUCAACAGCCCCCACUACAUGUUCGCUACGGUCGACAUCACCAACAAUGUCAAGGUGCUCAAGAAUUCGGGCAUCGCCUUCCAGAAUCUUGUCGACAUCCAGGGACAAUACAAGAUCUGGGGCAGCAAGGAGCAUGAGAAGGACUCACUGGUUCACCUCGCCGAGGCCAUCAUCGACCCCUACUAUAGGGACAUGAAGGAUUCCUGCAACAACGACAAGCGUGCCUGGCACUCGGCCUGGAUGGAUAAACUCGACAAAGCUCAUGUCAUGUACGCGGCCAAGGUGUUGGCGAACGCAGUAAUUCCAAAAAAGUUCCUAUGAUCAUGCAAGAUCUAUCUAGGUGAUGCAUAGCAAUGAGAGGGGAGAGUGUGUCCAUGUACCCUCAUAGACCAAAAGUGGAAGCGUUAAGUAACGCGGUUGAUGUAGUCGAACGUCUUCGCGAUCCAACCGAUCAAGUACCGAACGCACGGCACCUCCGCGAUCUGCACACGUUCAGCUCGGUGACGUCCCUCGAACUCUAGAUCCAGCUCAGGCCGAGGGAGAGUUCCGUCGGCACGACGGCAUGGUGACAGUGAUGAUGAAGUUACACGCGCAAGGCUUCGCCUAGGCACUACGACGAUAUGACCGAGGUGUAAAACUGUGGAGGGGGGCACCGCACACGGCUAAGGGUCAACUUGUGUGUCUAUGGGGUGCCCCCUGGCCACGUACAUAAAGGGGGGAGGGACGAGGUGGCUGGCCCAAGGGGGGCACGCCAGGUGUGGGGAAUCCUACUAGGACUCCCUAGUCCAAGUAGGAUUCCCCUCCUCUUUCCUAUUCCUAGUAGGAGAAGGAGGGAAGGAGGAAGAGGGGAGAAGGAAGGAGGGGGGCGCCACCCCCUCCUAGUCCAAUUCGGAGUAGCACAUGGGGGGCGUGUGGCCACCCCUUGAGGCCCUUCUUUCCUUUCUCGUAUGGCCCAUUAAGGCCCAUUACUUCCCCCGGCGAAUUUCCGUAACUCUCCGGUACGCCGAAAAAUACCCGAAUCACUCGAAACCUUUUCGAUGUCCAAAUAUAGCCUUCCAAUAUAUCGAUCGUUAUGUCUCGACCAUUUCGAGACUCCUCGUCACAUCCGUGAUCUCAUACGGGACUCCGAACAAACUUUGGUCAUCAAAUCACAUAACUCAUAAUACAAAUCGUCAUCAAACAUUAAGCGUGCGGACCCUACGGGUUCGAGAACUAUGUAGACAUGACCGAGACACAUCUGCGGUCAAUAACCAUUAGCGGAACCUGCAUGCUCAUAUUGGGUCCUACAUAUUCUACAAAAAUCUUUAUCUGUCAAACCGCAUAACAACAUACGUUGUUCCCUUUGUCAUCGGUAUGUUACUUGCCCGAGAUUCGAUCGUCGGUAUCAUCAUACCUAGUUCAAUCUCGUUAUCGGCAAGUCUCUUUACUCGUUUCGUAAUACUACAUCCCGCAACUAACUCAUUAGUCACUAUUCUUGCAAGGCUUAUAGUGAUGAGCAUUACCUAGAGGGCCUAGAGAUACUUCUCCAAUACACGGAGUGACAAAUCCUAAUCUCAAUCUAUGCCAACCCAACAAACUCCUUCGGAGACACCUGUAGAGCAUCUUUAUAAUCACCCAGUUACGUUGUGACGUUUGAUAGCACACAAGGUGUUCUUCCGGUAUUCGGGAGUUGCAUAAUCUCAUAGUCUGAGGAACAUGUAUAAGUCAUGAAGAAAUCAGUAGCAGUGAAACUGUAACGAUCAUAAUGCUAAGCUAACGGAUGGGUCAUGUCCAUCACAUCAUUCUCCUAAUGAUGUGAUCAUGUUCAUCAAAUGACAACACAUGUCUAUGGUUAGGAAACAUAACCAUCUUUGAUUAACGAGCUAGUCAAGUAGAGGCAUACUAGCGACAAUAUGUUUUGUCUAUGUAUUCACACAUGUACUAAGUUUCCGGUUAAUAUAAUUCUAGCAUGAAUAAUAAUAAUUUAUCUUGAAAUAAGGAAAUAAAUAAUAACUUAUUAUUGCCUCUAGGGCAUAUUUCCUUGAGUCUCCCACUUGCAACAGAGUCAAUAAUCUAGUUCACAUCGCCAUGUGAUUUAACACCAAUAGUUCACAUCUAUAUGUGAUUAACACCCAUAGUUCACAUCGCCAUGUGACCAACACACAAAGGGUUUACUAGGGUGUGAUCAUGUUUUUCUCAUGAGAGAAGUUUAGUCAACGGGUCUGUCACAUUCAGAGCCGUAUGUAUUUUGCAAAUAUUCUAUGUCUACAAUGCUCUGCAUGGACCUACUGUAGCUAAUUGCUCCCACUUUCAAUAUAUCCAGAUUGAGACUUAGAGUCAUCUGGAUCGGUGUAAAAGCUUGCAUCGACGUAACUCUUUACGACAAACUCUUUAUCACCCCCAUAACCGAGAAACAUUUCCUUAAUUCUCUCUAAGGAUAAUUUUGACCGUUGUCCAGUGAUAUACUCCUAGAUCACUAUUGUACCCCUUUGCCAAACUCAUGGCAAGGUACACAAUAGGUCUAGUACACAACAUAGCAUACUUUAUAGAACCUAUGGCUGAGGCAUAGGGAAUGACUUUCACUCUCUUCCUAUUUUCUGUUGUGGUCGGGUUUUGAGUCUUACUCAACUUUACACCUUGUUAUAUAGACAAGAACUCCUUCUUUGACUGAUCCAUUUUGAACUCUUUCAAAAACUUGUCAAGGUGUGUACUCAUUGAAAAAUCUUUAUCAGGCAUCUUGAUCUAUCUCUAUAGAUCUUGAUGCCCAAUAUGUAAGCAGCUUCACCGAGGUCUUUCUUCCUUUCAAACUCUCCUUUAUGCUUUCCAAAAAAACUCUACAUCAUUUCUGAUCAACAAUAUGCCAUUCACAUAUAAUUAUCAGAAAGGAUGUAGUGCUCCCACUCACUUUCUUGUCAAUACAGGCUUCUCCAUAAGUCUAUAUAAAACCAUAUACUUUGAUCACCUUAUCAAAACAUAUAUUCCAACUCCGAGAUGCUUGCACCAGUCCACAGAUGGAUCACUGGAGCUCGCACACUUUGUUAGCACCUUUAGGAUUGACAAAACCUUCUGGUUGCAUCAUAUACAACUCUUCUUUAAGAAAUAUCCAUUUAAGGAAUGCAGUUUUGACAUCCAUUUGCCAGAUUUCAUAAAAUAUGGCAAUUGCUAACAUGAUUCGGACGGAUUUAAGCAUCACUACAGUUGAGAACAUCUCAUUGUAGUCAACACCUUGAACUUGUCGAAAACCUUUUGCGACAAGUCGAGCUUCGUAGAUAGUAACACUACUAUCAGCGUCUGUCUUCCUCUUGAAGAUCCAUUUAUUUUCUAUGGCUUGCCGAUCAUCGGGCAAGUCGACCAAAGUCCACACUUUGUUCUCAUACAAGGAUCCCAUCUCAGAUUUCAUGGUCUCAAGCCAUUUCGCGGAAUCUGGGCUCAUCAUCGCUUCCUCAUAGUUCGUAGGUUCAUCAUGGUCUAGUAACAUAAUUUCCAGAACAGGAUUACCGUACCACUCUGGUGCAGACCAUACUCUAGAAGACCUACGAGGUUCAGUAGCAACUUGAUUUGAAGUUUCAUGAUCAUCCUCGUUAGCUUCCUCUCUAAUUGGUGUAGGAAGCACUGGAACUGAUUUCUGUGAUAAACUACUUUCCAAUUCGGGAGAAGGUACAAUUACCUCAUCAAGUUCUACUUUCCUCCCAAUCACUUCUUUCGAGAGAAACUCCUUCUCUAGAAAGGAUCCAUUCUUAGCAGCGAAUAUCUUGCCUUCGGAUCUGUGAUAGAAGGUGUACCCAAAAGUUUCCUUUGGGUAUCCUAUGAAGAUGCACUUCUCCGAUUUGGGUUCGAGUUUAUCAGGUUGAAGCUUUUUCACAUAAGCAUCGGAGCCCCAAACUUUACGAAACAACAACUUUGGUUUCUUACCAAACCACAGUUCAUAAGGCGUCGUCUCAACGGAUUUUUUGAUGGUGCCCUGUUUAUAGUGAAUGCAGCUGUCUCUAAUGCAUAACCCCAAAACGAUAGUGGAAAAUCGGUAAGACACAUCAUGGAUCGCACAUAUCCAAUAAAGUGCAGUUAUGACGUUCGGACACACCAUUACGCUGUGGUGUUCCAGGUGGCGUUAAUUGUGAAACUAUCCCAUGUUGUUUCAAAUGAAGACCAAACUCGUAACUCAAAUAUUCUCCUCCACGAUCAGAUCGUAGAAAUUUUAUUUUCUUGUUACGAUGAUUUUCCACUUCACUUUGAAAUUCUUUGAACUUUUCAAAUGUUUCAGACUUGUGUUUCAUUAAGUAGAUAUACCCAUAUCUGCUCAAAUCAUCUGUGAAGGUCAGAAAAUAACAAUACCCACCACGAGCAUCAAUACUCAUUGGACCGCAUACAUCGGUAUGUAUUAUUUCCAAUAAGUCACUAUCUUGUUCCAUUGUUCCGGAGAACGGAGUUUUAGUCAUCUUGCCCAUAAGGCACGGUUCGCAAGUAUCAAAUGAUUCAUAAUCAAGUGAUUCCAAAAGUCCAUCUUUAUGGAGUUUCUUCGUUCAUUUUACACCGAUAUGACCCAAACAAUAGUGCCACAAAUAAGUUGCACCAUCAUUAUCAACUUUGCAUCUUUUGGCAUCAUCAUUAUGAAUAUGUGUAUUACCAUGAUCAAGAUUCAAUAAACCAUCAACAUUGGGUGUAUGACCAUAGAAGGUUUUAUUCAUGUAAGAAGAAUAAUAGUAUCUUAAAUGAAUAACCGUAUUGCAGUAAAUAUGAUCUAAUCAUAUUCAUGCUCAACGCAAACACCAAAUAAAAUUUAUUUAGGUUCAACACUAAUCCCGAAAGUAUAAGUAGUGUGGGAUGAUGAUCAUAUCAAUCUUGGAACCACUUCCAACAUACAUCAUCACUUCAUUCUUAACUAGUCUGUGUUUAUUCUGUAACUCCUGUUUCGAGUUAUUAAUCUUAGCAGCCGAACAAGUAUCCAAUACUCAGGGGAUACUAUGAACACUAGCAAGGUACACAUCAAUAACCUGUACAUCAAAUAUACCUUUGUUCACUUUGCCAUCCCUCUUAUCCGCCAAAUAUUUGGGGUAGUUCUGCUUCCUGUGACCAUUUGCUUUGCAGUAGAAGCACUCAGUUUUAGGCAUUGGUCUAGCUUUGGGCUUCUUCACGGGAGUGACAACUUGCUUGCCAUUCUACUAGAAGUUCCCUUUAUUUCCCUUUUCCCUUUUCUUGAAACUAGUGGUCUUGUCAAUCAUCAACAAAUGAUGCUCUUUCUUGAUUUCUACCUUCAUCGAUUUCAGCAUCACGAAGAGCUCGGGAAUCGUUUUCGUCAUCCCUUGUAUACUAUAGUUCAUCACGAAGUUUGAGUAACUUGGUCACGGUGACUAGAGAAUUCUAUCAAUCACUAUCUUAUUUGGAAGAUUAACUCCCGCUUGAUUCAAGCGAUUGUAGCACCCAGAAAUUCUGAGCACAUGCUCACCAGCUGAGCAAUUUUCCUCCAUCUUUUAGGCAAAGUACUUGUCAGAGGUCUCAUACCUCUUGACAUGGGUAUGAGUCUGAAAUACCAAUUUCAUCUCUUGGAACAUCUCGUAUGCUCCGUGGCGUUCAAAACGUUUUGAAUUCCCAGUUCUAAGCCGUAAAGCAUGGUGCACAAACCUAUCAAGUAGUCAUCAUAUUGAGCUAGCCAAACGUUCAUAACGUCUGCAUCUACUCCUGCAAUAGGUCUGUCACCUAGCGGUGCAUCAAAGACAUAAUUCUUCUGCGUAGCAAUGAGGAUACACCUCAGAUCACGGACCCAGUCCGCAUCAUUGCUACUAUCAUCUUUCAACUUAGUUUUCUCUAGGAACAUAUAAAAAACAUAGGGAAGCUAUAAUGGGAGCUAUUGAUCUAUAACAUAGUUUGCAAAAUACUAUCAAGACUAAGUUCAUGAUAAAUUAAAGUUCAACUAAUCAAAUUACAUAAGAACUCCCACUUAUAUAGACAUCCCUCUAGUCAUCUAAAUGAUCACGUGAUCCAAAUCAACUAAAUCAUGUACGAUCAUCACGUGAGAUGGAGUAGUUUUCAAUGGUGAACAUCACUAUGCUGAUCAUAUCUACUAUAUGAUUCACGUUCAACCUUUCGAUCUCAGUGUUCCGAGGCCAUAUCUGCAAAUCCUAGGCUCGUCAAGUUUAACCCGAGUAUUCUCCGUGUGCAAAACAGGCUUGCACCCAUUGUAUGUGAAUGUAGAGCUUAUCACGCCCGAUCAUCACAUGGUGUCUCGGCAUGAUGAACUGUAGCAAUGGUACAUACUUAGGGAGAACAAUUAUACCUUGAAAUUUAGUAAGUGAUCAUCUUAUAAUGCUAUCGUCAUACUAAGCAAAAUAAGAUGCAUAAAAGAUAAACAUCACAUGCAAUCAAAAUAUGUGACAUGAUAUGGCCAUCAUCUUCUUGUGCUCAUGAUCUCCAUCACCGAAGCAUCGUCAUGAUCUCCAUCAUCACCGGCACAACACCUUGAUCUCCAUCAUAGCAUUUUUGUCGUCUCGCCAACUAUUGUUACUACGACUAUCGCUACCGCGUAGUGAUAAAGUAAAACAAUUACAGGGCGAUUGCACUGCAUACAAUAAAGCGACAACCAUGUGGCUCCUGCCAGUUGCCAAUAACUUUGUUACAAAACUUGAUCAUCUCAUACAAUAAUUUAUAUCACAUCAUGCCUUGACCAUAUCACAUCAGAGCAAGCCCUGCAAAAGCAAGUUAGACGUCCCCUACUUUGUUGUUGCAACUUUUAUGUGGCUGCUACGGGCUUCUAGCAAGAACCGUUCUUAUCUACGCAUCAAAACCACAACGAUUUUUCGUCAAGUGUGCUGUUUUAACCUUCAACAAGGACCGGACACAGCCACACUCGAUUCAACUUAAGUUGGAGAAACAGACACCCGCCAGCCACCUAUGUGCAUAAGCACUUCGGUAGAACCAGUCUCAUGAACGCAGUGAUGUAAUGUCGGUCCGGGCCGCUUCAUCCAACAAUACCGCCGAAUCAAAGUAUGACAUCCUGGUAAGCAGUAUGACUAUUAUUGCCCACAACUUUUUGUGUUCUACUCGUGCAUAUAACAUCUACGCAUAGACCUGGCUCUGAUGCCACUGUUGGGGAACGCAGUAAUUUCAAAAAAAUUCCUACGAUCACGCAAGAUCUAUCUAGGUGAUGCAUAUCAACGAGAGGGGAGAGUGUGUCCAUGUACCCUCAUAGACCAAAAGUGGAAGCAUUAAGUAACACGGUUGAUGUAGUUGAACGUCUUCGCAAUCCAACCGAUCAAGUACCGAACGCGUGACACCUUCGCGAUCUGCACACGUUCAGCUCAGAGACGUCCCUCGAACUCUAGAUCCAGCUGAGGCCGAGGGAGAGUUUCGUCAGCACGAUGGUGUGGUGACGGUGAUGAUGAAGUUAUCGGCGUAGGGCUUCGCCUAAGCACUACGGCGAUAUGACCGAGGUGUAAAACUAUGGAGGGGGGCACCGCACACGGCUAAAGAUCAACUUGUGUGUCUAUGGGGUGCCCCCUGGCAACGUAUAUAAAUGAGUGGAGGGAAGAGGUGGCCGGCCCAAGGGGGGCAUGCCAUGUGUGGGGAAUCCUACUAGGACUCCCUAGUCCAAGUAGGAUUCCCCUCCUCUUUCCUAUUCGUAGUAGGAGAAGGAGGGAAGGACGAAGAGGGGAGAGGGAAGGAGGGGGGCACCGCCCCCUCCUAGUCCAAUUCGGACCAGCCCAUGGGGGGAGGGGGCGCGGCCACCCCUUGAGGCCCUUCUCUCCUUUCACGUAUGGCCCAUUAAGGCCCAUUACUUCCCCCGACGAAUUCCCGUAACUCUCCAAUACUCCGAAAAAUACCCGAAUCACUCUAAACCUUUCCGAUGUCUGAAUAUAGCCUUCCAAUAUAUCGAUCUUUACGUCUCGACCAUUUCGAGACUCCCCGUCAUGUCCGUGAUCUCAUCGGGGACUCCAAACAAACUUUGGUCAUUAAAUCACAUAACACAUAAUACAAAUCGUCAUCGAACGUUAAGCGUGCGGACCCUACGGGUUCGAAAACUAUGUAGACAUGACAGAGACACAUCUCCGGUCAAUAACCAAUAGCGGAACCUGGAUGAUCAUAUUGGCUCCUACAUAUUCUACGAAGAUCUUUAUCGGUCAAACCACAUAACAACAUACGUUGUUCCCUUUGUCAUCGGUAUGUUACUUGCCCAAGAUUCGAUCAUCGGUAUCAUCAUAACUAGUUCAAUCUCGUUACCGGCAAGUCUCUUUACUCGUUCCGUAAUACUUCAUCCCGCACCUAACUCAUUAGUCACAAUGUUUGCAAGGCUUAUAUUGAUGAGCAUUACCGAGAGGGACCAGAGAUACCUCUCCGAUACAUGGAGUGAUAAAUCCUAAUCUCGAUCUAUGCCAACCCAACAAACACCUUCGGAGACACCUGUAGAGCAUCUUUAUAAUCACCCAGUUACGUUGUGAUGUUUGAUAGCACAAAAGGUGUUCCUCCGAUAUUCGGGAGUUGCAUAAUCUCAUAGUCUGAGGAACAUGUAUAGGUCAUGAAGAAAGCAGUAGCAAUGAAACUGUAACGAUCAUAAUGCUAAGCUAACAGAUGGGUCAUGUCCAUCACAUCAUUCUCCUAAUGAUGUGAUCCCGUUCAUCAAAUGACAACACAUGUCUAUGGUUAGGAAACAUAACCAUCUUUGAUUAACGAGCUAGUCAAGUAGAGGCAUACUAGGGACAAUUUGUUUUGUCUAUGUAUUCACACAUGUACUAAGUUUCCGGUUAAUACAAUUCUAGCAUGUAUAAUAAUCAUUUAUCAUGAAAUAAGGAAAUAAAUAAUAACUUUAUUAUUGCCUCUAGGGCAUAUUUCCUUCACAAGGAGGCGUACACGUGCUACGACAUGUACAGGCGGAUCGUUGACAUGAGGAAGUGCCUCCUUCCCUAGAACGGCCAGGGAUCCAGCCGGAAGCAGAGCAAUGGCAAGCGUCGUUGCAACAAGUAGAUGAUUAGAUCCUCGUUUCUCCUAGUUUAGUAUGGAUGUAAUUGCUUACUUUGGUGAGUGAAAAUGUUAUCUGUGUAGUCACUUGUGUAAUUGUAUGCUUAAUUUGGUUAUGCAAUGCUGUCUUUUUAAGUAUAUAUGUUGAUGCUCUGUAGACAGAGCAAAUCACAUCGCACACGGACUAAACAAGGGAACCCAUCGGUGAUGAUUUCAUCAAUCACUGACAAUUGUAUACAACAAUCGUUUGCUCACAACACACACGUCUUGUUAAUAGGAAUCAUCUAUGUUGUUAUCGGUCUUCCCACACAUUUCUGAUUACAGACCUGUUUGCCACGUAUCACACACAUCUUGUUAUAUUGAGCCAUUUAUGUUCUCUUGUCUCAACACAAACAGUUAAUCCGAGUGAACCGCAUGCUGUAUAUCGCACACACCUUGAUCAGGCUGACCGUUUAUUUUGUGUUGACUAAUCAUGAACAGUUCAUCCGAGUGAACCGUAUGCUGUGUAUCGCACACGCCUUCAUCUGGCUGCCCGUUUAUUUUGUUCCUGGUCAUCGCAAAUAGUUAAUUGAACUGAACUGUAUUCCCUGCGUCGCACACGCAACUAAAAUCUGAACCGUGUUUGAUGCAUCCGUCAUCGCAAACGUUUUGCACAUUGUUGACGGUUUUCUUACACCACCAUUGCGAUUAUUGCAUCACGCAUAGUUUCUCGAAGGGUCUCUGAUCGUAGUUUCACAUAGCAGCAUCCUGCAGUAGUGAAGAGUCAUACGGAUAUAUGAUCGGCAAAAGUUUGCCCACCCAUCAAAAUUCUCGUCAUCAGUGAUGUACACAUCAAUGACUGAGAAUAAGAUCAGGAUCUUGAAUCACUCACUAUCAAUUAUGAGAGAUGUGUUGAUUCGAGUAGGAGUGCACUUUAUAUUAAAAUUUGUUUAAACACUAGUGCAAAUUUAAUUAUGAAUAUUGUGUCUAAAAAUAUUUGUGUUUAUUGUUAUAGAUCAAUGCCUUGCAAUAUGUUCAACUUGUCGCGCCACCGUCUUGGUAUUCUAUCACAAAAGGGGAAACCUUUGGGAUUUGCUUUGGGGGAAGGUAGGCACACACUACUAGGGAAAAGCCUAGCAGCAGCGCGGGUUUUAGGCCUAUCAGUAGCGCGGGCAAGAGCGCUACUGAUAAGGCGCUACAGCUAAUGCUUAGCAAUAACGCGCCUAGAUCCACGCUACUGCUAAAUUGACUUAGUAGUAGCGCUUCUUCAGAACAUCGCUACUGGUAAUUAGUAGUAGCGCUUCUCCUUUCCCGCGCUACUACUAUUAUUUAGUAUUUUAUUUCUUUUUUAUUUCAUGUUGUAUUCAUACACCUUUACACAAGUUUUCAUACAACAGGAAUUUAGAGAUUGUUUUUACAUCAUAAUGAGUUAUUACAUCACGGGGUGAAAGAACCGUGGACUAGUUUCAAGUGGAUGUCCAUCCACUUGAAACUAAUCCGCGGUUCUUUCACCCAAUGAUAUAAUAAUAUCAUCAUCAUAAUAUCAUUAACAACUUAUCAUCAUAAUACAUCAUUGUCAUAUAACACCUCCUCUAGAUCAUCGUUUUCAUCAAUGACAUCACAUAGCAAAUUGGUCACUAGUCGUAAUCACAAGUACUCCUCAUUAUCAACUCUAACACAUUACCACAUAAUAAACAUAUUGUACCUCAUAGGACCUAUUACAUUCGAUUAAGACCUACUACAUUUUCUAAGGUAAAAUAGCAAAAAACAAGAUAGCCCCUGUCUCUCCAUUAUGGAGAAUGGAGAUUAGCCUGUCUCCAAUUCUUGCCUUUCGCUGAAUGUUACUUCCAAGAACCUCCUUGCGAAUGUCCAUACAUUUCUUCCAUUCUUUGACGAACAUGUGUUCAUGGGUUUUAGAAAUCGGAUAUGCAUAGGUGAGCUCCCUAGAUUUACCGGGCAGUAUGUUCAGAACUGAGAGGCGACCAUGCAGAGACAUCAGAUGAGGCACACAAUCCAUCGGGAGUUUCUGUUGAAAAACAUAAUAAUAACUUCGUAGUUAGCAAUGAUGUACUAGUUUUAGAAGUAUGCAAAAGAUGCAUGGAUGUCGUAAUAGUAAAAAAUCUUACCAGGGUAUCUCCAGAGAAGUUACCGUGGUUCAACACAUGCACUAGUGGCAUGUAUUCACCAUAAUUUGGAGGAGUUCGAUAAUAGUUAUUGUAAUUCUCAAGAAGAGUACAAAAUGCAAUCAGGUGAUUUUUCUCCUUAUACGUUAAUUCGGUGCCAUUGAUGUAGUGGGUUUUAUCUACCAUCUUCCGCACAGUCUUUGAAGAAUCAAAAUAAGCUGUCAAUGGAAAUAAGCUAUCAACUAUUUUGAAAUAAACAAUAUAAAUUAGUUAAUAACUAUGUUUGAGAAAUUCACAUAGCGGUACAAUCGGAAGUGUAUCAACAAGGACCCAAAUGUCCAUAUUGUCUUGCUCGAUGUCAGGAUCACCAAGAUCCAUGGUGACAAUCAUACCCUCAUAAGAACCAUACAUUUUGCGAAGUGCUUCCCAAUUUUGGCAACCAAAAUGGGUUACGCUCUGAGCAUUGCACAGAUUUACUUCAAAAUCCAUAUCAUGAUGGGUCCUUAGGUGUAUUUUCUUUGUUUCGAAAUUUUCAUGGUCUUCAAAACCCAUCCUCUCCAAGACAUAGCGUCUUGCAUGGCAUGGGAUAAGCUAGUCGAAUUGUAAAGUAUGAAAAUUAGACAUUGAAAUAGUUGAAGUCAUGCUUAAUUACGGAAAAAAACACUUGUCGUUGUUGCGUACUAUUUCACAAUCAAAGGUCUCCUCGAGCGUAAUGCUGAAGCACCGAUCUUCGUCCAGCUAAACGAACCUGUCGCACAUACCUCGAUCGUCGUGGCACCAGCUACACUCCCCCGGGAGACUGUCGUCGUCCGAGUAUGACAUUUCCUACGUUCACAAUUCAAAGAUUAAACUUGUACAUAUUAUAGCACAAGUCAUGCCAGAAUUCACGAAAAAAUCCGGCAUGACCUUUGCUAAAAAAGGACAUAUCGAGCGCCUGAAAUUUGCCAGAAUGGAAAUUAAUCAACACUCCGGCAAAACAUAGGCCACUCGGAGAUGUAAACUGAACAUGAACGGCCACUUGGGCAACCACAUAUCCUAUUUGAGCAACAACACAAGAUAUACAAGGAUAUUUGCCUGGUCUCACCUUGAUGUCGGAGGGGGUCGGUGAUUGGGACGAAGGCGGGGAUGUCAGAGGGGGUCGGUGACGGGGACGACGGUGGUCACCUGGAACCAUAUAAGUUAUCACUAAUACAUCCCAAAUAAUUGCUUAAACUAAAAAAUAACAACAAAUAUGACAUGUUCAACUAGUUUUAUUAAUUCAACUAGUUCUUACUAAAUAUAAACUUACUAUAAAUAGAAAAAACUAGUUCUUUCUAAAAAUAAAGUAGUUCAACUAGUUAUAUUAAUUAUCUUACUAAAAAUACAUUAGUUCUAUUAAUUCAACUAGUUCAAAUAGUUUAUUAAUUUACUUACUAAACUAGUUCAACUACAACUACUAUUAAUCAUACUGCCCUAGUUAACUAGUACCAUCACCACUAGUAAUUAACAUCUACUACUACUAAAAAUCUAGUACUAACUAAGCAACAUCUAGUACUAUCUAUGAACCCUAAAUUAACAUCUACUAUACUACUAAAUCUAGUNNNNNNNNNNNNNNNNNNNNNNNNNNNNNNNNNNNNNNNNNNNNNNNNNNNNNNNNNNNNNNNNNNNNNNNNNNNNNNNNNNNNNNNNNNNNNNNNNNNNNNNNNNNNNNNNNNNNNNNNNNNNNNNNNNNNNNNNNNNNNNNNNNNNNNNNNNNNNNNNNNNNNNNNNNNNNNNNNNNNNNNNNNNNNNNNNNNNNNNNNNNNNNNNNNNNNNNNNNNNNNNNNNNNNNNNNNNNNNNNNNNNNNNNNNNNNNNNNNNNNNNNNNNNNNNNNNNNNNNNNNNNNNNNNNNNNNNNNNNNNNNNNNNNNNNNNNNNNNNNNNNNNNNNNNNNNNNNNNNNNNNNNNNNNNNNNNNNNNNNNNNNNNNNNNNNNNNNNNNNNNNNNNNNNNNNNNNNNNNNNNNNNNNNNNNNNNNNNNNNNNNNNNNNNNNNNNNNNNNNUGGCGGGGGUGGGGGCGACGGAGAGGUAGCUAGGGGCGGCGAGGUCGAGGGCGGUGGGAGGAGGGCUGCCGGCGAAGGAGGGAGGAGGGGCGGCCGCAGGCGGAGGGAGGAGGGCGGUGGCGGAGGAGGGAGGGGCGGUCGCUGGCGGAGGGAGGAUGCGCGAGGAGGAGGGAGGAGGGAUGGAAAGAGGGGAGUACCUUAGCGGCAGACGGACGAAGGCGGCGGCGGCGGCGACGCACGACGACGGUUAUGCGCAGACAAAGGCGGCGAGAGUGAGAGUGUGAGUGAGGGCCGGUCGUGCGCGUGGGGAUAAGGUAGGGAUAGUUGUAGCGCGUUUGCCAAAACGCGCUACAACUAAUCUGAAUAGCAGUAGCGCUUUGCAUAUAAACCGCUACUGCUAAGUGUAACUAUACAAAAAAUACGUCAAUGCAAAAAUACAUUGGCCAUCAAUGAUCUUUUUGUGUACAAUCUGAAUUGUCAAUAUGAGUCCUCUCUGGUAAACACCCUGUUCACGGAGCAAGGUGGGACUAAACUUGUGGGCUGAUCUUAGCAGUAGCGGUUUUACUAGAAGCGCGCUGCUGCUAACUUCUAUAGCAGUAGCGCUCUUCAGUAAAGUGCGCUACUGCUAUAACUAGCAGGGGGGGGCGAGGUCAUGGCAAUUAUAGCAGUAGCGCGGUUUGUGGUGGAUGCGCUACUGCUAUUUUCCUGUCAGUAGCGCGUUUUGAUAACACGCGCUGCUGCUAAAUAGCAGUAGCGCGGUAUUUUGAGGAGCGCUACUGGUAAGAUUCUGUGUAUAGGCUUUUCCCUAGUAGUGACAACUGCUCCCUUAGCACCCAUGUGAUGGGCGGCACCUGCCCCUCAUGGAUCCUCGGGACUCCUCGAGAGAGGGCGCCAUGCGAGGGAGGCCUCGGCAUGCCGCCUAUAGUGAUGGUAGUUCCGGUGAAGCCCUUCAUGGAAGAGAACCCCUCGUUGGGUAGGGCCCACGCGAGGCUGCUGGCUCGUGGCGCUCGCUGGUGGGCUAGCUCAUGAGUUGGGCCAUGGGGCCCUUCCUAGGACGGAGGCAGGUGGCCCACGGUUCCCUAGUUCCCACAGGGCCGACUGUAGCUCCCAGGCCCGCAUCACGUAGUACCGCUUCCGCUUGUUUGGGGGGGGGGACGAAAUGACGCAAAGCCUAAGACUGCCAGGCCCAGGUAGCGACACAUGGAAGCUCGAUAGGACGGGGAUGCCCUCACUUCCCACGACGCCUUGGUAACCGCCAUCUUGGUCAUAAAGCCUGCCUGCGCAGGGCGCGGGCGCAUCAUUGCUUCGCAUCUCCCUUCCCGCCUUCCUGCGCACUGCUCCUCUAGUUCCUCUACUUUCACAACAACCGCCGCAAUGGCCCCCAAGAAGGCCUCCGUGGCUGCAAAGGGUAAGGCAACGAUGGAGGCGGGGCCGCCACCAGAGCCGACACUAGCGAAGGGUAAGGGACGCGCCCGCGCACUUGUUGCUUCGAUGAUGGUUCCCCCUCGGGCCAGACGUGCUCUACGGCCACUGCCGUGGAGUCCCGCUCCAGUGCCCGCACAAAGACCACGACCCGUGGCCAUGGGGGCGCGACAUUCAUGGCCAUGGGGGGCGCGGUGGAGCGCCCGCCCCUCCUCCACCAAAAGAUGCCCAUGCGGUGGUGGCGGCACAUGAGUUCAUCGUGGGGCCGCAUCACCGGCCCCGCAGCUAGCUUCGGCUCCCAGACUCCUUUGCAAGGGAGACGGAAGAUGGCGAGCCCCUAGGUCUGUGGUUGCAGGCAGACGGCUGCUGCAAUAGCCCCUCAUGGGUGAAAGUGGAGUUCUCCCCUACCAGCUUCAUGUACCUGACACGGGGAUGGAAGUCAUUCGCCCGCUCCCACGAUUUGAAGCACGGGCAGGCUCCCCAGUUUAGGUAUGACGGAGAGGUCAACCUCUUCAUGAAGUUCUUCGGGGUCUCCAGCGGCUUCCUAGAGUGCUGCACGAACAGCAAGAGCGGAAGCGACACCGAUUCCACCAGCAGGAGUGAAAGCAACGAGGGGUCCCGGAGCAUCAAGAGUGAGGGUGAUGAUUCGAACUAGGCGUGGGUGGCGCCUGAGUCAGACUUUUGAAGAUGGUCCCCUUCUUUUAUUCCUGCAGAACCAAUGUAACCCUGUGUGGGUGUGAAGACGAUGCUUUGUAAGGAGUGGUUAUUAAGUACUUAAUAUUUUUUUGUUGUGCACACUCCUUGCGAGGCCUAUUCUUCUUCCUGCGUGCUCUGGUGCUCUACGUCGUGAGGGCCCUGCCUUCGAGAGUGGUACGACCAUCGCUGGUAUGUUAGGGCGUGUGCCUAGACAAGGCUAGAGGGUGUAGGACUUCUAGAGGAGGUAGGGGCUCCCGAGGCGUGAUGCUCAGGAAGCCCCCCUUUGACGUGCAAGCGGCUUACAUGAUGAAGGGAAAUUGGCACUCCACGAGGUUGCAAGGGGGAGGAACUUAAGAGGUGUCGAGGGCGACCUUUGCGGCACAUUUAGACUUAGCUCUCUGUUGCAAUGUCUUUGGCGUGUCACCAUCCAUGGGCAGCGCCUCGCAACAGUCGUCCUCUCAUAUGGCCCUUGCAGGACUUGACGGUAGUGCGGUGUCCUCCUAGCGAAGCAGCGCUCACGAAGCCGCUCGAGGAGGGGCGCUCCAAAGCGUCCUGAGCCCUUGCGAUGAUGGACUCGGGAGAUGCUACAAAUGCCGCGACGGACAUGCUGGAGCUCCAUGGCCAAGAAGCGUUUCUCGAGCUUGUGCACCUCCUUGAGGUAUGUGGCCAUGUGCUCGUUGAUACGUCUCCAUUGUAUGUAUAAUUUUUGAUUGUUUCAUGCCAAUAUUAUACAACAUUCACAUACUUUUGGCAAUAUUUUAUAUGAUUUAUUGGACUAACCUAUUGAUCUAAUGCCUAGUGUCAAAUCCUGUUUGUUGCAUGUUUUUGUUUCUCAGAAUAUCCUUAUCAAAUGAAGUCCAAACACAAUAAAAAUUUACGGAUAAUUAUUUGGGAAUAUUUGGGGUUUUUGGGAGGUGAAAUCAACGCAAACAGAGGCCCACAGCCACCAAGAGACACCAGGGCGCGCCCUAGGGCCCAGGCGCGGGGUGGUGGGUUGUGCCCUCCUCAUAAGUCAGUUGGAGCUCUACUUUGGGCUCAAGGAAGCUUAUAUCAAGAAAAAAAUCAUGUUAAAAUCUCAUCGCAAUCGAAGUUACAGAUCUCCGGAUAUUUAAGAAAUGGGUUUCGACCGGAUCUGAGGAAUGCGAAAUAGAAGAUGAGAGAGAGAGAGAGGGAUAUAUAUAUAUAUAUAUAUAUAUAUAUAUAUAUAUAUAUAUAUAUAUAAUCUCGGAGGGGCUCUCACCCCUCCGUAGGGAUGGCACUUUUAUCCAUGGAUCUGGAUAUCCGUGGAUACCCGACCCGGUUGGGCAAGGGUAUGGAGCGCAUUCCUGCCCAUGGAUCCAUGGAUCUGGAUACCCACGAACGGUCGGGUUGGGCACGGUUAAAGCUUCUGCUCCAUGGAUAUCCAGUUGAUACCCUUAUGACACAUGGGACCAUAUGUCAGGAUGAAAAUGACUCCAUCAUUACUGAAGACUAAUUUGGAGCCAAGUGUGCUCAUGUGGAUAGUCGGAUGGGUCUCCAAUUACUAGUGCACAUAAUGUUGGUAGUGCAUUUGGAAUUAAAUAUGCUACAUACUCUAUUUAUGCAACUUCUGGUUUGAUUUGUUCUGUGGGAAGUCUUCAUGCUGACUUUUCUAUGCCCAUGGAGCUCCAUGGGUAUCUAGGUAUCCAGGGGAUUUGGGCAUGGGCACAAGUUGUGCCCAUGGAUACUUUGCUGGAUGGGCAGAGGGCGGGAAGAUGGGUCAUGGGUUGGAUUUGGACCAACUCCACCCACCCCAAACCCGACCCAUUGCCAUCCCUACCCCUCCACCGCCAUGGAGGCCAUGUACUAGAGGGGAAACCCUCCUUCCAUCUAGGGGGAGGCCAAGGAAGAAGAAGAAGAAGGGGGGCUGUCUCCCCCUCUCUCCCGGUGGCGCCGGAGUGCCGCUGGGGCAAGUAUUGUGACGGUGAUCUACAUCAACAAUCUUGCUACCAUCAACACCACCCCUUCUAUGCAGCGGUGUAACACCCCUUCUCCCGGUGUAAUCUCUACUUAAACAUGGUGCUCAACACUAUAUAUUAUUUCCCAAUGAUAUGUGGUUAUCCUAUGAUGUUUGAGUAGAUCCAUUUUGUCAUAUGGGUUGAUAGAUGAUCAUGAUUGGUUUGAGUUGUAUAUUUUAUUUUUGGUGAUGUCCUACGGUGCCCUCCGGUCGCACAAAUGUGAGGGAUCCCUGCUAUAGGGUGUUGCAAUAAGUUUAUGGUUCUCUGAUGGUGAGUGGCGUGAGUGACAGAAGCACAUACCCAAGUAAGGAGGUUGUUGCGUAUGGGAUAAAGAGGACUUGGUACUUAAUGUUGUGGUUGGGUUUUACCUGAAUGAUCUUUGGUAGUUGCGAAUGCUUGCUAGAGUUCCAAUCAUAAGUGCAUAUGAUCAAAGUAGAGAAAGUAUGUUAGCUUAUGUCUCUCCCUCAUAUAAAAUUGCAACAAUGAUUACCGGUUUAGUUAUUGAUCACCUAGGGACAAAUGCCUUUCUUAUGUGACAAAAGCUACUACUUUUAUUAUCUUGCAAUUUAUUCGUAGUUUUAUUCUCGUAAAGUACUCCUAGUUUUAUUCCUGUUCUAGCUAAAGCAAACAUUAAGUGUGCAUAGAGUUGUAUCGAUGGUCAAUAGAACUUGAGGGAAUAUUUGUUCUACCUUUAUCUACUCAUUGGGUUUGACACUCUUAUUUAUCAAAAAAGGCUACAAAUGAUCCCCUAUACUUAUGGGUUAUCAAGACGUUUUCCUGGCACCGUUGCCGGGGAGCAAUAGCGUGGGGUGAAUAUGCUCGUGUGUGCUUGUUUGCUUUAUGACUAAGUAGUUUUUAUUUUCUUUUCUAAGUUGUUCUCUACCUUUAGUUAUGGAUAUGAAACAUGAAAUACCAAAAAAAAA